GCCCGAAUCUUAGCUAGAAGCUAGGAACAAUUUUCUAUCUCAAUCACUCUCAAAAUCAGGCUCAGUUCUCCACUGAAUGUUCUAUGUGUUUCUUUUAUUUAGGACGAGGAACCGCUCACUGUCCCUCAGCUGGGUACUUUGAUGGACGCUCUCCCUCUUGUUCCUUUCCUGCACUGCACCACUCACAUCCUACCGCGACUCCGCACCAAACAAUCCUUCUACCCGACCCAACACUGUGUCUGACAGACACUGUAACUACUACUGCUAACCUGCUUCGUCCUCUCUUGAAGCAGCUUCAGGCACAAGGGAAAUGCAAGCAAUCUGAAUGACAAAAAGUGUCACAGAAACGGAAGAGCUUUAUUUAUCUCGAGGCAAGUGAAUCUAGCUAGGAGCAGAGAACCAGUUCCGUUCCAUCCAUAAAAUCACCACGGCGACACUGCCGAUGGACACGGUGAGCGAGCGAGAGACACUAUUAUGCAUGAACAGACAGGAACAAGGCCCUAAACUUUCAGAGAACCCAACCCGAUGAGCUACAUGUUCAGCUGAUGGGUGCUGAAAACACGGAACACCGGGUUCGGCCUAGGGGCCGAGGUCGAUGUGCACCCCGAUGGCGACGAGGAAGAUGGCGGCGAAGCUGAAGAAGAUGAUGGAGUGGACGAUGAUGGACACGGCGCUGGUGUGGAAGUUGCCGAACUCGAUGAUCCGGCACUUGCCGGGGAUCUGGAACAGCAGCCCCGGCGACAGCAGGAUGAAGAGCACCAGCGGGAUGAACACCCCAGCCCAGUCCUGCAUCUUCUCUCCCCACUCUCUCUACCUUCUAUCUCCUCCUCCUCCUAAGGUAGAACAGAAGUAUGCUCUCUCUCGCUGCUUCUCUGUGUAUAUAGCAGCUAAGCUAAGGCAGGCAGCCUAUCUCUUUGUGCAGUGUUAUAUACUGGCCAUGCAUACAAUGGAUACCAGUAGAUGGAGGAGGAGGAGGAGGUUGGAGCAGAGCUUUCGUUCAUGCACAUGCCAUCCAUUCCAGGAAGAAGAAACACGGCCCUCUCUACUUUAACCACACCGGGAAAAGGGAGUACCAAAAAUGGACUACUUUUUUGUCUGAUAAAAAAAUGGACCAUUUUUCACUUGGGCAGUUGGAGGCAGUUAGAAAGGCCGGAAAUUUCAGUUCCUAAACAAUACGGUGCAGAAUAAAUUAAACGGAUCAGUAAUUGGUCAGAUGUAGCAACAGGUAUGGCAUGCUGUUCAUGACUUCAUGUUUCUGUCUCACAAUAUACCGUUCAUGCUAUUCAUGCUUCUCUGUCUCACAAAACAUGCUAUUCAUGCCUCUUCUGUUCCUAAGCAACCUGGUGUAGAAUGAAUCAAGGACCAAUAGUUGGUGUUGUAGUAGUUGUUAACAGAUGUAGUAGCUUAGCUAGUAUGGCCAUGCCAUUCAUGUUUCUUUCUCACAAUAUACCAUGCAUUAUACUACAGUAAUUCAGAUGUUUAAUUAAUUGUUGGCAAGGUGAAUAAGCUGCCUGUGUAGGGGUAUAUACAUGGCUUCAGAAAGGGAGGUCAGCCGGGUUAACCAUUGGUUGGUGAGGGCACCUAAUUAAUUAAGCUGGCAUUUCAAAGUCAGACCAAUGAACUGGAUAGGAAGAGGACACCUCAAUAGAGAUCCUCACAACAAAGAUUUUCCUGACCACACAAAAAAGGAUUCCCGAUAAAACAGUUGGCAAAAACAAGUUCCUUGUUACCAACUCACACAAUCAGACAAUAGCUACUGAUGAUUUGAAAUCUGUCUCGGCGAAAAGCAAAGGCAUGGAAGAUGACGGUAACUAAAAACAUGACACGCAAUUAGAUGCGCGUUCGAGAGAAUGAAAGAAGAUGGUUAAAGCAUAUGCACUAGUAGAGUCCAGACAAACCUCAUACUAAGUCUUCAUCAUGACUUGACAGGUUAAAGCUUUGUAAAUUCCUUGUUAAUUGUGAACAGCCACUGAUAAUUAAAAUGUCAUUUAGGUUACCAAGUUACCGAUAAUUUCCCUUGAUAAUCAAAAUGUCACUUUAGUUAAAGAUACUGUCAACAGGACCAGUCCUGCAUCUUCUUCUCCCCUCUCUACCUUCCGCCUCCGCCUCCUCCUCCUAGGAUAGAAUAGAGGAUGCUAUGUCUCUUUGUGCAGCAGUGCUAUAUGGUGGCCAUACAAUGCCGGUAGAUGGAGGAAAGGAGGUUGCAGAAGAGCUUUCAUGCUUACACAUUCCAUUCAUUCCAGGAAGAAACGUGGCCUCUUUACUUUAACCACACCAGGGAAGGGCAAGGACAGUCAAGUCUUUCAUAAGCACUAAAAAUGGACUACUUUUCACUUGAGCAGUUAAGAGGCAGUUGUAAAGGCUGGAAUUUUCUGUUCCUAAGCAAUCUGGUGUCCAGUAAAUUAAAGGGAUCAAUGAUUGGUGUUGGAGUAGUCAACAGAAGUAACCACUAACUAGUAUGUCAUGCCAUUCAUGUUUCUGUCUCACAAUAAACGGGGUAGAACAUAAUAUAAUUCAGAUGUUUUCGUAAGACUGAUGAGAAAAGAAAGUCAGCAGGUUACUGCUUGCAUAGGAGCUAAGAGGUACUUAUUGUUGGUAAGGGGAAUUUGUCUAAAAGAACGUUGUAUAUGUAGGAGUACAUGGCUUCAGAAAGGAAGGUCAGCUAGGUUAACCAUUGCUUGGUGGAGGCCAAACAGCUUGCACUUCAAAGUCAGACUGAUGAACUGGAUAGGCAGAGGACACCUAAAUAGCCGCACACCAAGCCUUACCAAGUUCCAGAUAAACAGCAAGCAAAAGCAAGUUCAUUGUUACCAAGUUACACCGAUAGGCAAUAGUUACUGGCGACUUGAGGGUUGUCUUCCUCACAAGAAUCAUCACUUUCAAAAAAGCAAGAGCAUGAAAGAUGAUCAUAAUUAAAACGACACGCAUUUUAGAUGUGCGUUCGAGAACAUGAAGGACGAUGGUAAAGUACUACUAGUAGAGUCCGGAUCACCGCAAAUCUCAUACCAAGUCUUCAUCGUGACUUGACAGGUUAAAGCAUGCUGUUCAUAGGUCUGUCAAAUUGACAAGAUUAGAUGACUGUGUGUGUCCGUGGGUGAGACUGAGAAUAUAUAUCGGUUAGGGAGUAAGUGGAAUGUCUGCGUCGGCUGCCAAAGCAAAACAAGAAUGUACUAGUGGUGUGCUGAAAUGGACCAUGCAUGCACGAUGAAGCCUUUGGUUGCUUGCUUUGCGAAUCAAUGCACGAAAGGGACCUUGUUUCAACUCCAGGUUAAUCAGUAAUUUCAUUACCUACUUAAGGUCCCCUGCUUUAAACAAUGAUAGUGAUCUAGUAUGACUUGCAAGAAUACGAAAAAGAAUACAAAUCUGACUGAAAGUUUGGUAACAAGCGCAAUCACUUGAUAAAACAAAAAAAACAGAGUCAUAAAGACAGAUGCAAAGGUGAAUCCAGCAUCAGCAAAGGUGUUGCAGAUGAUAUGUCCACAGAAAAACAACAAAUGACUGAAAUGUUCGAGGAAGAAAUCCUGACUAUUCACAAGCAGAUAUGCUUGUCAGAAUGGAUCCCUCCUCAAUAGCUGCCACUGCACUAGCUGGGCUUUGCAGAAGAAACAUUGAGAGAUAAGAAGCCCAAUGGGUUAUGAUCCAUAUGAACCAAACCAUGGUCAAUCUAAAAUGAAUAAAUAAGAAGCUAAGCUUUAUAUAUUCCACCAAUCAGUCUCAGUAACCAGUAAACUAUGACAAACAAAGCACCCCAGGUUAUCAUUUGUCGAAGAAAGUUGUCCUCCGAAUUUUUUUGUUACCUAUAAUAUGUUCCUCUGUAACGAAGUUCAAGGAAAUGAUCCCCAGAUGUGCACUCCACAUUUCAAUGUAAAAAUAAGUUGCAUUGGCAAACAGUGCUAUAUUAUGAAGUUUCUUGGAGCUCCCUGCUCAGUUAUAACUAUGUUACAAAGCUCUUGGGGAAUCCAGCACCGGGUCAGCCUAGUUACUAGUACUACCUGAUUUCUUCCCUUCUGUGGCUGCUAUGGUAGUGAUUCCGAUGAUCAUGCUCACAAAAGUACAAAUAAUUAUUGGGAUGUUGACUAGCUAGGCUUUGCCAUAGAGAGGUUGAGAUAUCAGAAGCUCAAUGGGUUAUGCCCCAUAUAAACCAAAUAAUGUCCACUCUAGAAUAAAUAAAUAAGAAGAUAAAUUUUAUACAUCCCUACAACCACUCUCAGUGAACAAUAAACUAAAACAAACAAAGCACCCCAGGUAACUAUUUGUCAAAGACAAUUAUUUAGUAUCAAAAGAGGGCUCCCCCCUCCGAUUUCAUCAACGACGGAACCAGAGAUUCAUAGCCGGAGCUACUAACCAGAACUACAAGUUAUCCUCCACAACUCUUCGUUAUAUAUAAUAAUAUGUUCCUCUGUAACAAAAUUCAAGGAAAUGAUCCACAGAUCCACACUCUAUAUUUCGAGGUAAAAAUGAGUGUUACAUUGGCAAACAGGGCUAUAUUACGGAUGCUCUUGGAGCCCCCUAUUCAGUUAUGAUCAUGUUACAUGGCAUUUCAUAUACACUAAUAUUUCACAAUAUCGUAGAUGCUAGCCUUGCUAAGUACUCCCUCCGUCCCAAAAUUCUUGUCUAAGAAUUAUUUAUAUAUGAAUGUAUCUAGUCACAUCUUAGUAUUUAGAUACAUCCAUUUCUAGACAAACCUAAGACAAAAUUUUUGGGACGGAGGGAGUAUUAUCUAGUUAAGGUCUUGAGGUGGUACUCUUACUUGUCAGAGAUGAUCUCAUGGUUACAAUUGCAGACUCAUUUGCACCUAACCGUCUGGCCUGCCUGCUUGCGUGCAGAAAACCUUUGAUGGCUCGUCUCACAUACGUGUCGGCCUGCUUCACGGUCAUCUUUUUCUGCGUCUCCUGAGCAAAACUCGUCAACAUGUAGUCGCCGUUCAAGAAGCUUGCUAAUUCAACGAGCUCACGCUGGAAAUCUGAGAGAAUUCCAUGUUCUUUCGCUGGUGUUGUUCUCUCAAAUGGCACUUCUGGCAAAGUCUCUGUAAGGAUAACAAGAACAGAGUUUGUUCAUUUCAUACUGUGUAACCUUUAAAUUAAGUAGACAGGAUCCAAAUUAAGUGCAAUGCGACUAUAAUUAUGCUAAAUUAAGUGAAAUGUGACUAUAAUUCUGCUAAAUUAAGUGAACUCUGACCAUAAUCCUGCAAAAUUCCCCAUUGUGUUCAUGUGAUAGAUUCUCAGUACUAGUGUUGUAGUACCUGGGCAAUCUGUCCUUGGUUGGUCGAGUUGGGUGAAGAUGUGCUCAAAUGUGCCCGCCCAUUCGUCUCUUUUGGUGAGGAAAUCAGAUCUGAGGUUGAAGAUCUUCUUGAUGGUCGCCGGGAUGGAGGAGUGCUCGUACUCGGAUGUGGCCGUCGGUCCGUUCGGCGGCCGCCCCACCACCAUCCCCUUCUUGAUCCACGGCGACACCAUCAUUGUCGGCACCCUGACCCCGAGCCGGUCGAACUUGAAGAAGAAUGGCACUGGCCCCCUGAGGCCGUCGGGGCUGGGCACGCCGGCGACGGGCGUGGCGACGUGGUCGUAGAAGCCGCCGUGCUCGUCGUAGGUGACGAUGAGCAGGGUGUCGUUCCACUGCGGGCUGGCCCGCAGCGUCUCGUAGACGUCCUUGACGAGCCUCUGGCCGUUGGCGACGUCGUGGGCCGGGUGGUCGUCGUCGGCGGGGGUGCCGGUGAGGUCGAAGUACCUGGGCUCGAUGACGGACAGCGCCGGCAGCCGCCCCCUCCGGGCGUGGUCCCUGAAUGCGGAGUCGUAGAAGUGGAAGCUCUGUGCGGCGGCGCGCACGGUGCGGAGGUUGCGGUAGAAGAGGGUGGUGGGGAUGGUCUUGAAGUAGACGUUGAAGCGGCGGCCGUCGGCGGCGAGGGAGUCGAAGAUGGUGCGCUGCGGGUAGCCGCGGAGGAGGUUCCACUUGUCGUGGGCGACGGCGCCGUGGGAGGUGGCGGAGUAGAGGAAGAGGCGGUUGGGCUGCGUGGGGCCCGGCAGGGAGGAGAACCAGCGGUCGAAGACGGCGAAGUCGGCGGCGAGCGCGGAGAAGGCCGGGAGGAGGGACGGGGUGAAGCCCCGCAUGACGGCGGAGGAGAGCAGGGAGUUGACGGAGAGCGCGGAGCGCACGAAGCCCGACAUGGUCGGGGGAGCCGGCUGGUCGGCGGCGGUGGAGUUGGGGCGGAACCCGAAGACCUGGUCCAGCACGUCCUCGAAGGAGUGGCCGGGGUCGUCGGGGACGACGAGGGUGGCGUCGGCGGAGACGCAGACGGGCGGGAGGGUGGAGUUGGUGGGGCCGACGUUGCACUCGGCGCCGGUGAGGCCGUCGAUGGGGAGGCCGAGCAGGCGGCGCAUCCAGCCCAGCAUGUGGUCGAACGACCGGUUCUCCAGCGCCAGCACCACCACGUUCUUGAUCGGGCUUGCUUCUCUAGGGCCGGCGCUGGCAUUGCCGGCGGCGGCGAAGGCGAGCGGCAGGAGCAGCAGCAGCAGCAGCGCCCGCAUUCCCAUCGGCGGCGGCAUUGCCGUGGCGGUUCCGGUGAGUGAGUGAGUGAGGGAGUGGACGAGCGGUGCCGGAGAGGAAGGGAAGUUGGGCUGGCCUGGCUUCUUUCGGCGGUAUCCGGUCCAGUUCGGACUAGAAUAUUUAUUUUAAUCUUUCGGGCCCAUGUACAGUUGGGCCCUGCGCAUUCCCGUGCUACAUGUAACAAGUUGUGGCGCGCGACCGUGUCAGUAAGUAGUCGGCCGUUCAUCUCGUGUGGCAGUUUCUCAAAAUAAUAAUAAUAGUAAUAAAAAAUCUCGUUCAAUGAAGAUCUUUCUCCCGCGAAAAAUGUGCCACACGACCUGACCGCCAACAUCCCCUUCAUACCCUUCCUCACCAAUGAUGUAAAUUAAUCAUGCAACAGAACCAACUGCCCUUUUCAUACCUCAGUUCGUGCGGACGUCAGCGCGCAAUGCUUUGAUUCAUGCAGGGAUGGUGGCGAUGGAGGAGGAAUAGACAAUGCAAGCGAUGAGCGAAUGAUAUAGUAAAAUGGUGUAAAAUGUUAAUCUAUGAUAUUCUGCACUAUAAAAAUAAUACUAGUAUAUGAUAGUAGUUUCAUAUGCAUGGUAAUAAACGUAAUACUGUAUGAUUCUUUUCACUUAAGAGGAGUGUAAAAUGUUAAAUCUAUGAUAUUCUGUAUUAUGAAAUUAAUAUCAUAUGCUAGUAGUUUCAUAUGCAUGAUAACACUGUAUAAUACUCUUUCUUUAAGAGGAGUGUAAAGUGUUAAUCUAUGAUACUCUGCAUCAGUGGCGGAGUCAGGAAUGAAAUGGAGGGUGUGCAUACCUAAAAUUUUUUCCUACCUAAUCCAAGUGUCACACAAAAGUUGGCAACAAUAUAAUACAUAUAGCUCAAAAGUCAGACAACAUUAUAGUUCCCACAUGUAGCACAUUUGCAACGUUGCAAAUACAAAGUCUUACAUGGAUACAAAUAUGUAGCAAACUACUACACUAAGUAACUCUACGACGUUCCUUUGCCAUGAAAGCUUCAACUAUGUCGUCCUCGCUUACUUUCAAGAACACAUCUCGUUCAAUGAAUGCCACUAAGCAAUCAUUCAGGAGAUCAUCACUCAUACUAUUUCUCAACUUAUUUUUCACUAGAUUCAUUGCCGAGAAUACUCUUUCAACACUCGCUAUGGCGACCGGUAAGAUCAAUACCAAUUUGAUAAGCAUGUAGACCAAAUCAUAGAGAACAUGUUUGUUUGUACAAACAAGCAUAACAGACACAAAGCAAUACGCCGCUUCCUUUGAGACACUAUAUUCUAGCCAACUAUACUUUUCAAACCAAACAAAACUAAAGUGUCGGUUUUUACCAUAGAUUUUCCUGACUUCAAAAGCAUGUCCAUAUGGACGACAUGUUGUCUUUGCAAUAUAUCUUCUCCGAACACUAUCUUGAUCAUUAAAAUCAUACUCUGAAAUAGGAGUUCUUUUCGCUGGAUCACCUGAAAAGACAUGUGCACUUGGUUGUUGAGGUGAUGGAAGACUUGGCGUUGCCUCUUCGAUUUCAGUAUCCGAAUGGAUAGGAGAUGGGGAAUUAGGACACCCCGCAUUUUCAAUAUCUUCAGUGUGAUGUUCACUAGCAAUCUUCCUCACUUUCUCUUCAUGUUUUUUAAAAAGAUCCAGAAUGGCACUUUUCCUCUUCAUGUUCUGCUUUGCAAGUUGCAACUGCAAGUCUGCAAUUAUAUCCAAUGUGAGUGCGUGAUUAUAUCUUCACAGAGGCUGCAAUGAGAAAUCCUACAGGCUACAGCCAGAGAAAAAAUGGAAGACCUAAAAAUCUGUUCCCAGUGUGCUUACCAGACAGAGGAGGGGAUCUGUACCGACCGGCUGAGGCCUGAGACUGAGAGGAAGGGAGGGGCGAGCGCGGCGACCGGCGGGAGGAGGGGAGCUGCGGGCGCGGCAGCCACGGGAGGAGGGCAGGCAACAGUGAGGGGAGGGGCGAGCAGGCGGCCGACGGGAGGGGAGCUGGGGAGGGAAGAGCGCGGCGGCCGGCGANNNNNNNNNNNNNNNNNNNNNNNNNNNNNNNNNNNNNNNNNNNNNNNNNNNNNNNNNNNNNNNNNNNNNNNNNNNNNNNNNNNNNNNNNNNNNNNNNNNNNNNNNNNNNNNNNNNNNNNNNNNNNNNNNNNNNNNNNNNNNNNNNNNNNNNNNNNNNNNNNNNNNNNNNNNNNNNNNNNNNNNNNNNNNNNNNNNNNNNNNNNNNNNNNNNNNNNNNNNNNNNNNNNNNNNNNNNNNNNNNNNNNNNNNNNNNNNNNNNNNNNNNNNNNNNNNNNNNNNNNNNNNNNNNNNNNNNGAGCGCGGCGGCCGGCGACAGGAGGGAAGGGCCGAGCGCGGCGGCCGCGGGAGGAGGGGAGGGGGAGGGGCGAGCGUCGGGCGAGACGAGACCACGAGAGGGCGAGCGACGGCUUGGUCAAAGUCUAUUUUUUAAUAGAUAAUAAAAAAAUAUUCCAGAUUCUGGAUGGGCCACGGCCCACCGUGCCUAUACGCUGGAUCCGCCAGUGCUCUGCAUUAUGAAAAUAAUAUCAUAUGCUAGUAGUUUCAUAUGCAUGGUAAUAUAGUAUAAUACUCUUCACUUAAGAGGAGCCUAAGGUGCCUUUGUGUCCGUGUUCCAUUUGAAACACUACUGGCCACAUGCAUUCACACUUGUUCAAGGUGGGGCACGCACCGCCUUGGGCGACGAACGAACGUACGUACGAGUGCGGUACGUACGUGCGUAGCAUGAGCCCACAGUUUGAAGAGGAAAAGGGCUGACUGGUGUGGCACGCCAAGAAGGCGACGGAAGAAGAGAAGGGAGGAUGAGCUGACAUGCUCGCGUUGAGUCACGGGAGGAUGUUUCCUAGCUUGUGUACAUACAUGUGCUGGACAAAAUGUGAUCAUCCAUGCAUAUGUGUACAAUCAACUGGUGGCAGAUUAGUGGAAUCAUAAUCGAUCACGAUCCAAUCCCAUGUCUGUCACGGGCUCCCCGUACGGAUGGAUCUAUUCUUUGACUGGCGUGCCCUCCGUGCAGUUGCGGAUGCCAGAGGGUUCUCUUUGGUUAGAGUAUUUUUAGCAGACUCCGUAUUCAUAAAACGUGUUUAUAGUUUGUGAAAAAAUAAUUUUACGGGUUGGCGUAAAUGAGGGAAGAGUCAGAUCCCGUAAAACGGAUCCGUAAAAAAAUAUUUGCAGAAGAUGUUUUUUUACGAGACGGCUAUGCAGGAUCUGCUCGGACAACUCAAAUGCGGAUCAUCAAAACGGCAGAUCAAAUCUUUAUAGUCGUGUUUGCGGACACUGAUAAAGUAGCCCGUCAUUCAACCUUGCGGAUCAGAUAUUCCUUUUUCUUUGUCUGAAGCAUCCAAUAACUAUAGAUAAAUAAUACAAUUCAUUCAUAAAUAACAUUCAAAAUAUUUUAGUGCAACCAUACUUUAAAUAUAAGUAUUACAAUCCAAACAAGAAGAUUUUAAUAACAUAGUUCAAUCCGUCCGGAUAGGGGUGAUACAGUGAUCCGCGUGGGAGUUGUCCUUAGAUGAUAACCCUAUGCCGUGGAAGUGUUCCAAAAUAUAUUUCAGUUAUAUAAGGAUCUAAGUAAGAAUAGGGCAUUUUAGAGACCGAACUCCAUGAAGAUCUUUAUUUUGAUUUUUUUUAAAUUCGUAAGUUUCAGUUUCAAAAAAUCUGAAAAAAUACAUAUGUAUGCAAGGAUGUAAAGUGUAUGUGUGAAAAAUUUCGGGACAAAAUACAUUGAAUUGCGAGCUGCAAAAAAGUAAUGGACUUUGAAGAGGAACAAUACAUAUGCUAAAAAACCCUAGAUUUGUCUUUUUUGUGGAGCUCGCAUUUUAAUGUAUUUAGACGUAAAAUUUACACACAUGUACACUAUGUAUCUAGGUAUAUGUAUAUUUAUUUUCAGGAGUUUUUGAAACUGAAAAGUUUGAAUCUUGAAGUUUUCAAAUAAAGGCCUCCAUCGAGCUAGGUCUCCGUUUGACAUUGUCUUCUAAGGAAUAUACAUAUUGGAAUUAAUAAUAUGAUAACUAAAACUUAAAAUACACAUACUCACCCCAUUUCAUAUUAAUUUUUUCUUAAACAAAUGAAAUAUGUCUAGAUACAUCUAUUUCACCGAUAACUAAUAUGGAACAAUUGUCUAAAAAAACUAAUAUGGAACAUAUGAAGUAUGAUUUAUUGUUUUUGAUCAUUAUAUAGUUGCAAAUAUAAUUAUUUAUUAAAAUAUAAUAUGAUAAAAUGGCAGUACUCAUGCAUGUUUCAUUGCAUGUUGAGGUGGAUUUUUUUGAGUUGGGCCUUUUCACAUGCAUGUUGCAUGAUGGUGAGGUGGCAUGCAUUAUGUUAAGAGGAAUAUGUUAGUUGGGUUAACUAUGUAGAUAUAAAAGAUUAGUGUAUGUUAAUCUAGGAUCAAGCAAUCACACGGGAUAGAACUCCAAGAUUCUUUAGGGCAUGAUAAUGGGCGCUCCUUUCCGUUGAUAUAGUUAUAAUACAACACGCCGACCACCCGACUGCCAACACAUAUCACAUGGUGUCUCUACCACAUAUUAUAUAGGAGACAUAUGAUACACUGUACCAUUGGAACACGACUUCAUACCCUGUUUAUAGAGCUUGUGAAUCCAAGUCUAUCCAUCACCUAUCUUAUAAAAAAUAUUUAACAUAAUUUCAACAAACUCCACCUUGGUAAAUAUUCUUCACCGCUUUGAGUUUGUUCAUGUGUCAAACUUUCGUGGUACAUUGAACUUGAGAUUUUACCAUGAGUAGCACUGCUACUCCCAAACUUUAUGUGACUCCAUCUAUAAUUGUAGUCCCUUCUUUCUUCAUCACAGUCAACGCUCUGGAAAACUUAAGUUCCUUUUCUCUAGUUUGCACUCUCUACUUUGGAGUAUCUGUUUAAUGCCAUCACACAUUGAUUAUUGAGUCACCAUAUUCAACAACACUAUUGUAUCGUCACCUUAACAACCUCUUCCUUGACCCGUGUGAAAUAUGAACAUUUCACAUAUUAGACUCUACAUAUAAGAGUUACAUGAAAUCAACAUCCCUAUUCUUUCUUGACUGCAUGUCUGAAACUCGAAGGAAUUUCAAUGCUAAUUAGUCCUCCUUAAUCAAAUUCACAGUGAACUCACCAUUGUCUGAUCAUCAGAGCCCUCGUUUGUCCCAUGUCAACUGCACUGCAUGACUCACCGCUGUCAGCACGUCGAGUCUUUGAUGUAUGGAUCGAGUACCUGGAUCGUGGACCCACACCUCCAAAACUCAUACCACAGAUAACCUCCGGUCAUCGCUGACCGAUUCCUAGUUUUCAUGAUUCUGUCGGACCAUUAAACUUCAGUACAGACCACAUGCUUCUCGCCUCCUUUUCAGUUGAAAUAGGCUUUCACUCUGGUCGACUCAAUAUCGUAGUCCCUCAAAUCAUCCUAGUGAAGUCUUCUAUUAGACUAGAGCACCAACUUCAACAUGACUCCAUGAUAGAUGAUCAGUCCAUCGUCACACCCAUUGACUUCAAACUCUCAUGUGCAUAGUCUUAAAUAAAUCUUGUGUUGGGGAACGUCGCAUGGGAAACAAAAAUUUUCCUACGCGCACGAAGACCUAUCAUGGUGAUGUUCAUCUACGAGAGGGGAUGAGUGAUCUACGUACCCUUGUAGAUCGUACAGCAGAAGCGUUAGUGAACGCGGUUGAUGUAGUGGAACGUCCUCACAUCCCUCGAUCCGCCCCGCGAACAAUCCCGCGAUCAGUCCCACGAUCUAGUACCGAACGGACGGCACCUCCGCGUUCAGCACACGUACAACUCGACGAUGAUCUCGGCCUUCUUGAUCCAGCAAGAGAGACGAAGAGGUAGAAGAGUUCUCCGACAGCGUGACGGCGCUCCGGAGGUUGGUGAUGACCUUGUCUCAGCAGGGCUCCGCCCGAGCUCCGCAGAAACGCGAUCUAGAGGAAAAACCGUGGAGAUAUGUGGUCGGGCUGUCGUGGAAAAGUCGUCUCAAAUCAGCCCUAAAACCUCCGUAUAUAUAGGUGGGAGGGAGGGGGCCUUGCCUUGGGGCUCAAGGAGCCCCAAGGGGGUCGGCCGAGCCAAGGGGGGGAAGGACUCCCCCCCAAACCGAGUUGGACUUGGUUUGGUGGGAGUCCUUCCUUCCCUUCCCACCUCCUUCCUUUUUUUUUUCUUUUUUUCUUUGAUUUUAUUUCUAUUGCGCAUAGGCCCCUCUUGGGCUGUCCCACCAGCCCACUAAGGGCUGGUGUGCCACCCUCAAGGCCUAUGGGCUUCCCCGGGGUGGGUUGUCCCCCCGGUGAACUCCCGGAACCCAUUCGUCAUUCCUCGUACAUUUUCGGUAACUCCGAAAACCUUCCGGUAAUCAAAUGAGGUCAUCCUAUAUAUCAAUCUUCGUUUCCGGACCAUUCCGGAAACCCUCGUGACUUCCGUGAUCUCAUCCGGGNNNNNNNNNNNNNNNNNNNNNNNNNNNNNNNNNNNNNNNNNNNNNNNNNNNNNNNNNNNNNNNNNNNNNNNNNNNNNNNNNNNNNNNNNNNNNNNNNNNNNNNNNNNNNNNNNNNNNNNNNNNNNNNNNNNNNNNNNNNNNNNNNNNNNNNNNNNNNNNNNNNNNNNNNNNNNNNNNNNNNNNNNNNNNNNNNNNNNNNNNNNNNNNNNNNNNNNNNNNNNNNNNNNNNNNNNNNNNNNNNNNNNNNNNNNNNNNNNNNNNNNNNNNNNNNNNNNNNNNNNNNNNNNNNNNNNNNNNNNNNNNNNNNNNNNNNNNNNNNNNNNNNNNNNNNNNNNNNNNNNNNNNNNNNNNNNNNNNNNNNNNNNNNNNNNNNNNNNNNNNNNNNNNNNNNNNNNNNNNNNNNNNNNNNNNNNNNNNNNNNNNNNNNNNNNNNNNNNUUGAUCAACUGGCUAGCCAACUAGAGGCUUGCUAGGGACAGUGUUUUGUCUAUGUAUCCACACAUGUAAAUGAGUCUUCAUUCAAUACAAUUAUAGCAUGGAUAAUAAAUGAUUAUCUUGAUACAAGAACUAUAAUAAUAACUAUAUUUAUUAUUGCCUCUAGGGAAUAAUUCCAACAUCUCGCACCAUAGCCUUGUCGAGUGUACAAACCAUUAGGCAUGUGACACGUGUCACCACACUCACAAGUUGGUCACCAUCAACAUCACACUCUUAUGCCGUUGUUGCCGAUAUCACCACCACAUUGUAUUUCUACCAAUCUCCUAGUAGAUCCGCGAAUCCAUCCAGGAUGACCGCCUUGUGUUUGAGAUGACCGAACUUCUUUGGAUGUAAUCAUGCUCCAUCCAGGACGUGUCAUCCUAGCACCCGUGCAUUGCUCAACACCCUAUAGAACAUGAUUGUGCACGACAAACUUGAGGCUUCAAAUCAUCUUCUAUGAAUUCUCAUCCAUCACAUAAUAUUUCCUUUUUAGUUGGCUUUACUUCCGCAAUGCUUUCAAGCAUCCCGUUGUGCUAAUAAAUAUUUCAUCCUUGUAUGCCAUAACCCGUUUUCUGUUUUCAUCAAACAACUUAGAUGGUGGUGAGAGCGGCAUUAUCGACGAGCAUUGUGGCUGUUCUCACAAGCAUGGCGUCUACCAUUUCCCCAAAUGAUUCACGAACAAGAUAGUGGAUGGGCCACAACUGUUAGGUGGACCGGACCAUGGAUUUUUUUGGAGCAGAAGGCGUUGAUUCCAAAAAAAGGAACAAUUGCAUUUUUGCCCUCAAUUGUUUCCUACCCACGGGGUUUUUUCUUACUUUUCGAGUCUGUUCAGUUUUUUCUUAGAUUUCUAUCCGAGGUUGUAUGAAUACCUUUCCAUCACGGUUCACUACUGCGAGAGUCAUUUGACCGCGAUAAAGCACCGAUUUGGACACUUUGCGCCUGGUAAAAAAUAGACACUCUCUUCAUGUGGGACCUUCCAUAAAAAACUAAAGGGAGCUAAAUACUCAAUCUAUCUCUCCUCUUCAUCUCCUACCUCCCAAGAUGGAGAAACGUGGGGCCACACGACCGCUGAUGGCUGGCGUGCGAGGAGGCAGGGCAGCGGCGUAACAGACUUGUCGGGCCACAACUGCUCUCUCUCUCUCUCACCGAGUGAGUCACUAACUCUCUAUCUUUCUCCCUACCUUACUCUCUCUCAACUUAUUACAUUGGCACAUCACAUCGCCAACGAUCAUGAAUCGAUCAUACUGUGCACCUAGUCGCCCUCAUCCCCUCCAGCCAUUUGCCCUCCACUCUCCUUAAGCCACAUCACCUCUUGUUCCUUAUGCAUAGAGAAUGAGAACGAUGCCUAGAGGCCUCGGUGAGUGCAACCUCCAUCGUCAUACCCACAACUAGAGGCCUCGCUGAGCCCAACCUCCAUGUCUAAUAGCCCAUCCACAUUCUCUUUAGCCUUACAACAACACAAAUAUAGCGCAUAAUCCCCUAAUCAUCGAUACCCCUUUUGUCUUCUUCAUCUCCGAUGUUGCACCAUCGCUGCAUGAUCAAUCUCUCAUGCGAGCUAUGAUCUUCCUCGUUUGUUUACUUAUCUUUGAGGAAUCAUCCUAAAGCUACGAUCGUUGUCAUCAUUGUGUCCUUUGUUUCCAAGCACCCUAUUCCGCGACCGACCGUUCUAGUAGCAAUUGUCGUUGGCCAUGGCGAUGCUCUGAAACACCCCGCCUCGCCUUCAUGCUCACCAUGAGCAUGUGGCAACUUCCCCUUCUCUCGUGGUCUCUGCUAUGGCAUAUGUCUACCCUUGUGUUUUUGGUGAUUGAUGACAAUGCAAUUGCGGACUAAUCCUGUGCACUAAGCCUUUUAGGUAUUGUUGGGGAUAUAACCCCGCUACAUAACCCACCCUAUUGGGUCGGUUCAUUAUUAUGGCAACUCAACGUUCGUGGUAAGAUGAGUCCUGACAUGCAAGAUUGGAGGCGCAAGGCGAGUCACAGCCUAUUGGCGGCCCAAGACAUGAAGUUGGCAACUUAUGGUCCACGAGGUAGAAGGUCACCAAUAGUUUCCUUGCUGAAGGAGCAAGGCGAGUUAGAGACAUAACGGGUCACGAAUCAUAACGUGACCUGGUCUUGUAAACCCAGGACCUCGACCUGUAUAUAAAGGCGAGUCUCGAGGACCGAUAGACUUAGGUUACAAUCGAUCAAAAGCUAGGUCAAGAGAAUCCACACCCUUGUAAUCGAUUUCAUCAUCAAUACACACAAAUCAGGACGUAGGCUUUUACCUCCAUAGGAAGGGCCGAACCUGGGUAAACUUGUCUCUUGUUCCUGAUCAAACCCUUGGAGUCGCCAUAUAGUUGCAAUGGCCUCAUCACUAAGUCCUUUCACGAGGACAUAUGUCGUGACAAAACCAUGACAGUUGGCUCCCACCGUGGGGCUAUCGCAUGGUGGAGUUGAGUUCUCAAAGGGAGCCCUUCCAGGGUUCGGGAGCUAUGCGGUUAGUCUGAUUACCAAGAGCCGUCGUGGAAAGCGCUACAUCGACAAUUCGAGAUGGGGUCCCGAGGCAGAUUCAAUCGAGUCUGGUUACCGGUUCCCCUUUGGCAAGGUGCACAUCUUCAUCGGUAAAAUCGACACGUAUAUCCCCGAGUCGGACAUCUCCACUCACGUCGUCGAACCGGCUCGGCUCACUCAACCCGCCCAGCGUCAAGUCGGGCGACGUCACGUCUUCGUCGGCUUCACGCAAGGGAUCAGCCUCCCAGAUGAGCUGGCGGACGGUGGAGAUACCCUUGUUCACUCUGAUGGUGAGUCAUCCAUGGGAGAGACAAAGUCGAUCUGCUCCCUCUAUGAUGGGAGGCUUGGGGGCCGCCCUGAGGUGGAAAUCUCCAAAGAAUUGCAACAGCCGCCCCGCCAGGUCACCAUCUACAUCGCAGGGGCCAAGCCGGAUCAGGAUCUGCCAGGAGCAACCGCCACCAAUGGAGCUAGUGGGUCUGGCAAGACGCCGGCUCAAGCCAUGAUGGAUUUGAUGGGGGAGAUGACGAAACUCGUGGCAACCCUAGUUACUGCUCAGAAUCAGGAGGAGAUCAACGCGGAGUUAACAAAGCUUCAUGAGGAGAUGGCUAAAGUGCAGCGGGAGAUCGACGUCGAGAACACCCAGAUGGCAGAGCCGCAGGCUCGAAUCAAUAAUGAGUCGGAGCGUUUGAAAGUCGAGGCUUGGCAGUUGGAACAUCGUCGAAAUGCUUCCUACGCGGUACACCAAAGGAGACAUCAUACUCGGUUUUCGGUUGAUCUUGACCCGACUUGCUUGUUCAACAGCCCACGCACACUGGGGGUGGAGCGGGACCCCCCUCGAUAGACAGACCGACAAGUCGAGCCGACUCAGCCUCCACCGACGCGGUCGCCGACUCAGCGGUUCCAGAUGCUGUAUGGUCACUUCUCCAACCCUGUUGAUAAUAUGUUGGCUGCCACACGUAACCUGGAGUUGCUCCCCAACAAUGAAAACAACCCGGUUAAGGUGGAGGCCAGGAACUCCAUUGAGAUGCUCAAGAUUGCGGUGGACGGUGGUUCAACAAGCGCACUUUUAUCACAACCGUGAUCGGUUACACUCCACGCCGCACGCCAGUCGCACCAAGAGUCGCCAUGAGGAGUCUCUAGCAGUUUCUAGCAGCGGUCGACGACAACAAUCUCAAUUUAACCCGUCCGGGCCUCCGGUAUCGAAUGCCUAGGCGCUCGUGAACACAGCCCGAGCCGCCCGUCAGGCAGAAGAAGACGCGGCGGCAACGCUGGUGGCUCAGGUGGUUCCUACUUACACUCAGCCAACGCCCGCACAUGGCGAGUCAAGUGGUAGGACCCUCGGGGUCCCCUGUUUAUCUUUGGCUCUUCGCAAUGAGGGCAUGACAAAAGACUUCAAAGGCCCUCGCAAGGUGCCUAACUAUACAACAAAUCUUGAGCUGGCCGCAUGGAUUGAGAGUUACGAGCUCGCUAUGGACAUGCUUGAUGCCAAUGAUGCGGUGUGUGUGCCAAAUACCUUACGAUAAUGUUGGAAGGGCCGGCUCAAACAUCAUUGAAAAACUUGCCACCCAAUUCCAUCAACACGUGGGCAGAGUUGAAGGACCGGUUUAUAAAAAUUUCUGAGGAACCUGCAAAUGCCCAAUGACGAUUGUGAAUCUGCAGCACUGCAUUCAGCACAGCAACAAGUCGGCUCACCACGACAGGCCGGGUUGCAGAGAUUAUUCAAUCAUCAGAUGGUAUCACUACCACCCAGGCCGUCCUGAUCCUGGAGAAGAAUUGCCACUUUCAACCACUGGUCUUGAAGCUUGGUCGAUUGAAGCAAAAGGUACAGGAUAUGGGUGAGUUAAUGGAUACUCUUACUAGAUAUGCUGAGUCAGAUGACACGAAGGAUGCCGGUUCAGUUGAGGACGAGUCGAGUAAGGGCAAGAAAAGCGCAAAUACCAAGGGUCACCGUCAGAAUCUUGGACGCAAUGGUAACCCAGGAGGACAAGGAAAGCAGAAACAUCAGGAUGGCAAGUCAUACCUCGUAGCCAACACCAAUACCGGGUUUAGGAACCAGCGUCAAGGCACUCGACCUUACAACGGGAGGAAGCCGCACAAUUAUGAGGAGAUGCUUAAAGCACCUUGUCCCCAUCAUAGUACCCCGGAUGUUCCGGCCACUCAUUCCUGGGAAGAAUGUUUUGUUAUGGCAUCGUUCCAGGUAUAUCGGCGCACCCAGUCAGGCUGGUCAAGUUAAAUGUGGCCUUUGGUGAUAAAUUCAACAACCGAAGUGAAGCUUUGAUGUUUGAGGUGGUCAAAAUCACGAGCCCUUAUCAUGUCCUCUUCGGACGGCCAACUUAUGCUCGCUUUAUGGCCCGGCCUUGCUAUGUGUACUUAAACUCAAGAUGUCGGGUCGCAAGGGUAUCAUUACCGUGAGUGGAAGCCAGAAGAUAGCUCAGGAUUGCGAGGAAGGAGAUGCAGCUUAUGCAGAGGCGGCGUGCGCAGCUGAGGAGUUGAAAUUCUAUGGAGCUAAUGUUGACCCGACAGAUAUGACCCCCCUUAAAAAGCCCUCCACCGAGUCUGAGCCGCUACUCAAGUUCCAGUCAAGGAUGAUACCAAGCAAGUCAAUUUCACCCCAGGGGACUAUUCUAAGCAGUUCACUAUUGGGACGAGCCUGGAUCCCAAAUAGGAAAGCACACUCAUCGAAUUCAUCUGUAAGAAUCGGGACAUCUUCACAUGGAAACCUUCUGACAUGCUUGGAGUGCUGAGAGAAUUCACUGAGCACCACCUUAAUGUGGAUCCAAAGAUGAAACCAGUGCAACAAUACCUCCACCGUUUUAACGAGGAGAGACGCAAGGCCAUUGGGGAAGAAGUCGCCCGACUCUUAGCUACCGGGUUCAUUAUCAAAGUUUUUCAUGCUGAGUGGCUGGCUAACUCGGUCCUGGUUCUAAAUAAGAACGACACCUUUCUCAUGUUUAUCGAUUACAUCGAUCUCAACAAAGCUUGUCUAAAGGAUCCUUUUGCUCCCCCCAUAUCGAUCAAAUCAUUGACUCUACGGUGGGUUGUGAGCGCGCGUGUUUCCUGGAUGCAUACUCAGGUUACCACCAGAUUUAGAUGGCCAAGGAGGAUCAGGAAAAGACGGCUUCCAUAACCCCUUUUGGCGCUUUCUGCUAUGUCUCUAUGCCCUUUGGACUUAAGAGUACGGGGGCGACUUAUGAACGCUGCAUCCAGAAUUGUUUGCACACCAGAUUGGGCGCAAUGUCCACUCCUAUGUUGAUGACAUCGCAGUGGAAUCUUAGAAGAAGGAAACACUCUUGGAGGAUCUCAAGGAGACGUGAUAACCCACAAGUAUANNNNNNNNNNNNNNNNNNNNAACCCAAAUUUAUUGAUUUGACUCAAGGGGAAGCGAAAGAAUAUUCUCAAGUAUUAGCAGUUGAGUUGUCAAUUCAACCAAACCUGAAAGAUUUAGUGUCAGCAGCAAAGUAUCAGUAGCAAAGUAGGGUGAUAGCAGCAGUAGCAACAAUAACCAGUAGCAGCAGAGUAACAACAGUAGCAACAGAGUAACAGUAGCAGCAGUGACAACAGUAGCAGCAAAGUAACGUAGCAAGGACCAGUUGGAAAAGACUCGUAGGCANNAACCCAAAUUUAUUGAUUCGACUCAAGGGGAAGAGAAAGAAUAUUCUCAAGUAUUAGCAGUUGAGUUGUCAAUUCAACCACACCUAAAAGGUUUAGUGUGUGCAACAAAGUAUUAGUAGCAAAGUAGGGUGAUAGCAGCAGUAGCAACGGUAACCAGUAGAAGCAGAGUAACAACAGUAGCAACAGAGUAACAGUAGCAGCAAUGACAACAGUAGCAACAAAGUAACGUAGCAAGGACCAGUAGGAAAAGACUCGUAGGCAUUGGAUCGGUGAUGGAUGAUUAUGCCGGAUGUGAUUCAUCAUAUAACAGUUAUAACACGGAGAGAUACGUAACUAGCUCCCGUUCGUCAAUCUAAUGUAGGCAUGUAUUCCGUAUGUAGUCAUACGUGCUUANNNNNNNNNNNNNNNNNNNNNNNNNNNNNNNNNNNNNNNNNNNNNNNNNNNNNNNNNNNNNNNNNNNNNNNNNNNNNNNNNNNNNNNNNNNNNNNNNNNNNNNNNNNNNNNNNNNNNNNNNNNNNNNNNNNNNNNNNNNNNNNNNNNNNNNNNNNNNNNNNNNNNNNNNNNNNNNNNNNNNNNNNNNNNNNNNNNNNNNNNNNNNNNNNNNNNNNNNNNNNNNNNNNNNNNNNNNNNNNNNNNNNNNNNNNNNNNNNNNNNNNNNNNNNNNNNNNNNNNNNNNNNNNNNNNNNNNNNNNNNNNNNNNNNNNNNNNNNNNNNNNNNNNNNNNNNNNNNNNNNNNNNNNNNNNNNNNNNNNNNNNNNNNNNNNNNNNNNNNNNNNNNNNNNNNNNNNNNNNNNNNNNNNNNNNNNNNNNNNNNNNNNNNNNNNNNNNNNNNNNNNNNNNNNNNNNNNNNNNNNNNNNNNNNNNNNNNNNNNNNNNNNNNNNNNNNNNNNNNNNNNNNNNNNNNNNNNNNNNNNNNNNNNNNNNNNNNNNNNNNNNNNNNNNNNNNNNNNNNNNNNNNNNNNNNNNNNNNNNNNNNNNNNNNNNNNNNNNNNNNNNNNNNNNNNNNNNNNNNNNNNNNNNNNNNNNNNNNNNNNNNNNNNNNNNNNNNNNNNNGGCGACAACAUAAUAGGUUCAGAUCUGAAAUCAUGGCACUCGGGCCCUAGUGACAAGCAUUAAGCAUGGCAAAGUAGUAGCAACAUCAAUCUCAGAACAUAGUGGAUACUAGGGAUCAAUCCCGUCAAAACUAACUCGAUUACAUGAUAGAUCUCAUCCAAAUCAUCACCGUCCAGCAAGCCUACGAUGAGAUUACUCACGAACAGUGAAGAGCAUCAUGGAAUUGGCGAUGAAGGAAGGUUGAUGAUGAUGAUGGCGACGAUUUCCCCUCUCCGGAGCCCAGAACGGACUCCAGAUCUGCCCUCCAGAUGAAGAACAGGAGGUGGCGGCGCCUCCAUAUCGUAAAAUGCGGUGAACUCUUCUCCCUGAUUUUUUCCGGACGAAACAGACUAUAUAGAGCUGGAUCGAGAGGCGGUGGAGCGUCUUGGGCUCCACAAGCGUGCCAGGCGCGGCCAGGGGCCCCCCGCUCCUGGUGGGCUUGUGGGCUCAUGGCUCCACUCCCUCCGCUGAUUCUUGCGCUGGUAUUUUUCAUAAAUUCCAGAAAAAUUCGCCGUAAAUUUUCAGGUCAUUCCGAGAACUUUUAUUUCUGUGCAAAAACAACACCAUGGCAAUUCUGCUGAAAACAGCGUUAGUCCGGGUUAGUUCCAUUCAAAUCAUGCAAAUUAGAGUCCAAAACAAGGACAAAAGAAUUCGGAAAACUAGAUACGACGGAGACGUAUCAACUCCCCCAAGCUUAAAGCCUUGCUUGUCCUCAAGCAAUUCAGUUGACAAACUGAAAGAGACAAAAGAAAAACUUUGAUGAACUCUGUUUGAUCUUGUUGUUGCAACUAUGUCUAACUCAUAACCAGAAUUUCAGCAAGAUCACAAGCUAACCACAUAAUCAAAUGACAUCUAGGUCUCAUGGUAAAAUCAUAUAAAUGGCAUAAUCAACUAGCGAGCAAAUAAUAAUAAGUCUCAAACGUCAACACUUCAAUCAAAACAAUCAUGAAGCAGUACAAAAAGAUGGUAUCUCGCUAGCUCUUUCUGAGACCGCAAAACAUAAAUGCAGAGCAACUUCAAAGACCAAAGGAUGACUAAACAUUGUAAUUCAUGGCAAAGAAGAUCCAGUCACAGUCGUACUCAACACAGUUAAAAGCAAAACAUAAAAAUGACAAAGGUGUUCUCUAAUUGGUUCUUUUAUAAGAGGAGGAUGACUCAACAGGAACAUAAAUAGACAGGCCCUUCGCAGAGGAAAGCAUUGAUUUGCAGAGGUGCCAGAGCUCAAGCUUUUAAAACAGAGAUAAUAAUUUUGGGUGGCAUGCUUUCAUUGUCAACACAAUGACUAAGAGUUCUCACCAUCUUCCAUGCUACACAUGCUAUAGGCGGUUCCCAAACAGAAAAGUAAAGUUUUGACUCCCCCACCACCGAUCAGUCACACUCCACGACUAGCCGAAUACUCGGGUGCCGUCCAUACCAAUAUCAAUCCAGGGGGAGUUUUGUUUGCAAUUAUAUUUUCGAUUUGAGCAUGGAACCGGGCAUUCCAAUUACCGCCCCUUUCUCGUGAAUGAUAGUUAAUAAACACAUAUCGAGGAUAACACGCCUGCAUGGAAGAUACUGAUAGCCCCCUGUCACCACAUGAGCGGUUCGGGCAUGCAAAACAGAUUACUUCUUGAAGAUUUAGAGAGUGGCACAUGCAAAUUUACUUGGAACGACAGGUAGAUACCGCAUAUAGGUAGGUAUGGUGGACUCAUAUGGAACGACUUUGGAUUUAUGGAAGUGGAUGCACAAGCAGUAUUCGUGCUUAGUACAAGUGAAGGCUAGCAAAAGACUGGGAAGCAACAACCUAGAGAGCGACAACGGUCAUCAAAAUGCAUUGAGAUUAACUAACAUUGAGUGCAAGCAUGAGUAGGACAUAAAUCACCAUGAACAUGAAUAUCAUAGAGGCUAUGUUGAUUUUUUUUCAACUACAUGCGUGAACAUGCGCCAAGUCAAGCCACUUGAAUCAUUCAAAGGAGGAUAUCGUCCUAUCAUACUACAACACAUUCAUCUCAAAAUUCAUGUGGGCAUCCAAGACAAACCAUUAUAAGCUCCUAGCUAAGUAAGCAUGGCAUCGGCAACUAUGAUCUCUAAGUUGUCAUUGCAAACAUGUUUCCCUCACAACAAAGCUGAAUCAGGCACAAUGAGCUAGUCAUAUUUACAAAAACAAAAUAGAUCGAGUUCAUACCAGCUUUUCCAGGCUCAGUCACUUCAUCAUAUAUCGUCAUUAUUGCCUUUCACUUGCAUGACCGAAUGAUGUGAACAAUAAUAAGCGUGCUAGUGCAUUGGACUAUGCUGGAAUCUGCAGGCAAACACAAAGGAGAAGACAAAGUAAUAUGGCUCUUUAACAGCUAGACAGUUAUGCAUGCGAGAGCCACUAAACAUUGUAACCAUUGUCUUCUACCUUGACCCAAAGAAAAAGAAAACUAUUUACACGGGAAAUCUCCCAACAAGCAAAAGAAGAAAAAUAAAAUCUUUUUGGGUUUUCUCAAACUAGACACACACACAAAAAGAAAAUGAGAAAAAUAAAUAAACUAGCAUGGAUGAUACAGUGGCAAAGUGUGAACACCGACGAACAAAGUGAAAGCAUAAGCAAGAAUGUAAAGUCGGUGAGAAACACGUACUCCCCUAAGCUUAGGCUUUUGGCCUAAGUUGGUCUACUCCCAUGGAGGGAAAUAACCAGCUCCGGGGUACUCCGGAGUGGACUGAGGAUGCCACUGCUGUGUGAGCUCCUCCGGCUCCCACUGAUAAACUGGCGUCUGGUACUCGACUGGUGGCUCGGGCACGGGCACCUGUAGUUGGGCUAAGCCCCAAUAUGCGUAGAUGUCCGAGGGCAUAAUAAUGUACCUGCCUGUAUGAAGAUUGAACAAAGAAGGAGCAGGCAAAGUAAUAGUCUCACGAGUACCUUGACUAAAUACUAGGUUAUAAAUCAUCCUUCUACUUAUAUCUAUAUCAAGAAAGUCAUGGCGAACCAUGCUAUCGUAAUCUAGAUAUCUCUCGGGAAGAAGAAUCUCUUCUUCCUCUUCCAGUCUAAUAGGUAUCUCAAAGUGUCUAGCAAGACGAGUAGCAUAGAUACCUCCAUAGACAAUGCCUUUAGAAUGGUUUGUGUUCAACCGUUGAGCUACUAUAGCGCCCAAGCUAUAAGUUUUAUCAUUAUAAAGGGCUUCGCACAAGACCGCAAGAUCUGGGGAACUAAGUGACCCAACUUUCCCACGACCAAUCAAACAUUUUCCAAUGAAUAAUGAGAAGUACCGAAGCACGGGAAAAUGAAUGGUAGCAGCUCUAGCGCAAGACACUCCUCUCUCCUCUCCUAUAGCAAUUGUAUCGAUGAAAGCUUCCAAGUCCCUUGGACGAGGUUCAUGAAUAUCCCCAACGUAGGGUAAUUUGCAAACAUUGCAAAAAUCCUGGAGUGACAUGUGCUGGGGGAUAUCAUAAAGUUUGAACUCAACCAUAGGAGGAUUCUUCCUCGGAUAGAAGUUAAAGCUUUGUACGAAGAUAUUAGUGAGGAGGAGGUAUUGCAGACACUUAUCUUCAACGAAGGCGGUAAGGCCUGCGUUUUCCACCAAGUAAUAGAAGUCCUCAUAAAGUCCAGCGGCGCGGAAGAACACGUCGCUUGGCCACUCGCACGCUCGAACUUCUGCGACUCGAGGAACCAGAUACUUGGGCUUCUUCUCACUUCCAUCAUCCUUGGGGUCAUGGCUUGAAGAUCCUCUUAAGAACCUCCUCAUCUUUUCCCUUUUCUAUCUCUGAAAAUUUCUGAAAUUUUUAGCGAUUCUAAGGAAAAGUGAACAAGGCCGAACGAAACUCGUAGAAACUACUCCAACAAGUGCCUAGAGGCCAUAUUACGCAUCAAAACCACUUGGGACCAGCUAAAAUUAGCAUGCAAAGCUCAAGAACAUGGUCACCAAGGCAGCAAAAAUACGCGAAGUAUAAGGCACUAGAGCAAAAACUAAUUGGACCAAUGGGGGAGUCAGUUACCAAGGAGUAAUUUCUCCAAAACAGUUGGGAGAAUGGUGCUUUGAGCAAGGAGAUCGAAAAUCCCAGCAAGAGGAGCAAGAACACGGGUUUGAGAUGCGAAACGAUUUUUUCUGGAGGUAGGAGGACCAGAUGGGAGCUAGAAUGAGUGGAGGGGGUGAAUGUGGGCCCCACAAGCCAGGUAGGCACGGCCGGGGGGGGGGGGGCCNNNNNNNNNNNNNNNNNNNNNNNNNNNNNNNNNNNNNNNNNNNNNNNNNNNNNNNNNNNNNNNNNNNNNNNNNNNNNNNNNNNNNNNNNNNNNNNNNNNNNNNNNNNNNNNNNNNNNNNNNNNNNNNNNNNNNNNNNNNNNNNNNNNNNNNNNNNNNNNNNNNNNNNNNNNNNNNNNNNNNNNNNNNNNNNNNNNNNNNNNNNNNNNNNNNNNNNNNNNNNNNNNNNNNNNNNNNNNNNNNGGGGGGGGGGGGCCCCGCGCCUCCAGGGCUUGUGGCCCACUGGUGCAGCCCCCAGACUAGCUCUUCGUCUUGGUAUUUUUCAAAAAAUCCAGAAAAAAUCAUACUUGAUUUUCAGGACGUUCGGAGAACUUUUAUUUUUGGGGUACUUUUCUACCGGAUGCUAAAACAGAAAACAGGGAAAACUAAACUAAAUCUAUCAUUUUUCUUCUAAGCAACCGAAGGUGUAAGCUUGGAACAGAGGUUUGUGACUCCUCGAUUCAUCCAUCUCAUGGUCAUCGAAAGAAAUCCGUCAAUGAGGUUGAUCAAGUCUCCUUGACAAACCUUUUUGAAUCGCAAAAGCGAACAGAGAAUUUUUGAAUAGUCACUAGGUCGCCUCAAUGGGGAUGUGUAUCUCCCCAACAAGCAAAUCAUACUUCAUCUUGACAGGAGNNNNNNNNNNNNNNNNNNNNNNNNNNNNNNNNNNNNNNNNNNNNNNNNNNNNNNNNNNNNNNNNNNNNNNNNNNNNNNNNNNNNNNNNNNNNNNNNNNNNNNNNNNNNNNNNNNNNNNNNNNNNNNNNNNNNNNNNNNNNNNNNNNNNNNNNNNNNNNNNNNNNNNNNNNNNNNNNNNNNNNNNNNNNNNNNNNNNNNNNNNNNNNNNNNNNNNNNNNNNNNNNNNNNNNNNNNNNNNNNNNNNNNNNNNNNNNNNNNNNNNNNNNNNNNNNNGAUGAAGUUUUUUCGAUAGCAUUGAUGCAAUGUACUCGAUAUUGUUUCUUCGGAAAGUGCACCGUAUGCUCAUUACCGUUGACAUGGAAAGUGACAUUGCCUUUGUUGCAAUCUAUAACAGCCCCUGCAGUGUUUAAAAAGGGUCUUCCGAGGAUGACUGCCAUGGCAUCGUCCUCGGGAAUAUCAAAGAUAACAAAGUCUGUUAAGAUAGUGAUGUUAGCAACCACAACAGGCACAUCCUCGCAAAUGCCGAUAGGGAAAGUAGUUGAUUUGUCGGCCAUUUGCAGAGAGAUUUCCGUGGGUGUCAACUUAUCCAGUUCANNNNNNNNNNNNNNNNNNNNNNNNNNNNNNNNNNNNNNNNNNNNNNNNNNNNNNNNNNNNNNNNNNNNNNNNNNNNNNNNNNNNNNNNNNNNNNNNNNNNAAUAACUAAUUUAUUAUUGCCUCUAGGGCAUAUUUCCAACAGUCUCCCACUUGCACUAGAGUCAAUAAUCUAGUUCACAUCACCAUGUGAUUCCAACGAAUCCAACACACAUAUAGUCAUGGGGUCUGAUCACGUCUUGCUCGUGAGAGCGGUUUUAGUCAACGGUUCUGAAACUUUCAGACCCGUGUGUUCUUUACAAAUCUUUAUGUCAUCUUAUAGAUGCUGCUACUAUGUGCUAUUCGGAAAUACUCCAAAUAUCUACUCUAUUAUACGAAACCGUUUCACUACUCAUAGUUAUUCGGAUUAGUGUCAAAGCUUGCAUCGACGUAACCCUUUACGACGAACUCUUGAACCACCUCCACAAUCGAGAAAAAUUCCUUAGUCCAUCAGUUACUAAGGAUAAAUUUUGACCGCUGCUAGUGAUUCAAUCAUGGAUCACUCUCUAUACCUCUCAACAGACUUUGAGUCAAGGCACACAUCAGGUGCGGUACCCAGCAUGUCAUACUUUAGAGNNNNNNNNNNNNNNNNNNNNNNNNNNNNNNNNNNNNNNNNNNNNNNNNNNNNNNNNNNNNNNNNNNNNNNNNNNNNNNNNNNNNNNNNNNNNNNNNNNNNCGGUUUGUUUGUCGAGAUCCGAUGAAUUGUGGAUUUAUGAUCAAAUUAUCUAUGAAUCUUAUUUGAGUUUCUUUUGAUCUCUCUUAUGCAUGAUUUCAUAUCCUUGUAAUUCUCUUCGAGUUGUGGGUUUUGUUUCGCCAACUAGAUCUAUGAUUCUUGCAAUGGGAGAAGUGCUUGAUUUUGGGUUCAUACCGUGCGGUGACCUCACCCAGUGACAGAAGGGGUAGCGAGGCACACAUCGUGUUGUUGCCAUCAAGGGUAAAAAGAUGGGGUUUUCUUCAUUGGUUUGAGAUUAUCUCUCUACAUCAUGUCAUCUUGCUUAAGGUGUUACUCUGUUCGUCAUGAAAUCAAUACACUAGAUGCAUGCUGGAUAGCGGUCGAUGUGUGGAGUAAUNNNNNNNNNNNNNNNNNNNNNNNNNNNNNNNNNNNNNNNNNNNNNNNNNNNNNNNNNNNNNNNNNNNNNNNNNNNNNNNNNNNNNNNNNNNNNNNNNNNNNNNNNNNNNNNNNNNNNNNNNNNNNNNNNNNNNNNNNNNNNNNNNNNNNNNNNNNNNNNNNNNNNNNNNNNNNNNNNNNNNNNNNNNNNNNNNNNNNNNNNNNNNNNNNNNNNNNNNNNNNNNNNNNNNNNNNNNNNNNNNNNNNNNNNNNNNNNNNNNNNNNNNNNNNNNNUAUCGGUCUACUUGUCUCGGACGUGAUGCCUAUAUGUAUGAUCAUUGCCUUAGAUAUCGUCAUGACUUUGCACGGUUCUAUCAAUUGCUCGACAGUAAUUUGUUCACCCACCGUAAUAUUUGCUAUUUUGAGAGAAGCCUCUAGUGAACACUAUGGCCCCCGGGUCUACUCCACACCAUAUUUUUAGCCUUACACUUUUUACUUCAUUGCAUUUUCCGCCUUCAGAUCUGACUUUGCAAACAAUCUUGAAGGGAUUGACAACCUCUUUGAAGCGUUGGGUGCAAGCUCGUUUGUGUUUGCGCACGUAUUCUGGACUUGACGAGACCCUCCUACUGGAUCAAUACCUUGGUUCUCAAACUGCGGGAAAUACUUACUGCUCCUGUGCUGCAUCACCCUUUCCUCUUCAAGGGAAAAACCGACGCAAACAAGAGAAGUAGCAAGAAGAAUUCCUGGCGUUGCCGGGGAAGGACUUUUGUUGCCGUAGCAGAGAGGAAAACACUAACACCGGCUCCAAGGUCACAUAAAGCAGUUCUAACAUAGUUACCUUUAAUGGAGCAAGGUAUAGUGGGCACACCGGGAUCACCUAGUUUCUUAGGAGUUCCACCCUUGAAGGUAUAAUUAGCAAGCAUGGUGGAAAUCUCAACCUCAGGUAUCCUCCUCUUAUUAGUCACAAUAUCCUUCAUGUACUUAGCAUACAGAGACAUUUUGAGCAUAUCUGUCAAACACAUUUGCAGAAAGACAGGUCUAAUCAUUUCAACAAAUUGCUCAAAAUCCUCAUUAUUCUUUCUCUUUACCAUGAUUCCUAGCAGUGAAGUCAUUCUUAUCGUAUCUUCUAUUCUUAGGCUGUGGGUUUUCAAGAUCAACAGGUUCAAUUUCCACAUCCUUAUCAUUGCUAGGUUGAGCAUCUUCAUGAACAUCACUAUUGAUAUUAUCAUUAGGCUCAUGUUCAUCACCAGAUUGUGUCUCAGCAUCAGAGACAGAGACAUCGUUUGGACUCUCAGGUGUAUCAGCAUAUGGGUUGCUAGCGUGCAGGUUCCUAUCAUCUUUCUUCUUCUUUCUAGGAUGACUAGGUGCAUCAGUGCUAACUCCUUGAGAAUAUUGUUCAAUUCUCUUAGGAUGACCCUCCGGAUACAAAGGUUCGUGAGUCAUUCUACCGCCUCUAGUAACGACUCUGAUAGAAUUGUCAUUCAACUCAUUGAGAAAAUCAUUUUGAGCUUUAAGUACUUGUUCUACCUGAGUAGUAACCAUAGAGCCAUGUUUACUCAGAAGCUUAAGAUCAGUGACAUUUCUGUCCACACAAGCACUUAAAUGACUAAGCAUACAAGCAUUCUGUUCCAAUUGUCUGCUAACAUAGUCAUUGAAACUCUGUUGUUUGGCAACAAAGUUAUCAAAUUCAUCUAGGCAUAAGCUAGCAGGUUUAUAAGAAGAAAUAUCACUCUCAUCAAACCUACGAAGAGAAUUUACUUCUACUACCUGUAUCGGGUUAUCAAGACCAUGGAUCUCUUCGAUAGGUGGUAGAUUUUUGACAUCUUCAAAUUUAAUGCCUUUCUCUCGCAUAGAUUUCUUAGCUUCUUGCAUAUCUUCAGGACCGAGGAAUAGAAUACCUCUUUUCUUUGGAGUUGGCUUAGGAGGUGGUUCGAGAAUAGUCCAAGCAUUCUCAUUGCACAAGAUGUUAUUCAAUAGGAUCUCAGCUUGUUCUACAGUUCAUUCCCCAAAAACACAACCAGCACAACUAUCUAGGUGGUCUUUGGAAGCAUCGACAAGUCCAUUAUAGAAGAUAUCAAGUAUUUCUUUCUUCUCAAGAGGGUGACCAGGCAAAGCAUUCAGUAGCUGGAUGAGCCUCCCCCAAGCUUGUGGGAGACUCUCUUCUCCAGCUUGAGCAAAGUUGUAUAUUUCCUGCAAGCUAUCUUGCUUCUUAUGGACAGGGAAAUAUUUUUCAGAGAAGUAGUAGACCAUAUCCUGGGGGCUACGCACACAACCAGGAACAAGAGAAGUGAACCAAGUCUUAGCAUCAUCCUUUAGCGAGAAAGGAAACAGGUUGAGGAUAUAGUAGUGGCGGAUCUUUUCCUCACUAGUGAAUAGGGUGGCUAUAUCGUGCAGUUUGGUAAGAUGGGCUACAACCGUUUUAGACUCAUAACCAUGAAAAGGAUCAGAUUCGACUAGAGUGAUUAACUCAGGGUCGACAGAGAAUUCAUAAUCCUUAUCGGUCGCAAAGAUAGGCGAAGUUGCAAACUUCGGGUCAUAUUUCAUCCUAGCGUUCAGAGAUUUUUCUUUCCAUUUGAGCAGUAAUUUCUCAACAUCAUAGCUAUCCUUACACGCAAGAAAGUCCUCAACUAUAUCUCCCUCCAUAACACAAUGUUCAGGCAUAUCAGGCAAUUCAGGCAUAGGUGUGCUAGUUCUAGCAGGCUAAAUAGCAGGUUCUACUUCAAUAAUAUAACCAGUUUCAGAAGUAUCAUCACAUCUAGCAGCAACUCUAGCAAUUUGUGCAUCAAGGAAUGCACCUAGUGGCAAAGCAGUAUCAAGCAUAGCAUCAUCUCGCAAAGCAGUAUCAAGCAUAGCAUCAUCAUAAGCAUCAUGGGCAGCAGAAGUAGCAUCAUCAAGCACAUGCGACAUAUCAAGAUUUCUAGCAGGAGGUGAUAUCGCAAACUUACUCAUAACUGAAGGUGAAUCAAGUGCAGAGCUAGAUGUGAAUUCCUUACCUGUCCUCGUAGUUGAGGGCAAGACUUUAGUUCUUGGAUCUAUCGGAUUCCUCAUAGUGACCAGCAGACGUAAAUCCCAAGUGACUCAGAGAAUAUAGCUGUGCCUCCCCGACAACGGCGCCAGAAAAUUGUCUUGAUAACCCACAAGUAUAGGGGAUCGCAACAGUUUUCGAGGGUAGAGUAUUCAACCCAAAUUUAUUGAUUNNNNNNNNNNNNNNNNNNNNNNNNNNNNNNNNNNNNNNNNNNNNNNNNNNNNNNNNNNNNNNNNNNNNNNNNNNNNNNNNNNNNNNNNNNNNNNNNNNNNUGUCAACUUUGGAUGUUUAUGUACCUUUUUUGGGACUAACUUAUUAAUUCAGUGCCAUGUGCCAGUUCCUGUUUUUUCUGUGUGUUUUGACUCUUUUCAGAUCUGAUUUUGGAAUGGAGUCCAAACGGAAUAAAAUCCCCGAAAUAAUUUUUUCCAGAACAGAAGAAGAUCGGGGGACUUGAGGGCCAAGGCAGGAGCACCACAGGGGGCCCACAAGCCCUGUAGCCGCCACCGGGGGGGGGGGGCUACCAGGCUUGUAGCCCCCCUGGAGCUCCCCUGCCCUAGCUCUUUUGCCUAUAUAUUCCCUAAAAUUCCAGAAAAAAUCAGGGCAUCCACGAAAACACUUUUCCGCCGCCGCAAGCUUCCGUUUCUGCGAGAUCUCAUCUGGAGACCCUUCACAGUGCCCUGCCGGAGGGGAAUUUGGAGUUGGAGGGCUUCUACAUCAACAUCAUCGCCUCUCCAAUGACUCGUGAGUAGUCCACUUCAGACCUACGGGUCCGUAGUUAGUAGCUAGAUGGCUUCUUCUCUCUCUUGGAUCUUCAAUACAAAGUUCUCCAUGAUCUUCAUGGGGAUCUAUCCGAUGUAAUCCUCUUUGGCGGUGUGUUUGUCGAGAUCCGAUGAAUUGUGGAUUUGUGAUCAGAUUAUCUAUGAUUUAUAUUUGAGUCUUUGCUGAUUUCUUUUAUGCAUGAUUUGAUAUCCUUGUAAGUCUCUCCGAGUUUUGGGUUUUGUUUGGCCAACUAGAUCUAUGCUUCCUGCAAUGGGAGAAGUGCUUGGUUUUGGGGUCAUACCGUGUGGUGACCUUUCCCAGUGACAGAAGGGGCAGCAAGGCACGCAUCAUGUUGUUGCCAUCAAGGGUAACAAGAUGGGCUUUUAUCAUAGAUAUGAGAUUGUCCAUCUACAUCAUGUCAUCUUGCUUAAGGCGUUACUCUGUUCUUAUGAACUUAAUACACUAGAUGCAUGCUGGAUAGGAGUCAACGUGUGGAGUAAUAGUAGUAGAUGCAGAAAGUAUCGGUCUACUUGUUUUGUACGUGAUGCCUAUAGAUAUAAUCAUUGCCUUAGAUAUCGUCACGACUUUGCGCGGUUCUAUCAAUUGCUCGACAGUAAUUCGUUCACCCACCGUCUACUUGCUUUCAUGAGAGAAGCCACUAGUGAACACUAUGCCCCCCGGGUCUAUUCACAACUAUUGUCUCCACUUUCACUUUUACUUUGCUUUGUUUACUUUUUUGCUUUCAGUUCUCACUUUGCAAACAAUCUAUAAGGGAUUGGCAACCCCUUCAUAGCGUUGGGUGCAAGCUAUUUGUGUUUGUGCAGGUACUUGUGACUCAACGCGAGCCUCCCACUGGAUGGAUACCUUGGUUCUCAAAACUGAGGGAAAUACUUACCGCCGCUGUGCUACAUCACCCUUUCCUCUUCAAGGGAACACCAACGCAAGUCUCCAAGGCCGCGGGGAAAUCCUUUGCAUAUUUGCCAAGGAAGUCCCUAUAGGCGUAGCCCGUAGCAGCAGGAUUCCUGGCGCCGUUGUCAGGGAAGGUCUGUUGUCGCAGUAGUAGAAGGAUUUCUGGCGCCGUUGCCGGGGAGGAGGAUCGCUUGACAAGGAAUAUCAAGACAAGAAUAAUCUUCCAUCAACACGCAUAUUUCUGGCGCGGGGAAGGGAGAUCAAGUCAAGAUCUAUCCAAGUAGGUGUCACAAACUCAUCUCUUGCAUUUACCUUUUUUGCCAGUUGCCUCUCGUUUUCCUCUCCCCCACUUCACAUUUUCCGCUUUCGUUUGCCUUUUCUCCUUUGCCGUUUUCAUUUGCCUUUCUCCUUUGCCGUUUUCUUUUGCCUUUUGCCGUUCUCUUUUGCCCGUUUCACUCACUUUCUUCCUGCUCGUUUGUGUGUGGGAUAGUCCAUAAAUGGCUAGACCCACCACUCCAAACGAUACCCCUGAGAAUGAAGUUCUCAACUUCAGGCAGAAUGAGGAAGAAAAUUUAAAGGAUGCUUGGUACAUGAUUUGCAAUGCUCAAAGUAGAUCCACUCGUAGGCAAUCCACUACCGUUCUUCUUCGCAGUUUUUAUGUUGGAAUCUCUCCUUGGAAUAGGUAUAUUCUUGAUACCAUCGUAGGCGGGAUUUUUUUGGGGAGCCAUGCUAUUGACUCCUAUGGAUCUAUCAUGAAUUUGGUAGGCUCACCCCCGCUCAUGGCUAAUGGAACUACCUUGACCUUGGAACACGUUAUGCAAAGGCUUGACGCUAUUGAAAACAAAAUUGCCACAAUUGAACUUAUUGAGAGUUUGUUUAGAAAGAUCCACAAUCAAAUUACUCAGUACGGAUCCAAAGUGGGAAUGGUUUUGAAAAAUUUAAGGGAGAAGGAACCUAUAGUUAAUGAUUCCUCUAGAAUUGGCAAACUAGAAGAUGUCAUAACCAACUUGGGUUCCGCUUUUGCCGCUGUGCAAAAUACUCCAAAUCUCAUUCUCAAAAAGACCGUCAAGUCUGUUUUUGUUCCUAAACCUAGUGAUGAGUCAUCCAAUAAAGAAGAAGACCUUAAGAUGAUAAAUGAUCACGCUACUUAUGGUUUGAGCACCAAAGAUGACUAUACGUGAUUUCAUCACCUUUUGCCUAGCUAAGGGCGUUAAACAAUAACGCUUGUUGGGAGGCAACCCAACGAAUCUAUCCUUUCUCUUUCUGUUUUGUGUUUUCNNNNNNNNNNNNNNNNNNNNNNNNNNNNNNNNNNNNNNNNNNNNNNNNNNNNNNNNNNNNNNNNNNNNNNNNNNNNNNNNNNNNNNNNNNNNNNNNNNNNUGAAAAACAUGAUUGCAAUGGUUUCACUAUAAAUCCUAUUAGUGUCAAUCAUGCUAAAAAUAUGCAAAACCCUAAGCUUGGGGAUGCUAGUUUUGCUUCGUCCACCACUUGUUGCAAUAAUCAUGAUUGGGGCGAUGAUUUUUCUUAUGAUCUUGAAAAGCCUAGUGAUGAAUAUGAUAUUUACCAUAUUAUUGAAAGUGGGUUUGGAGAAGUCAUGACUUUAGUUGAUGAUAAUCCCACUAUUUUUAAAGAGCGUCAACUUUGCAUGCAUGUGGAUCAUGAAAAGAAUAUCCUAUGGGAUAGCUAUAUUGUUGAAUUUGAUUAUGAUCCCACAUCUAAUUGCUAUGAGAGAGGAAAAUGUUGUGGUAGAAACUUUCAUGUUACCAAAUUACCCCUCGUUAUGCUGAGAUUGCUAUUGUCUCUUUCUUCUUCGUUGCAUAUGGCAACUAUUGGUUGUCUUGACAAUCUGUUUGUUGGAAUUAUGCCCUAGAGGCAAUAAUAAAUAUAGUUAUUAUUAUAAUUACUGUAUCAAGAUAAUCGUUUUUUGUCCAUUCUACAAUUGUAUUGAAUGAAGACUUAUAUAAAUGUGUGGAUACAUAGACAAAACAUUGUCCCUAGCAAGCCUCUAGUUGGCUAGCCAGUUGAUCAAUGAUAGUCAGUGUCUUUUGAUUAUGAACAAGGUGUNNNNNNNNNNNNNNNNNNNNNNNNNNNNNNNNNNNNNNNNNNNNNNNNNNNNNNNNNNNNNNNNNNNNNNNNNNNNNNNNNNNNNNNNNNNNNNNNNNNNCGUUUGAGACGUAUCAAGGAGCAGUAAGUAUUUCCCUCAGUUUGAGAACCAAGGUCUCGAUCCAGUAGGAGGGUCUCGUCAAGUCCAGAGUACCUGCGCAAACACAAACGAGCUUGCACCCAACGCUUCAAAGGGGUUGUCAAUCCCUUCAAGAUUGUUUGCAAAGUGAGAUCUGAAGGCGGAAAGUGCAACAAAGUAAAAAGUGUAAGGCUGAAAAUAUGGUGUGGAGUAGACCCGGGGGCCAUAGUGUUCACUAGAGGCUUCUCUCAAAAUAGAACCGCGCAAAGUCAUGACGAUAUCUAAGGCAAUGAUCAUACAUAUAGGCAUCACGUCUGAGACAAGUAGACCGAUACUUUCUGCAUCUACUACUAUUACUCCACACAUCGACUGCUAUCUAGCAUGCAUCUAGUGUAUUGAGUUCAUGAUGAACAGAGUAACGCCUUAAGCAAGAUGACAUGAUGUAGAGGGAUAAUCUCAAACCAAUGAUGAAAACCCCAUCUUUUUACCCUUGAUGGCAACAACACGAUGCGUGCCUCGCUACCCCUUCUGUCAUUGGGUGAGGUCACCGCAUGGUAUGAACCCAAAACCAAGCACUUCUCCCAUUGCAAGAAUCAUAGAUCUAGUUGGCGAAACAAAACCCACAACUCGAAGAGAAUUACAAUGAUAUGAAAUCAUGCAUAAGAGAGAUCAGAAGAAACUCAAAUAAGAUUCAUAGAUAAUCUGAUCAUAAAUCCACAAUUCAUCGGAUCUCGACAAACAAACNNNNNNNNNNNNNNNNNNNNNNNNNNNNNNNNNNNNNNNNNNNNNNNNNNNNNNNNNNNNNNNNNNNNNNNNNNNNNNNNNNNNNNNNNNNNNNNNNNNNGAAGUUUUCAAGUUUUGGGUGAAGUUCUUAUGGACAAAGAGAUAAAGAGUGGAAAGAGCUCAAGCUUGGGGAUGCCCAAGGCACCCCAAGUUGAUUCAAGGAUGCCGUAAAAGCCUAAGCUUGGGGAUGCCCCGAGAAGGCAUCCCCUCUUUCGUCUUUAAUCCAUCGGUAACGUUACUUGGGGCUAUAUUUUUAUUCACCACAUGUUAUGUGUUUUGCUUGGAGCGUCUUGUAUCGUAGGAGUCUUUUAUUUUUGUUGUGUCACAAUCUUCCUUGCUGCACACCUAGAGAUAGAGACAUGCACUCACCGUGAUUUUGUCGAGCUUCACUUAUAUCCUUUGGUUAGACAAUUCAACUCACAUGUGCUUCACUUAUAUCUUUUGAGCUAGUUGAUUUUGCUCUAUGUGCUUCACUUAUAUCUUUUAGAGCACGGAAGCGCGUGGCUUGGUAGUUGAUCUAUGCUAUGAAAGUAGUCUCAAAAGGGGUAGUUAUCCAAAGGGAUAUAAAAACUUCAAUCUCCAUGUGCAUUGAAUAGUUAGAGAAGUUUGAUUCCUCUCAAUUAGUUUUGAGAUAUGGUUGUGGUAAUAUUUAAGCUAUGUUAGUAUGGUGUUGUGGAUCUAGAAAUACUUGUGUUGAAGUUAGUUAUUCCCGUAGCAUGCACGUAUGGUGAACCGCUAUGUGAUGAAGUCUGAGCAUGAUUAGUCUAUUGAUUGUCAUCCUUUGUGUGGCGGUCGGGAUCACGCGAUGGUUUAUACCUACCAACGCUUCCCCUAGGAGUAAGCGUUGAAUGCUAUUUUUGGAUUACUACUAAAACUUUUGCAACAAGUAUAUGAGUUCUUCAUGACUAAUGUUGAGUCCAUGGUUUAGAUGCACUUUCACCUUCCACCAUCACAUCUUCUUUAGUGCCGUGCAACUUUCGCCGGUGCACAAAACCCACCAUAUAGCUUCCCUCAAAACAGCCACCNNNNNNNNNNNNNNNNNNNNNNNNNNNNNNNNNNNNNNNNNNNNNNNNNNNNNNNNNNNNNNNNNNNNNNNNNNNNNNNNNNNNNNNNNNNNNNNNNNNNUGUUGUUGCAUGUUUUACAUGGUGACCAUGGGUAUCUAGUAGGAUCGCAUCUUACUUACGCAAACACCACAAUGGAGAUAUAUGAGUUGCUAUUUAACCUCAUCCAAGGACCUCCUCGGUCAAAUCCGAUUCAACUAAAGUUGGAGAAACUGACACCCGCCAGUCAUCUUUGAGCAACGGAGUUACUCGUAGCGAUGAAACCAGUCUCUCGUAAGCGUACGAGUAAUGUCGGUCCGAGCUGCUUCGAUCCAACAAUACCGAGGAAUCAAUAAAAGACUAAGGAGGGCAGCAAAACGCACAUCACCGCCCACAAAAACUUUUGUGUUCUACUUGAGAAGACAUCUACGCAUGAACCUAGCUCAUGAUGCCACUGUUGGGGAACGUCGCAUGGGAAACAAAAAGUUUCCUAUGCGCACGAAGACCUAUCAUGGUGAUGUCCAUCUACGAGAGGGGAUGUUUGAUCUACGUACCCUUGUAGACCGUACAGCAGAAGCGUUAGUGAACGCGGUUGAUGUAGUGGAACGUCCUCACGUCCCUCGAUCCGCCCCGCGAACAAUCCCGCGAUCAGUCCCACGAUCUAGUACCGAACGGACGGCACCUCCGCGUUCAGCACACGUACAGCUCGACGAUGAUCUCGGCCUUCUUGAUCUAGCAAGAGAGACGGAGAGGUAGAAGAGUUCUCCGGCAGCGUGACGGCGCUCCGGAGGUUGGAGAUGACCUUGUCUCAGCAGGGCUCCGCCCGAGCUCCGCAGAAACGCGGUCUAGAGGAAAAAACGUGGAGGUAUGUGGUCGGGCUGCCGUGGAAAAGUCGUCUCAAAUCAGCCCUAAAACCUCCGUAUAUAUAGGUGGGAGGAAGGGGACCUUGCCUUGGGGCUCAAGGAGCCCCAAGGGGGUCGGCCGAGUCCAAGGGNNNNNNNNNNNNNNNNNNNNNNNNNNNNNNNNNNNNNNNNNNNNNNNNNNNNNNNNNNNNNNNNNNNNNNNNNNNNNNNNNNNNNNNNNNNNNNNNNNNNUCUUUGCCGUCUGCCUCCCCCUUUAUCUUUGCCGUCUGCCUCCUCCUCCUCCCCCCUCCACUCUUUGCCGUCUGCCUCCCCCUCCAUCUUUGCCGUCUGCCUCCUCCUCACCUCCCCCCCUCCACUCUUUGCCGUCUGCCUCCUCCUCCCGCCCUCCUCUGUGCCCUCUUCUUUGCCGUCUGCCCACCCUGGAGGCUGACGGCAAAGAGCCUAUAUAGACACCCGAGGAUGCACAGCUGGGUGCCAUGUGGCACCUUUGCCAUCUGCCAGCUGAUGGCACAGGUCUUUGCCAUCAGCUGGCAGACGGCAAAGAGCCCAUAUAGUACCUGUUUUUUUUGUUUUAUAUUAUUUCACAGCACACACACACACACACAUAUUUUUUUUGACAACACAUUUAUAUAAUUCACCACACAUAUAUGAUAUAUAGUUCACCACACAUAUACUUGCCAACACACAUAUAUAUAAUUCACCACACAUAUAUGAUAUACAUAUAAAUCAAUGUACAUCCCCAUAUAUCAAAAGAACCAACAUACAAAGCAUUGCACUAUUUAUCCAUAUAUACAUAUACAUAUAGUUCGACAUUGUUCAUCAACUCAAAUGAAAACUAGAUGAUAUACAUAUAAAGUUCAUCCAUCGACAUUGUUCAACUCCAUGAAUGCCAGCUUCCAUGCAUGUAGUAUAUCCAAUCUGCAAAAAUGUGAAUAAGAAAGUCACAAGAAGAACAAAAUAAGAUGUUUUUCAGCUAAUUAUGUCAUUUUUAGCGGAAAACAAGCUAAGAAUAUAAUAUUCAUGAGCUAACCAAGGUUCUUAUGCCAUUUUGAGCUUAUUAUGGCAUUUUGGAGCUAAAUGGGNNNNNNNNNNNNNNNNNNNNNNNNNNNNNNNNNNNNNNNNNNNNNNNNNNNNNNNNNNNNNNNNNNNNNNNNNNNNNNNNNNNNNNNNNNNNNNNNNNNNGGCACCACUCCAAGAUCCGUCCUGAAUUGCUUCAUCCAGACACCCUCCUUAGUUGCCUCCGAGGCAGCCAUGUACUCCGCUUCACAUGUAGAAUUUGCUACGACGCUCUGCUUGGAACUGCACCAGCUUACCGCACCCCCAUUAAGAAUAAAUAUGUCUCCGGUUUGCGACUUAGAGUCGCCCGGAUCUGUGUCAAAGCUUGCAUCGACGUAACCUUUUACGGCGAGCUCGUCGUCACCUCCAUACACGAGAAACAUCUCCUUAGUCCUUUUCAGGUACUUCAGGAUAUUCUUGACCGCCGUCCAGUGAUCCACUCCUGGAUUACUAUGGAACCUACCUGCCAUACUUAUGGCUAGGCUAACAUCCGGUCUAGUGCACAGCAUUGCAUACAUGAUAGAACCUAUGGCUGAAGCAUAGGGGACGGAGCGCAUAUGCUCUCUAUCUUCAUCAGUUGCUGGGCACUAAGUCUUACUCAAUCUCGUACCUUGUAAAACUGGCAAGAACCCUUUCUUGGACUGUUCCAUUUUGAACCUCUUCAAAACUUUAUCAAGGUAUGUGCUCUGUGAAAGUCCUAUCAGGCGUUUUGAUCUAUCCCUAUAGAUCUUAAUGCCUAGANNNNNNNNNNNNNNNNNNNNNNNNNNNNNNNNNNNNNNNNNNNNNNNNNNNNNNNNNNNNNNNNNNNNNNNNNNNNNNNNNNNNNNNNNNNNNNNNNNNNGGCACCACUCCAAGAUCCUUCAUGAACUGCUUCAUCCAGACACCCUCCUUAGCCGCCUCCGAGGCAGCCAUGUACUCCGCUUCACAUGUGGAAUCUGCUACGAUGCUCUGCUUGGAACUGCACCAGCUUACCGCACCCCCAUUAAGAAUAAAUAUGUAUCCGGUCUGCGACUUAGACUCGUCCGGAUCUGUGUCAAAGCUUGCAUCGACGUAAUCUUUUACGGCGAGCUCUUCGUCACCUCCAUACACGAGAAACAUCUCCUUAGUCCUUUUCAGGUACUUCAGGAUAUUCUUGACCGCCGUCCAGUGAUCCACUCCUGGAUUACUCUGGAACCUACCUGCCAUACUUAUGGCUAGGAUAACGUCCGGUCUAGUGCACAGCAUUGCAUACAUGAUAGAACCUAUGGCUGAAGCAUAGGGGACUGUGCUCAUAUGCUCUCUAUCCUCAUCAGUUGCUGGGCACUGUGUCUUACUCAAUCUCGUACCUUGUAAAACUGGCAAGAACCCUUUCUUGGACUGUUCCAUUUUGAACCUCUUCAACACUUUAUCAAGGUAUGUGCUUUGUGAAAGUCCUAUCAGGCGUUUUGAUCUAUCCCUGUAGAUCUUAAUGCCUAGANNNNNNNNNNNNNNNNNNNNNNNNNNNNNNNNNNNNNNNNNNNNNNNNNNNNNNNNNNNNNNNNNNNNNNNNNNNNNNNNNNNNNNNNNNNNNNNNNNNNGAUGCCACUGUUGGGUAACGUCGCAUGGGAAACAAAAAAUUUCCUACGCGCACGAAGACCUAUCAUGGUGAUGUCCAUCUACGAGAGGGGAAGAGUGAUCUACGUAACCUUGUAGACCGUACAGCAUAAGCGUUAGUGAACGCGGUUGAUGUAGUGGAACGUCCUCACGUCCCUCGAUCCGCCCCGCGAACAAUCCCGCGAUCAGUCCCACGAUCUAAUACCGAACGGACGGCACCUCCGCGUUCAGCACACGUACAGCUCGACGAUGAUCUCGGCCUUCUUGAUCCAGCAAGAGAGAUGGAGAGGUAGAAGAGUUCUCCGGCAGCGUGACGGCCCUCCGGAGGUUGGUGAUGACCUUGUCUCAGCAGGGCUCCGCCUGAGCUCCGCAGAAACGCGAUCUAGAGGAAAAACCGUGGAGGUAUGUGGUCGGGCUGCCGUGGAAAAGUCGUUUCAAAUCAGCCCUAAAACCUCCGUAUAUAUAGGUGGGAGGGAGGGGACCUUGCCUUGGUGCUCAAGGAGCCCCAAGGGCGUCGGCCGAGUCCAAGGGNNNNNNNNNNNNNNNNNNNNNNNNNNNNNNNNNNNNNNNNNNNNNNNNNNNNNNNNNNNNNNNNNNNNNNNNNNNNNNNNNNNNNNNNNNNNNNNNNNNNUACGGGCGAGGGAGGCGACGGCGGCGGCGGGGAUUUGGGGUGGUGGCGGCGCCGACGGCGUGGUUUUCGGGCGGGCGGACGGGCGCGGGCGGGAACGGAAAGGAACUGGCAGUUGGACGUUCGCGGGCGGCGGCUGGUUUUGGACCAGAUGCACCUCGUGAUUUAAAUUUGCACCGCGAAGUGUUGGAUUUUACAUCACGAGAAGGACGCGGUCCAAUUUUUUUUGCAUAUGGACCGUCUGUUGGAGCAUCUUUUUUGUCCCAAAUGGUUCAAAAGCUAGUUAUUUUUACAUUUGGACCAUCUAUUUGAGAUGCUCUUAGGUAGGUCAGGUAACUUGACUCAGUGAACUGGGAACAAUUUCAGACAGACAAGAAAAAACAGGCAACAGCAGAGUAUACCUCUCAAAAUUGCUUCGCCUCCAUCUGAGAUCAGCGAGCCCGUGAUUAGUAAAUCUGGACCGUCAAGUUCAAUCUGACAAAUACAGGUACCAAACCACACGGAAUCUUUAUCAGAGGUAAACUGAUCAUACCAUCUCCACCGGAAGAAGGGGUUGUAGCAGAAAGUACUGCCAAAAAAGGAAAUGAAAUCAAAUGAAGAAAUGAAUCAAAGCUCUAUCAUGAUAAAGAAGUUUAAACUAGAAUGGAAAAUACUCCCUCCGUGUCGUGGACUAAGUACCAUGAUAAAAUAUGCUUCUCACUGGAACCAAAAGCCUCUAGCCCAGUAAUUUCUGAUUGGCUGGAAAAUUAUACUCUGGCUCCAUAUAGCAUUGCAUAUAGUCGCGCAGAAGGUGCAUUAAGGGUGUAUUUGGUUUCGGUCACCAACUGAAAUGGCAUGGGUCGAACCCGUUCCGAGACCCGGUUCCUGUGUUUGGUAUGUAACUGGAACUAGAACCAACUCGUUCCCACUCCCACUAAGGGAAUAUUCGGGCCAGAUGCGGAAUGCGCUGGUACCUCCAAAUUGGAGGAACCAUGCGGAACGGGUCUCGCUCUCGCUCUAACUCCUCACCCCCGAUAAAUCCGGCUCCUCUCUCGUCUUCCCCCCCCCCCCCACACUCGAUCUGAGGAGCAGAUGUGACGGCGGCGGCAGUUGUGUUCCUAGGACCCGUUCCGGCGGCGGCGGCGGCCCGAGAUGCUGGUGCCUGGCGGUGGCCCGAGCUGCUGGUGCCUCACGGCGGCGGCGGCCCGAUCUACUUGUGCCUGGCGGCGCUGGCCCGAGCUGCUGGUGCCUCACGGCGGCGGCGGCCCGAUCUACUCGUGCCUGGCGGCGCUGGCCCGAGCUGCUGGUGCCUCACGGCGGCGGCGGCCCGAUCUGCUCGUGCCUGGCGGCGGUGGCCCGAGCUGUUGGUGCCUCGCGGCAGCCCGAGCUGCUGGGGCCUCGCGGCGGCGAACGCCCGAGCUCUUGGUNNNNNNNNNNNNNNNNNNNNNNNNNNNNNNNNNNNNNNNNNNNNNNNNNNNNNNNNNNNNNNNNNNNNNNNNNNNNNNNNNNNNNNNNNNNNNNNNNNNNGCGUGAGGGUGGCUGGCGCGGGGCGGCCCUGGUGGCAGCGGGGCGGAUCCGAUCCGGGGGCGAGGGGCUUUCUUGCAAAUGUGAAACAUUUUUUCACUUAAUCAGGGACUGUGGGUUGAAUGCUCGAAACGGAGGGAUUUUUUCGCAAAAAAGCCACGACGGACGGCAGAAGCGCUCCGCGCUUUAUUAUUAAGGGAGAUAAAGCCUGAUUCUUAAAUUCGCGCCCCACCCUGGCCACCCUAUGGCUCUGUCCCUGUACUCCCUUUGUUCCUUAAUAUAAAUCUUUUCUAGAGAUUUUAUUAGGAGACUACAUAUAGAUGUAUAGUCCAUUAAUGAAAUCUUAAAAAACUUAUACUACUUCCGUUCUUAAAUAUAAGUGUUUUUUAGAGGUUUCAUUAUUAAACUAUAUACGGAUAUAUAUUGGCAUACCUUAGAGCGUAGAUUCACUUAUUUUGUUUUGUAAGUAGAUCUCUAGUAAAAUAAAAAAAAAACUUAUAUUUAGAAACGGAGGUAAUAGUAUUUAGAAAAAAAAACUUAUAUUUAGAAAUGGAGCGAAUAGUACGUNNNNNNNNNNNNNNNNNNNNNNNNNNNNNNNNNNNNNNNNNNNNNNNNNNNNNNNNNNNNNNNNNNNNNNNNNNNNNNNNNNNNNNNNNNNNNNNNNNNNUAGGAUCCAAUAUGGGCAUCCAGGUCCCGCUAUUGGAUAUUGACCGAGGAGUCACUCGGGUCAUGUCUACAUAGUUCUCGAACCCGCGGGGUCUACACACUUAAGGUUCGACGUUGUUUUAUGCGUAUUUGAGUUAUAUGGUUGGUUACCGAAUGUUGUUCGGAGUCCCGAAUGAGAUCACAUACGUCACAAGGGUUUUCGGAAUGGUCCGGAAACGAAGAUUGAUAUAUAGGAUGACUUCAUUUGGUUACCGGAAGGUUUUCGGGCAUUACCGGUAAUGUACCGGGAAUGACGAAUGGGUUCCGGAUCUUCACCGGGAAGGGGGACCACCCACUCGGGAGGGCCCAAGGACCUUGGGGUGGCGCACCAAGUAGGUGGGGUCAUCCCAAGGCUGUCUUGCGCAAGAGAAAGGAAAAACCAAAAGAAGAGAAAAAAAAGGAAAGGUGGGAAAAGAGAGAAGGACUCCACCUUCCAAUCCUAGUUGGACUAGNNNNNNNNNNUGGUAAUGUACCGGGAAUGACGAAUGGGUUCCGGAUCUUCACCGGGAGGGGGGACCACCCACCCGGGAGGGCCCAAGGACCUUGGGGGUGGCGCACCAAGUAGGUGGGGUCAGCCCAAGGCUGUCUUGCGCAAGAGAAAGGAAAAACCAAAAGAAGAGAAAGAAAAAAAAGGAAUGGUGGGAAAAGAGAGAAGGACUCCACCUUCCAAUCCUAGUUGGACUAGGAUUGGAGGAGGACUCCUCCUCCCCUUGGUGGCGCAGCCCUUGGGGCUCCUUGAGCCUCAAGGAAAGCCUCCCCUCCCUCCUCCUAUAUAUAUGGAGCAAUUAGGGCUGAUUUGAGACAACUUUUCAAAGGCAGCCCGACCACAUACCUCCAUGGUUUUACCUCUAGAUCGCGUUUCUGCGGAGCUCGGGCGGAGCCCUGCUGAGAUUAGAUCACCACCAACCUCCGGAGCGCCGUCACGCUGCCGGAGAACUCAUCUACCUCUCCGUCUCUCUUGCUGGAUCAAGAAGGCCGAGAUCAUCGUNNNNNNNNNNNNNNNNNNNNNNNNNNNNNNNNNNNNNNNNNNNNNNNNNNNNNNNNNNNNNNNNNNNNNNNNNNNNNNNNNNNNNNNNNNNNNNNNNNNNGUGAUGGACUAGACCCAAACUAAUAGACGUAGCAUGUUGAUCGUGUCAUUUUGUUGCUACUGUUUUCUGCGUGUCAAGUAUUUGUUCCUAUGACCAUGAGAUCAUAUAACUCACUGACACCGGAGGAAUGCUUUGUGUGUAUCAAACGUCGCAACGUAACUGGGUGACUAUAAAGAUGCUCUACAGGUAUCUCUGAAGGUGUUCGUUGAGUUAGUAUGGAUCGAGACUGGAAUUUGUCACUCCGUGUGACGGAGAGGUAUCUCGGGGCCCACUCGGUAAUACAACAUCACACACAAGCCUUGCAAGCAAUGUGACUUAGUGUAAGUUGCGGGAUCUUGUAUUACGGAACGAGUAAAGAGACUUGUCGGUAAACGAGAUUGAAAUAGGUAUGCGGAUACCGACGAUCGAAUCUCGGGCAAGUAACAUACCGAAGGACAAAGGGAAUGACAUACGGGAUUAUAUGAAUCCUUGGCACUGAGGUUCAAACGAUAAGAUCUUCGUAGAAUAUGUAGGAUCCAAUAUGGGCAUCCAGGUCCCGCUAUUGGAUAUUGACCGAGGAGUCACUCGGGUCAUGUCUACAUAGUUCUCGAACCCGCGGGGUCUACACACUUAAGGUUCGACGUUGUUUUAUGCGUAUUUGAGUUAUAUGGUUGGUUACCGAAUGUUGUUCGGAGUCCCGAAUGAGAUCACAGAUGUCACGAGGGUUUCCGGAAUGGUCCGGAAACGAAGAUUGAUAUAUAGGAUGACUUCAUUUGGUUACCGGAAGGUUUUCGGGCAUUACUGGUAAUGUACCGGGAAUGACGAAUGGGUUCCGGAUCUUCACCGGGAGGGGGGACCACCCACCCGGGAGGGCCCAAGGACCUUGGGGGUGGCGCACCAAGUAGGUGGGGUCAGCCCAAGGCUGUCUUGCGCAAGAGAAAGGAAAAACCAAAAGAAGAGAAAGAAAAAAAAGGAAUGGUGGGAAAAGAGAGAAGGACUCCACCUUCCAAUCCUAGUUGGACUAGGAUUGGAGGAGGACUCCUCCUCCCCUUGGUGGCGCAGCCCUUGGGGCUCCUUGAGCCUCAAGGCAAGCCUCCCCUCCCUCCUCCUAUAUAUAUGGAGCAAUUAGGGCUGAUUUGAGACAACUUUUCAAAGGCAGCCCGACCACAUACCUCCACAGUUUUACCUCUAGAUCGCGUUUCUGCGGAGCUCGGGCGGAGCCCUGCUGAGAUUAGAUCACCACCAACCUCCGGAGUGCCGUCACGCUGUCGGAGAACUCAUCUACCUCUCCGUCUCUCUUGCUGGAUCAAGAAGGCCGAGAUCAUCGUCGAGCUGUACGUGUGCUGAACGCGGAGGUGCCGUCCGUUCGGCACUAGAUCGUGGGACGGAUCGCGGGACGGUUCGCGGGGCGGAUCGAGGGACGCGAGGACGUUCCACUACAUCAACCGCGUUCACUAACGCUUCUGCUAUGCGAUCUACAAGGGUACGUAGAUCGGAAAUCCCCUCUCGUAGAUGGACAUCACCAUGAUAGGUCUUCGUGCGCGUAGGAAAUUUUUUGUUUCCCAUGCGACGUUCCCCAACAUCUCAUGGUCUUCUCGUUCAUCAAAUGGACGUUAAGACGGCUUUCCUGAAUGGAGAGCUAAAUGAGGAAAUCUAUAUGCAACAGCCAGAUGGCUUUGUGAUAGAAGGUCAGGAAGGAAAGGUGUGUAAGUUGCUGAAAUCUUUAUAUGAUCUGAGACAAGCACCUAAGCAAUGGCAUGAGAAGUUUAAUACAACUCUGACAUCUGUUGGCUUCGUUGUUAAUGAAGCUGACAAAUGUGUAUACUAUCGCCAUGGUGGGGGCGAAGGAGUUAUAUUGUGCUUGUAUGUUGAUGACAUACCGAUAUUUGGAACCAACCUCAAAGUAAUUGAGGAGGUUAAGUCUUUUCUGUCUCAAAACUUUGAGAUGAAGGACCUUGGGGUGGCUGAUGUUAUCUUGAACAUCAAGCUGUUGAGAGAUGAUGAGGGUGGGAUUGAACUUCUGCAAUCCCACUAUGUUGAUAAGAUUUUGAGUCGCUUUGGAUAUUCAGACUGCAAAAUUUGUCAAACACCAUAUGAUCCUAGUGUGCUUAUUCAAAAGUUUAAAGGCACAACUAUAGAUUAAUUGAGAUUCUCUCAAAUUAUCGGUUCACUUAUGUACCUAGCUAGCGCAACGAGGCCUGACAUCGCGGUUGCUGUGAGCAAACUUAGCCGGUUUGUUGCAAACCUGGGCGAUGUUCAUUGGCGUGCUGUUGAAAGAAUUAUGCGCUACUUGAAAGGUACUGUCAACCACGGGCUUCACUAUACGGGAUUCCCAUCGGUACUUGAAGGGUAUAGUGAUGCGAAUUGGAUCUCUGAUGCUGAUGCGAUGAAGGCCACUACUGGGUAUAUGUUUACUCUUGGGGGUGGUGCUCUUUCCUGGAAGUCUUGCAAGCAAACGAUCUUAACAAGAUCGACAAUGGAAGCAGAAUUAACAGCAUUAAACACAUCUGGUGUCGAAGCAGAAUUUCUUCGAGAUCUUUUGAUGGACUUACCUGUGGUUGAGAAGCCGGUUCCGGCUAUCCUUAUGAACUGCGAUAAUCAAACAGUUAUUGUUAAAGUGAAGAGUUCAAAGGACAAUAUGAAGUCCAACAAACAUAUAAGAAUGAGAUUGAAGUCUGUCAGACGUUUGAUAAACUCCGGAGUGAUAGCGUUGGAUUACAAUCAAACGGCUAAGAAUCUGGCAGAUCCCUUUACUAAAGGGCUAUCACGUGUUGUGAUAGACAGUGCAUCGAGGGAGAUGGGUAUGAGACCCACAUGAGUUGCCAUGGCAGUAACCCAACCUAUAUGAUCGGAGAUCCCGUGAAGUAGGACCUGGGAAAACAAGCCAGUGGUGAACUGAGGAGAGUAACUUUACUAACCCACUCCGUUGGAGAUACAAUACUCUCGGAUACUGUAUGGUAGGAUGACUACUGUCUUAAUGUGUUCUAAAGCUUAUAUGUAAGCAAGAUGCUGUCCUACAGAGCGAUCUUUGGAGGAACACACCUAUAUGAGCUUGACUGCUGGUCACAGUCUAUGAGAUUUGGGUGAUUUCUAGUAAACUCAUGAAUAGGCCAGGAGUGUGACUAAUAUGCUCCACCCGAGGGGUCACCUUCGGCAGCCUAGUACUAGUAAGACUUGUGGUGAAGCUCCUUUACGCCAAACUGACAAUUCAAGGCAUAGUCCAUUGUUCAGUUGUAAAGGGGUGUAGCUACUUGCUCUAGGUGAAGCUCAACCUUAACAGGUAUUCACUGAAACGCUGGUAUAUUAAAACAGUGUAUGGAAUGAGGGAACAUGAUGUGCCCUUGAGAUCUGGUGGGGGAUUGUUGAAAUUAGAGAUGGGCCUUAGGCCCAUAAGACAAAUUUCAGAAAAAUCACCAAGGGCCCAUGUAGGUGGUGGCAUGACAAGGAGGUGGGAAGUUUAGUCCCACCCCGCUAGUGGAGGAGAAGUUGGACCCCUUUAUAAGGGUAUCUCUUCCACAUGCUAUUGGAGAGUGAGAAGAGAAGGUGCCCUCGCGCACUCCUCCUCCGCCGCCCGCCUCGCCACGCCUCGCCUCGCCUCGUCACGACGCGGGUUGCGGGAAUGAGCCGAGCCGAGCUCAUACCUACGCGCAACAGGCUAUUGCCUACCCUAGCCGUCACGAGAAUCAGAUCACAUCUGCCUCACGCGUUCGUUCCUUGACUGCUGCUGCCGCCGGCGACUCCGUCCCGUUUACUGCGUACACGGUCGACGGGAGAGCAGGCCUCCGAAACCUCGCAUCUCCGGUUCCUGUUCGGGAGAGGGGCGAUUAGGUUUUUGGGGAGCGUGGGAGCGAUCACGCGACUGCUCGCCUCCGUCCGCGUCGCCCUCGUCAUCGCCAUGUCUUCACCAAGCGAAGCUGACCGUCUCGUCCGCGAGAAGGCCGAAGCCGAGAAGAAGGCGACAGAGGAUACUGCCACCGCUGCUGCUAUGUGUUUGUCUCUCUCCUGUUUCUAUCUGCACUAGUAGUAUUGCCUAUAUCAAUGCCAUGUUAGUAAUUAUUUUAUAGAUUAAUCUACUCGGAAAAUUGCCUAUUUACUCAACAGUUUGAUGGUAAUUUGCAAAUCGUACUCCAUUGAAACCAUUUUGAAAUAAAUAAAUUCGUUUGUCUAGCUUUAGCCUGACAAACUUUUGAUUUAGUUAUGUGCUGUCAUAAGGUCUUCACUCUGUUUAUGAAACCUACCAAUAUUUUAUUACACAAUGAAGUCCUUAAUCCUAAUUCCUAAGUCCUGAGUACGAAAGGAUCUGUUAAUGCUCUGAACUGGAAAGGGCACCUAUCUGAAGUGUUAUUGGCUUAUUGCUAUGCAUGUCCUUGAAUAUUGUAUAAGUUACAUUUACAUUCCCAAGAUGAGAAAGUUCUGAUGUGGUCUUUGAUGAAUAGAUAAGAUGAGCAGUUGACUUUGUGUUUCAGCUUGUUUCGUUGUCCCUUCCGUUAACUGUUUAUAUUCUCAGUUGUAAACUUACACAUAUGUCUAAUGAAAAUACAGAUAAGAGAAGGCCUUCACAAGUCAAGUUCUACUUCAUCCCGGAGCACAUCAAAGCAGAAGGGAAACUUGUCAGGUCUCCUGCGUAAUGAGGUUGUUGGUCAGAUGGGCGAAAGAAAUGAUCCUAUGAGAAAGGGAUCACGAAGCAAGCAUGCACGCUCUCUUUUGGAAUUAUCUCAUGAUGGUUUGUCAGAUAGUUUUGAGGAACUACAAAUGUUUGACACUCUGACUACAGAAGCUCGGAGAGAAAAAAGGAGCACAAAUGCACCAUCAUUUCGGCAAUCUACAUUGGAAAGUGCAUACGAUUAUUGUGAAACUAGUAUGCAUGAUUACGAAUUGGAAAAGAGGGAAGAGCAUGAAAAUAUCGAUUUGGGUGAAAGGUCAAGAAGCUUGCAACCAUGUGAUUUGUCAGGGCAUGAACCAUCUUUCUGUACUCAAGAGAAAAUAGAUCAAAGUGACCUUGGCAUCACAGCUGAUGAUGACAAGGGAGAUGAUGAUAAGCCCGCCAUAGAAGAAUCAUCCAGCAUGCAAAGACAAGCAGAACUUUCAUGUGUCAUUUGCUGGACUGAUUUUUCUUCCUCGAGGGGCAUCUUACCAUGUGGACAUCGGUUCUGUUUUUCAUGCAUUCAAGGAUGGGCGGAUUGUCUGGUAUGUUGCGUCAACAUAAAUAAAAUCCCUUAGUUAAGUUUAUUCCUUGAAAGCUGCCUAUACUGUUUUUUUCUUUGCACGUCAAUAUUUGUGAGAUAUGUAAGAUAUGUACAUUGCUCUACUAUACGGCAUACGAAAUAUGCACUUAAUGCUUGUACGGUAGCGUGGAUUCAGUACAGCAGGAUAGCACUUAUCCUGAUUGAAAUGCAUGCCACCAGUUUACAUAAGAUUAGAAAUUGAACAAACAGUCACCGUUCCCAGUUAACUCUCAGGACGCCCUGAGCAGAACAAAUUACUCGAUGCUUUUAGUGUCGUAGAAACUGCUGCUCAUAAACUUGCAUGCUGUGUGUUCCAGUCUUCUAGGGGAAAGGUCUCGACGUGCCCGCUUUGCAAAGCCAGUUUCUCCUGGAUCAGCAAGGUGGAUGAGGCCGGCACUUCAGAUGAGAAGAUAUACUCGCAGACAGGACCCCCGUUCCUUGUGGAGCUUCAACCGACAUAUUCAUGUUCACGGAUGAAGGCCACGACCUUCAUGGACCAUCGGUGAGUGAAAUCUGGUUCUACUGUGCAGUGUGCACCAGCACCGCUACUGCUUGACUUGAUGUACUUGUAUUUUUCGAUGCUCUACCGAACCCAACGUGCAGUCCGCCCAAGGGGCCUGCUACAUGUGCCACAGCCGUGAGCCCGAGGAGCUUAUUCUGAGCUGCCAUGUCUGCCCAUCGCAGUGGGUGCUGCCUCGAUCCUCCACUGACCCCAUGGACGUGCAUACACUGCCGAGAUCUGCGGAGGAUGUACGUAUCAGCGCUACCGCUAGUCCGAAUCCCGGAAGUUCACUGGCGUCUUGGACUCGAGAUUCUUGGAGCAGAUACAAUGCAAGGCAUGUUGACAGCUGAUGAUUAGUUAAUUCCUCAAGAUUGAAGGACAGAGCAAGAAGCAGAGAGACACGAAAAGUGGCGGCGUCAGGCUGCGACGCUCUUUGAGAUUGCCGCAUCUUACUUUUUUUUUCUUUUUUGCAUAUAUAUGGGUUGUCCAGCGUCAACAUCUUGUUGAUCUGGACAUGGUGCAAAUGCAUAUGACGCCUUCUUUUCUAAUUCAGGCAAUGAACAGAAGAAGUUUUGUACUGGUUGUUCCGCAUGCGUCCAGUCGUCUUAAAAUUAAUUUUACUGGUCAUUUCCCUCGAUAAUUGAACUGCAAAAACGUCUUAUAUUAGAGUACAAGAGGGGGUAUUAGACUUUUAUCCAUUAUAAAUACUACAGUAGUGUAGUUUUCCAGGAAAGAAGGGCAUUAUCCCCCGGCCUUUAACAAUGGUUGGUAUAUGACGCAUUCUAUCAGUAGAUCGUUCGUGUUGCUUGAACAAAGCCUAUGUUACGAGUCUACAAGCGGCUGAACCUGGAGGACAUUUAGUACUACAAAGCUUUUUUUUUUUUGAGAUGUAGUACUAAAAAACUGGUAGACAUGCAUCUACGUUUUCUUGACAACACACUAUCUUGAAAUUGAUGAAGUUGUUACAUAUAUUUUACAGACGGAAACGUCUCACAUCGUUGUAAGGUUCUGAAUAAAUCCAGGAAAAUGGGACCAUCAAUGCCACCCUGGUGGAUUGGUUCCACCACAGAAAACCUAACCAUCCGAGCUAUGCUUGUUUUGUAAUUAUUCACAGUUUUAUAAAACUUUCAUUAAUGAUAAUGGCAAACUCAACUGAUAAGUGAUCAUUCCAAAAUAGCGCUAGACCAUCGCUUUUACCAUUACAAUCGACUCCAUUAAAGACCAUGAAGGCUAAAAUUUAAUAUGUAUGUAUGUAUAUGCAUAGUUUAAAAAAACGCUAAGUGUUAAUUGUACGUUUUGCCACCGUCUUGUGCUUUUUUGCCGAAAGCGUAUGCUUAUACGCAAUUAUGCGUAGAUUGAGCAUAGUUAUGCGCUAGACAUUUUGCUAUCGUCUAGGCGCGUCUAAGCGUUCGCUUAGGCACACCUUUUUCAACCAUGUGUGUAUAUAUGCUGGGAGUGCUUGGUAGUGUGUGGAAUUUACAUUUUAUCCGUCCAAAAAUACUUGUUGAAUAUAUUCACAAGUAUUUCUGGCCGAAUAUAAUACUACAAAAAGAAAAAGAAAGAAAGAUAUGUGAGACGUAAGACCGGCAGCGUCGUCUUCGACCCAACUACACCGUUCUUUGGUAUAGUCUAUGCUCAACCCAUGCAAUCGGGUAUUUAUAUAUACUCCCUCAGUGGCGGAUCCAGCACACUAGGUCAGGGUAGACCAACAGUUCAUAAACUUAUAAAAAAUCAUUUUUAUCGAUUUAUUCUAUCUAUUUUACUAUAGUACUAGUACAAACUGUCCGUGCCUUGCACCGGGCUAGAAAAAAGUGCAAAACCUACUUGUUUUAUCAUUAUGCGGCAUUAAUUUUAAUAAAUUUCAAUUAUAAUGUUAAAUGUAAGACAUCUAUUUUUGGACGGAAGAAGUUUCUUUUAAAGUUUUAAAAUCUUCCCUAAUAAUAAAAUAACCUAAUUAUGCGGAAAAAUAAAAAACAAAACAUGUUUACAAUAUCCGUCUACUCUCAAAAAUCAAGCACGUAAUUUAUCAUAUUUUUACGUAGAAUAACAUACAAAAAAUAUAGUGCAUGCACUGAUUUCAAGUCCAAUCUCUCCCUAAUAAUAAAGCAAAUACAAUUUUUGGUCGUCCGUCAUGGCAGUUUUGCAAAAACGCCCCCUAUUUUUUGGUAAUCAACCCACGGUCCUUCAUUAAGUGGAAAAUACGUUUCUUUUUCCAAAAAAGCCCCUGCAUCGGGGCGGGCCAAGGUGACAGGCAGCCACCGACUCCUCCCGAGCCCCUGAUCUGCUCACCGUGCCGCCGCCCCGCUCCUCCCGCUGGUCGCCGGCCCCGAUCGACGCCGGAUCCUGCCGCCGGCGAGCUGCCUAAGCCGUCGCUUGCAGCCCUGCCUCCUCCGGAGCGCCGCCCCCGCGAGCAGCCGCGCUGCCCUGCCUCCUGCGCCUCCCCGCAUCUCCGGGUUGGUCGUGGCCUCCACGCAGAUCCAUCCACCGUUGACCCCGUAUCCUCCCCCCCCGAUGGUAUCCGACCUCCACCACUAUGCAUAUGUGCGAUGAGACGUCGGAUCCAUCACUCUUCGGCCACCGCUUGACCUCCACGACAGUGCCUCGCCAAUGCUUACUUCCCCGCAUCCAACCCUUCAUCGGUAUGGACUCGUGCUCCUCGGCUUGGAGUCUCUGUCGGGAGAGCACCCCCCAUCGUUGGAAUCCCUUUUGCUCGAUAAAUGCCGAACCUUGGCAUCACUGCCGAAUGAGCAACAAGCAUACGGGUCUGCAAGCAUACAUGUCUCUAAAGUGGCUUAGAGUUACAUGUUGUCCUAAUUUAAAGAAGCUCCCAAGAUGCCUGCUGUAGCAACUCGGCAGCAUCGAUGGCAAAGAACUCGAUGCUGAUGUUUCAAAAGGGAUCCCCGGCAAUGGCGCAAGAAUGCUUCUGAUGUCCGUUAUGCUGCUGCACAAAAGACCUUCCAGUGGCACCAGAAAUGGGCACGUUGACGACGCGAGGAAUCCUUCUGCGUUGGUGUUUCCUCGAAGCGGAGAGGAUGAUGUAGCACAGCGGAGGUAAGUAUUUCCCUCAGUUUGAGAACCAAGGUAUCAAUCCGGCGGAGGAGUAUCUCAAGAUCCUGCACAAACACAAAAGCUUGCACCCAACGCUAUGAAGGGGUUGUCAAUCCCUUAUAGAUUGUUUGCCAAGUGAGAACUGAAAGCAACAAAGUAACAAAGCAAAGUAAAAGCGGUUGUAAACGAUGGAUGUGAAUAGACCCGGGGGCCGUAGUGUUUACUAGUGGCUUCUCUCAUGAAAGCAAGUAGACGGUGGGUGAACAAAUUACUGUCGAGCAAUUGAUAGAACUGUGCAGAGUCGUGACCAUAUCUAUGCACUGAUUAUUUCUAUAGGCAUCACGUUCGAAACAAGUAGACCGAUACUUUCUGCAUCUACUACUAUUACUCCACACGUCGACCGCUAUCCAGCAUGCAUCUAGUGUAUUAAGUCCGUAAGAACAGAGUAACACCUUAAGCAAGAUGACAUGAUGUAGAGGGAUAAUCUCAAACCAAUGAUAAAAACCCCAUCUUUUUACCCUUGAUGGCAACUGCUUGAUGUGUGCCUUGCUGCCCCUACUGUCACUGGGAAAGGUCACCACAUGGCAGAACCCAAAACCAAGCACUUCUCCCAUUGCAAGAAUCAUAGAUCUAGUUGGCCAAACAAAACCCAAGACUCGAAGAGACUUACAAGGAUAUCAAAUCAUGCAUAUAAGAAAUCAGCAAAGACUCAAAUAUAUAUCAUAGAUAAUCUGAUCACAAGUCCACAAUUCAUUGGAUCUCGACAAACACACCGCCAAAGAAGAUUACAUCGGAUAGAUCUCCAUGAAGAUCAUGGAGAAGUUUGUAUUGAAGAUCCAAGAGAGAGAAGAAGCCAUCUAUCUAGUAACUACGGACCCGUAGGUCUGAAGUGAACUACUCACGAGUCAUUGGAGGGGCAAUGAUGAUGAUGAAGAAGCCCUCCAACUCCAAAGUCCCCUCCGGCAGGGUGCCGGGAAGGGUCUCCAGAUGAGAUCUCGCGGAAACGGAACCUUGCGGCGGCGGAAAAGUAUUUUCGAGGCUCCCCUAAUUUUUUGUGGAAUAUUUGGGAAUUUAUAGGCCAAAAACCUAGGUGAGGGGGCGGCCAGGGAGGCCACAAGCCUGCCCACCGCCGCCUCCCCGUGGUGGUGGAGUGGGGGCUUGUGGGCUCCCUGGAGCCCACCUGGCUUGGCCCAAAAGCUCACUGGACUUCUUUCGUUCGGGAAAAAAUCAUUUCAGGGUUUUUCUUCCGUUUGGAGUCCGUUCCAAAAUCACGUGUGAAAAGAGUCAAAAACACGGAAAAAACAGGAACUAACACUUGGCACUAAAUUAAUAAGUUAGUCCCAAAAAGAUAUAAAAAGGUACAUAAAACAUACAAAGAAGGCAAGAUAACAGCGUGAAACCAUCAAAAAUUAUAGAUACGUUUGGGACGUAUCAAACAUCCCCAAGCUUAACUCCUGCUCGUCCUCGAGUAGGGAAGUGAUAAGAAUGAAUUUUUGAUGCUUUCAUGCUACCUAGCAUAGGUGUCCUUUGUAAUUCCUCUUAUGUGACGUGAAUGUUCAGAUCCAUUAGAUUCAAAACAAUAGUUUGCUAUUGACGUGGAAACAAUAAUAAUUCAAGCAAACUAGCAAAGUAAUCAUGAACUUUCAAAAUAACAAGGCCAAAAGAAAGUUAUCCCUACAAAAGCAUAUAGUCUGGCUAUGCUCUAUCAUCAUUGCACAACGAAUUUAAAUCAUGCACAACCCCGGUAUUGGCCAAGUAAUUGUUUCACACCUUUACUUUCUCAAACAUUUUCAACUCUCACGCAAUACAUGAGCGUGAGCCAUGGUUAUAGCACUAUAGAUGGUGUGGAAUGUGGUGGAGGUUGCAAGACAAAAAAGGAGAAGAUAGUCACAUUAACUAGGCAUAUCAAUGACCUGUGGAGAUGCUCAUCAAUAGAUAUCAAUGUGAACGAGUAGGGAUUGCCAUACAAAUGAUGCACUAGAGCUACAAGUAUGUGAAAGCUCUUAAAGAAAACUAGUGGGUGUGCAUCCAACUUGCUUGCUCACGAAAACCUAAGGCAAUUUUGAGGAAGCCUAUCAUUGAAAUAUACAAGCCAAGUUAUAUAAUGAAAAUUUCCCACUAGAUAUAUGGUGGUGAAAAAACGAGAGACUCUCAAUCAUGAAGAUCAUGGUGCUUAAUAUGCACAAGUGUGGAAAAAGUGGUAGCAUUGUCCCUUCUCUCUUUUUCUCUCAUUUUUUUAUUUUGGUGGGCUCUUUGGCCUCUUUUUUUUAUGGGAUUCUUUGGCCUCUUUUAUUUCCUCACAUGGGACAAUGCUCCAAUAAUGAUGAUCAUCACACUUUUAACUCAAAACUUAGAGCAACUAUGACUCUAUAUGGAAUGCCUUCAGUAGUGUACCAUGGCAAUGAUCUAGCAUGGCAUAGACAUUAAUGGAAACAUCAUGCUAGCUAUCUUAGGAUCAUGCAAUGACAAUGUAGACGUGGUGGCACAUGUCAUGGUGGUAGUUGCAUGGCAAUAUAUCUCUAAAUGACUUUGAAAAAGCCAUAAUAGGUAGGUAUGGUGGCUGUUUUGAGGGAGGCUAAUGGUGGGUUUUGUGCACCGACGAAAGUUGCACGGCACUAAGAAGAUAGUGAUGGUGGAAGGUGAAAGUGCAUCUAAACCAUGGACUCAACAUUAGUCAUGAAGAACUCAUAUACUUGUUGCAAAAGUUUUAUUAGUAAUCAAAACAAAGCAUUCAACGCAUACUCCCAGGGGAAGGGUUGGUGGGUAUAAACCAUCGCGCGAUCCCGACCGCCACGCAAAGGAUGACAAUCAAUAGACUAAUCAUGCUCAGAUUUCAUCACAUAGCGGUUCACCAUACGUGCAUGCUACGGGAAUCACUAACUUUAACACAAGUAUUUCUAGAUCCACAACACCUUACUAGCAUGACUUCAAUAUUACCAUAACCACAACUCAAAAUUAAUUGAGAUGAAUCAAACUUCUCUAACUAUUUAAUGCACGUGAAGGUGGAAGUUUUCGUAUCCCUUUGGAUAACUACCCCUUUUUGAGACUACUUUCAAAGCAUAGAUCAACUACCAAGCCACGCACCGUUGUGCUCUAAAAGAUAUAAGUGAAGCACACAGAGCAAAAGUAUCUAGCUCAAAAGAUAUAAGUGAAGCACAUGUGAGCUGAAUUGUCUACCAAAAGAUAUAAGUGAAGCUCGAGAAAAUCACGGUGUGUGCAUGUCUCUCUCUUUAGGUGUGCAGCAAGGAUGAUUGUGACACAACAAAAAUAAAAGACUCCUACGAUACAAGACGCUCCAAGCAAAAACACAUAACAUCUGGUGAAUAAAAAUAUAGCUCCAAGUAAUGUUACCGAUGGAUUAAAGACGAGAGAGGGGAUGCCUACCCGGGGCAUCCCCAAGCUCAGGCUUUUACAUCAUCCUUGAAUCUCUUGGGGUGCCUUGGGCAUCCCCAAGCUUGAGCUCUUGCCACUCUUUAUCUUUUUGUCCAUAAGAACUUCACCCAAAACUUGAAAACUUCACAACAUGAAACUUAAACAGAAACUCGUGAUAACAUUAGUACAAGAAAGCAAACCACCACUUCCUUAGGUACUGUAGAAAACUUAAAUUCUACUUGUGCUGAUGUUGGGUUACUGUACUUUCAAUCUUCCAUGGCUAAUACCCCCCGACACUAUCCAUAGUUUCAUCAAAAUAAGCAACCAACACAACAAAAACAGAAUCUGUUAACAGCAGACCAGCCUGUAGCAAUCUGUAUGUUUUGUAUACCUCUAGUACUUCAAAAAUUCUGAAAAAUUACGACAUUCUGAAGAAUUUGCGUAGCAAUCAGCAAAAAAAAUAAUCAACUCAAAAGCUCUUACAGAAAAAAUGAAAAUUCUUUUCGUGAGCAAAAAGUUUCUGUCUUUUCCAGCAUGACCAAACGAUCAUCCCCAAGACUAAUCAUAACGGUUUUGCUUGGCACAAACGCAAAAAGAAACACAAAAAACACAUCAUACCAGAAUUAUGAAAGUGUGGAAAACACAAAACAGAAAGAAAAAAGGAUAAAUUCGUUGGGUUGCCUCCCAACAAGCGCUUUUGUUUAACGUCCUUAGCUAGGCAUUGAAUGAUGCUCUCACAAAAGACAAGAAUUGAAGCACAACGAGAGUAUCCUAAAGCAAGUGAAAACCACAUCUAAGUCUAACAUACUUCCUAUGCAUAGGCAUUUCAUAGGAAAAAAGAUUGUCAAGACAACCAAUAGUUGCCAUAUGCAAGGAAGAAGAAAGAGACAAUAGCAAUCUCAACAUAACGAGAGGUAAUUUGGUAACAUGAAAGUUUCUACCAAAAUAUUUUCCUCUCUCAUAGCAAUUACAUGUGGGAUCAUAUUCAAAUUCAACAAUAUAUCUAUCCCAUAGGAUAUUCUUUUCAUGAUCCACAUGCAUGCAAAGUUGACGCUCUUCAAAAAUAGUGGGAUUAUCAUCAAAUAAAGUCAUGACUUCUCCAAUCCCACUUUCAGUAUUGUUGCAAAUAUCAUAUUCAUCAUGAGGUUUGAACAAAUUUUCAAGAUCAUAAUAAAGAUCAUCACCCCAAUCGUGAUUAUUGCAACAAGUAGUGGUCAUAGCAAAACUAGCAUCCCCAAGCUUAGGGUUUUGCAUAUUUUUAGCAUGAUUGUCACUAAUAGAAUUUGUAGUGAAACCAAUGCAAUCAUGCUUUUCAUUCAAGGAGACCUCGUGAAUCACUUCUUCAUCACGAUUUUUAGAUUCACGCAUCUUACGCAAAACUCCAAAGAAAUAGUCAAUUGCCCUCAACUCACUAGCAAUUUGUUCCACACGAGUGGGUCUCUUAAACAGACUAGCAAGUGGAUGAGGAUCCAUAUCACUAGAUUUUCACCAAGCGAAGAUGCAAGCAUAUUGAGGGCACAUGGCACACAAGCGAACAGAAAGCAAGUGAGAGAAAAGGGAGAACGAAAAAGGCAAAUGAAAACGGCAAAUGUGAACUGGGGGAGAGGAAAACGAGAGGCAAGUGGCAACAAAAGUAAAUGCAAGAGAAGAGUUUAUGAGACCUACUUGGAUAGAUCUUGAUUUCUCCUCCCCGGCAACGGCGUCAGAAAUACUUCUAAUGUUUCAAAAGGGAUCCCCGGCAAUGGCGCAGGAAUGCUUCUGAUGUCCGUUAUGCUGCUGCACAAAAGACCUUCCAGUGGCGCCAGAAAUGGGCACGUUGACGACACCAGGAAUCCUUCUGCGUUGGUGUUUCCUCGAAGCGGAAAGGAUGAUGUAGCACAGCGGAGGUAAGUAUUUCCCUCAGUUUGAGAACCAAGGUAUCAAUCCGGUGGAGGAGUAUCUCAAGAUCCUGCACAAACACAAAAGCUUGCACCCAACGCUAUGAAGGGGUUAUCAAUCCCUUAUAGAUUGUUUGCCAAGUGAGAACUGAAAGCAACAAAGUAACAAAGCAAAGUAAAAGCGGAGUUGUAAACGAUGGAUGUGAAUAGACCCGGGGGCCGUAGUGUUUACUAGUGGCUUCUCUCAUGAAAGCAAGUAGACGGUGGGUGAACAAAUUACCGUCGAGCAAUUGAUAGAACUGUGCAGAGUCGUGACCAUAUCUAUGCACUGAUUAUUUCUAUAGGCAUCACGUUCGAAACAAGUAGACCGAUACUUUCUGCAUCUACUACUAUUACUCCACACGUCGACCACUAUCCAGCAUGCAUCUAGUGUAUUAAGUCCGUAAGAAUAGAGUAACGCCUUAAGCAAGAUGACAUGAUGUAGAGGGAUAAUCUCAAACCAAUGAUAAAACCCCCAUCUUUUUACCCUUGAUGGCAACUGCUUGAUGUGUGCCUUGCUGCCCCUACUGUCACUGGGAAAGGUCACCACAUGGCAGAACCCAAAACCAAGCACUUCUCCCAUUGCAAGAAUCAUAGAUCUAGUUGGCCAAACAAAAUCCAAGACUCGGAGAGACUUACAAGGAUAUCAAAUCAUGCAUAUAAGAAAUCAACAAAGACUCAAAUAUAUAUCAUAGAUAAUCUGAUCACAAGUCCACAAUUCAUCGGAUCUCGACAAACACACCGCCAAAGAAGAUUACAUCGGAUAGAUCUCCAUGAAGAUCAUGGAGAACUUUGUAUUGAAGAUCCAAGAGAGAGAAGAAGCCAUCUAGCUAGUAACCACGGACCCGUAGGUCUGAAGUGAACUACUCACGAGUCAUUGGAGGGGCGAUGAUGAUGAUGAAGAAGCCCUCCAACUCUAAAGUCCCCUCCGACAGGGUGUUGGGAAGGGUCUCCAGAUGAGAUCUCGCGGAAACAAAAGCUUGCGGCGGCGGAAAAGUAUUUUCGAGGCUUCCCUAAUUUUUUUGCGGAAUAUUUGGGAAUUUAUAGGCCAAAGACCUAGGUUAGGGGGCGGCCAGGGAGGCCACAAGCCUGCCCACCGCCGCCUCCCCCCUGGUGGUGAAGUGGGGGCUUGUGGGCUCCCUGGAGCCCACCUGGCUUGGCCCAAAAGCCCCCUGGACUUCUUCCGUUCGGGAAAAAAUCAUUUCGGGGUUUUUCUUCCGUUUGGACCCCGUUCCAAAAUCAGAUCUGAAAAGAGUCAAAAACACGGAAAAAACAGGAACCGACACUUGGCACUGAAUUAAUAAGUUAGUCCCAAAAAGAUAUAAAAAGGUACAUAAAACAUACAAAGAAGGCAAGAUAACAGCGUGAAACCAUAAAAAAUUAUAGAUACGUUUGAGACGUAUCAGAUGCUUGUUGUGAAAGUAUGCACGUCUUUCUAUCUUUGCCACAUUUACCCAACAAAUGCAGUCAUCCAUUCCAAUCACAUGUACAAGUUGGUUUUCCAUUAUUUGAAUGUCAUAUGGUACUCCCUCCGUCUUUAUAAUUUUAUUUACUGUGCAUAUUAGGGUUGACUAAAGUCAAACUUAUUUUUUUCUUCGACCGACAAGCUCCUCCGGCACCCCGAUCAUGCUCCUGCUGCUGCAUCGAAGGUCCUGAUCCUGCUGCUUUUGAUGCUUUGCAAGUUGAUGCUCCUCCGCCCGGAAUGACCUGUGCUGCUGCCUGCAGCCGGUGAGAUGUAAUGCCUCCCUUUUGUAAAUCUGCAACUUCAGAAUCUAUCGCCUUGUAUGAAUUCCUGCAAACCGAAUCAGUCAGUCGUGUGUUAUGUUAAUUUGGUAGCUGUGUUAAAAAUGAAACAUGGUUGAUGGGAGAAUCUUGGAAAUGAGGACAUUGAGGCCGGCAUGCUUGUUGUCCUAACCAAACACGUUGAUGCUGUCCUCUGUCUAUAUGAUCUGUCAUACAUAAGCUUCGAAAUCUGUAUUUUAGAGAACCCUGCCGUCUUGUAAUCAGAAGUUCAGAGAAGAAAUGCACUAAAUCUUAAAGAGUACAGUACUGUAUUUCUACUAUGUAGCCGAUUACGAUUAAAGAAGUGCAAUAACUCUGAAUUGCAAACAUGAAUCAAUGAGCUUGAUGCUAGCUUCUGUUUGAAACUCUGAACUCUUAUUUUCUGAGUCAUGUGGCCCUGUAAAAUUUGCACAUGAUUUGGCAAAUCAGAAGAGAAGUUUGAUGGCCAUGAAUGCUGUCUAGGUUUCUUUAAGUUUGAUACUGGUAGUAAACAAUAUAAAUAAAGCCGGAUCCGCCAUGGCGCUGUACCGCUUGCUGCUCCGGCGACUGACCGGCCGGCCAAGAAGCCCACCGCCUACCCCUCAAGCCGGAUCCGCCAUGGCGCUGUACCGCCGCGCGGCCUCCGCGAUCUGGCGGCGUGGGGCCCCGCCCAUGCUCCCGGCGCGGGCCAUGGCGUCGCUCCUCGGCCACGUCGAGCCGGCGCCCAAGGACCCCAUCCUCGGCGUCACCGAGGCCUUCCUUGCCGACCUCAUGGCCGGGAGAGACCCACCUCGACGCGUCCGACCGGAGGUGGAGGAGGUGGCUGGUGGCGACGUGGUGGUCGGCGGGGCUGUGGCCGGGUGCUAGGAGGAGACGGUCGGUGGAGAGGAGGGGCAGGGGGCGGAGGAGGCCGGGGGAGGCGUGAGGGUGGCUGGCGCGGGGCGGCCCUGGUGGCAGCGGGGCGGAUCCGAUCCGGGGGCGAGGGGCUUUCUUGCAAAUGUGAAACAUUUUUUUCACUUAAUCAGGGACUGUGGGUUGAAUGCUCGAAACGGAGGGAUUUUUUCGCAAAAAAGCCACGACGGACGGCAGAAGCGCUCCGCGCUUUAUUAUUAAGGGAGAUAAAGCCUGAUUCUUAAAUUCGCGCCCCACCCUGGCCACCCUAUGGCUCUGUCCCUGUACUCCCUUUGUUCCUUAAUAUAAAUCUUUUCUAGAGAUUUUAUUAGGAGACUACAUAUAGAUGUAUAGUCCAUUAAUGAAAUCUUAAAAAACUUAUACUACUUCCGUUCUUAAAUAUAAGUGUNAUUUAGAAACAGUUGGAGUAUUUAUUAAAACAGAAAAACAGCAAGUAGCAGAAACCGCGUUGGACGCGGGAUGGAAGGAAAGGGUGCCGCCGCCGGUCGCGCGCCUCCCCGACGAGACGACGACCCAGUUCAGGUCAAGCCACUGCUCUGUCUCCGUCCGUCAGUCCGUCCAAAGAACCAGACUUUCGCCGAAUCUACAAAGCUCCCUCCGCCCACGACCAUGGAUCCACCCCCUCCACCGCCGCUCUCCCGCCUGCCCUUCUUCCCCAGUCCCCACUCCGUACCACCCAGGAGCGACCAGGCCGCGGCCUCCCAAGCGGCAACGGCGCCGGCGACUGCAGCUGAGCCGAGAGGAUAGCGGCGGCGGCCCGACGGCCCGGAAGCAGAUCGCGCGGUAAGCCUCCGUGAGCUUUAUCUCCUUGUGUUGGAUGUCCCGUCAUCUCUGAUGGUAGCUGAACCCCGGUCCAUUCCAAUCUUGAAAAAGAAAAGAGGCUCCAUGAACCCCUACCAUAUACUGUACGUCGUCGUUGUUGCAGUCUUGCACACUGAUUUGGGUCCGUCGACCGUCAACCAUCAUUGCUUUUUCAUUAACUGAUGGGCAUGUGUUGUCAAUCAUUAUCAUUGUUGUGACUAACAUAGUAGACGAUGAUGUUUGGAGAACGGGGUCUCCACACAUCUAUGGAACCCACUUGUGAGUUGUGACUAACAUAGUAGAUGAUGAUGUUUCGUCACCCAAUUUUUCAGCGUGUUAUUGUGUGGAUGGACGGCGAAUAUAUACUGAUUUGGGUUCGUCGAUCGUCAGCCAGUGGUCAACGGAUAUCCUGCAUCUGUGUGAGACAUAGUGAAAUGCAGGGGAAGUUGGUUGUAUCACCAUAUAGGUUUUCAGUUAAAUGGAAGCCAGCCAGGAGCUAUGCUGCUUUUACCGAGAGAAAAAAAGAGGGCGCAAUAGCGCUUAUCUUCCUACAUCUUAUGGGCGGAAGCCAUUCUCCCGCCCAUCCAUGCCUAAGCGCUGCCACACCAGUCACUGGUAUAUAUAUAGCUGGCGUUUCAUCGCUCAAUUUUUCAGUGCGUUGUGGGUUGGAAUUUCCAUGUCCUUGAGAACUGUAAGGUGGCUUUUUGCUCUCCUUUUGCACCGCUGUGUGAUUCAGAAAAGUUUUAUGUACCGCAUAGCGUGUUCGGUGCUUGCAAACUUUUGCGCAGUCCUAUAUGUGCGUGAGACAGCCGACGUGGUUGUUGGAUGUAUCACCAUAUCGGUUUUCUGUCAAAAUGAAAUGUGGGAUCCAUGCUCCUUUUAUGUAAAAAAAGUAAUAAUACAGUAGCGCUUGUCUUCGUUGUACAUGUUAUGGGCAAAAAAUUAUUUACCUCGGUUAACAAAUUGGGUAAAUGUGCUAAACACCAAACGACAAUAUAGCCGUGUGCACCAUCCUUUAUAAGCAUAUAUAUAAUAUGCCACAUUUUGUCCAAGCUGAAACUGAUCCUUUAUAAAACAUAAUGUGCCACAUUUGUCGAAGCUGAAACUGAUAUAUUUGUUCAGUGUUGGUGUUUUUCAGCAGCGAAUGGCGGAGGCUAUACUCCUCGCUGUGUCAAAGAUUGGGACAGUCCUUUUGAAUGAAGCUGUCUUGGCUGUCAUUGACAAGCUGUCGAGGAAGGUUGAUAAUGUGAAGGAAUUGCCAGCAAAGAUCAAAAGAAUCGAUACAGAACUUAAGACGAUGAAUGAUGUAAUCGAACAUUUGGGUACAACACAACUCAGCAACAAGAUCAUCAAGGGAUGGGUUGGAAACGUGAGGAAGCUGGCCUACCAUGUUGAGGAUGUGGUUGACAAGUACUCGUACGAGGCUCUUAAGCUCAAGGACGAAGGCUUCCUAAAUCGGUACAUCUUCAGAGGUUCACGCCAUAUAAAGGUCUUCAGUAAAAUUGCCGAGGAAGUUGUAGAGCUAGAGGAGGAGAUUAGGCAGGUCAAAGGACUGCGUGAUUAUUGGAGUGAUACAGCCCAACCCAUCAAUAAUGAGCAUGCAGAGAUUGAUAGGCAGCGAUGUGGAGGCUGCUUUCCCGAACGUGUUAGUGACAAGGAUCUUGUGGGAAUUGAUGGAAACAGGAGCAAGUUGACCGAAUGGCUGACCACCAAUGAGAACGAAAGCAGAGUGAUUACAGUUUCUGGUAUGGGAGGCUUGGGAAAAACAACCCUUGUGAAAAAUGUUUAUGAUCGGGAGAAAACCAACUUCCCUAAUGCUCAUGCUUGGGUUGUGGUGUCACGGGCAUAUGAUGUAGUGGAUUUGCUGAAGACAUUGCUCACCAAGAUACAACAUACAGAAGAGUCACCGCCUCCGUCACCUCUUAGGGCGGGUGCCAAACCUGAUGUUUAUGAGUUGACAGAGGCGAUAAAGAAGAUAUUGCAAGAUAGGAAGUGCUUGAUCGUGCUCGAUGAUGUGUGGGAUAAAGAAGCAUAUACUCAGAUGAGCAGUGCAUUCCAGGGUCUCCAAGGAUGCCAUGUUAUGAUCACAACACGGAAGGAAGAUGUUGCGGCUCUUGCUCCAGUGGGGCGUCGCCUAAUACUGCAACCAUUGGGUGGCGUCGAGUCGUUCAAGCUAUUCUGCUCCAGGGCUUUCCACAACAGCCUGGACCACAAGUGCCCUCCAGAGCUUGAGGCGGUGGCUACUGCUGUAGUUGAGCGGUGUCGUGGCCUACCAUUGGCCAUUGUAUCGUCUGGCAGCCUAUUGUCCACAAAGCAACCAACAGAGCACGCGUGGAAUCAGGUGUACAACCAUCUUCAGAGCGAGCUGCGGGGGAAUAACCAUGUCCAAGCUAUACUUAAUCUGAGCUACCAUGACUUGCCAGGUGAUCUCAGGAACUGCUUCCUGUACUGUAGCUUAUUCCGUGAAGACUAUGAAAUGUCACGGGAAAGCCUCGUGCGGUUGUGGGUUGCUGAAGGGUUUGCGAUGAAGAAAGAUAGCAGCACGCCAGAGGAAGUGGCCGAGGGUAAUCUCAUGGAACUCAUCGGCCGUAAUAUGCUGGAAGUUGUGGAGAGGGAUGAGCUCUUGAGGGUUAGUAAAUGUAAGAUGCAUGACAUUGUCCGAGACCUAGCUCUUGCUGUUGCUAAAGAGGAGAGGUUUGGCUCCGCGAAUGAUCAGGGCGAAAUGAUGCUCAUGGAUAAAGAAGUUCGCCGGUUCUCGACACGCUGUUGGAGAGACAGUAACACAGCUGCAGGAGUGGAAUUUCCACGACUUCGAACCGUCAUCUCACUCGCCGCAGAUUCGUCCUCUACCAACAUGAUUUCCUCAGUUUUUUCUGGAUCCAGCUACCUUACCGUUCUCGAGCUUCAAGACUCUGGAAUCAACCAAGUGCCAGCAUCCAUUGGGAAUCUCUUCAAUCUCCGUUACAUCGGCUUGAGGCGCACCAGAGUUCAGUCACUGCCAGAUACUAUUGAAAAACUGUCAAACCUCGAGACGCUGGACGUCAAGCAAACAAAAAUAGAAAAACUACCACCAGGAAUUGUGAAGGUUGAGAAGUUACGACACCUUUUAGCUGACAGGUUUGCUGAUGAGAAGCAGGCGGAAUUCAGGUACUUUGUCGGAGUGGAAGCACCGAAAAUGGUUUCCAACUUUAAAGAAUUGCAAACUCUUGAGACCGUCCAUGCCAGCAAAGACUUGUCGCUAGAGCUGAAGAACAUGAGUAAGUUGCAGACUGUUUGGAUUGAUGACAUAAAUGCAUCUAACUGUGAUGACCUUUUCAAGACCCUCUCAGCUAUGCCCCUACUUUCUAGCUUACUUCUCUGUGCAUGUGAUGAGAAGGAGACACUUUCUUUCCAAGCACUCAAGCCAAUUUCCAAGAGGCUGCACAGACUAAUCAUCAGAGGUGGCUGGGCCGAUGGGACGCUCAAGUGCCCGAUAUUCCAGGGUCAUGGGAAGAACAUCAAGUAUCUGGCUCUAAGUUGGUGCAAUCUUGGGAAUGAGGACCCGCUGCAGCUGCUGGCAUUUCAUCUGCCAGCUCUCACUUAUCUCAGUCUUAACAGGGUGAGUAGUGCAGGUACAUUGGUACUGUCUGCAGGGUGCUUCUGUCAGUUGAAGACGCUUGUUUUGAGGCGCAUGCCUAAUGUCAAGCAACUGGAGUUUGAGGAGGGCGCCAUUCCAUGCGUUGAAGGGAUCUACGUCAUGUCACUCUCGGAGCUCAGUAUGGUCCCUCAUGGCAUCGAGUCGCUUGGGUCCCUGAAGAAGCUCUGGAUGCUAGACCUGCACAAGGACUUCAAGGCUGACUGGGAUCUGAACCAGAUGAAGUACAAGAUGGAGCAUGUUCCAGAGCUCCGUGCCUAGUCAUGCUCUUUUCGUGUCCUCGCGUUGUCUUCUGCUGCUUGAAGUAUGUAUGUACUUUGCUGUAAUCCUUAUUUUUUCGCUCGUUGUUGCUCUAGACUCUCUUCUGGGUAGUGCUAAUAGGUUUUUGCCCCGUAGUGGGUGCUUGAGAACGAGCACUCAGCAGCGGGUUUCCUAUUAGUGACCAAACUUGGUACCUUCUUUUCCAUUCCCUCUAUUCUUGUGCUGUAAGCCUGUAAUUAACUGGUUAUUUUGAUCAGUCAAAGAAAAAGUCAUAAUUGAUAAUAUUAAUUUAUUGUGCAUGCUUUUAAUUAUUUGUAACGGCCCCCCGGUUCAGUACUUCAGUUUUGAAUCCUGCAUAUGUGAUAUUUUUGGGUGUUACCAAGUACAUUAUCAUGAUACUCGGUCUUGAAACCUUAUCUUGUUUAGUUUCUUGCUCUUUUCCGGUCUAGUUCAAUCUUCUUUAUCAUGUUUAUCAUGAUACCAUGUCUCUUCAUUUAAUCUGGUCUGCUGCAACCACUUCUUCUGACGGAGACGGUAUAAUCAGUUUACCUCCGAUGAAAACUAUAAAGAUUAUGUUUAAUUUCGUACAUUUAUUCACGAGAUUAAACUUGAUGGUCCGAAUUUACAGAUCAUAGGCCCUCUUGGUCUCAUAUGAAGAAGCAAUUUUGAGAGGUACACUCUGCUUCUGCUCUGUUAUUAUGUGUUCUUGUCCAUUCUUCUUGUCUGUCUGAAAUUGUUCCCAGAUCAUUUGAUGGAUUUGAAAUUCAGUUUAUGGCCAGAAGUAAGCAGAGAUUCGGCCGGAUGAAUUCCAGCAAAUCUGUAUGAGAAAAAUACACUAAAAAGGUAGUACAAAUCAAGAGAAAUUAUCGAUCCCGGAAAGGACAAUUAGGGUGUGUUUGGUUGGGGAACGAGGUGGAACGGAAUGGAAUGGUUCCAUGACAUUCCAUUCCACUAGAAUGGGUCGGUUACGUUCAUAUGUUUGGUUGAAACAAUAAAUGAAACGAAAUGGUUAUAUUUGAGCGUUUGGUUGGUGGGACGGAAUAAAAAUUUGGUGAAGAAGUGCAGCCCAGCAUGCCUGGUCUGCGCCGCCGCCAGGCACCAGCAGCUCGGGCCGCCGCCAGGCNNNNNNNNNNNNNNNNNNNNNNNNNNNNNNNNNNNNNNNNNNNNNNNNNNNNNNNNNNNNNNNNNNNNNNNNNNNNNNNNNNNNNNNNNNNNNNNNNNNNNNNNNNNNNNNNNNNNNNNNNNNNNNNNNNNNNNNNNNNNNNNNNNNNNNNNNNNNNNNNNNNNNNGCCGGCUCACAGCCGCCCGGACGCCGCCGAAUCGGGAGGCAGCCGGCGCGGGAUUCGGUGCCUCCGGCAGUCCGGCUGCCGCGGUAGGCCUCCGCCGGGUUUAAGGCUGCCGCCGACCUCGUCCCCGUCGGCCGUGAGCCUGUACACGGCCGUUGCACCGGCCGCACGACCGCCGCAUGAUUUGUGUUGCAUUUCAUCUCCUGGAUCUGAAGAACUAUGUAAUAAUUUGAUAUUGUGGACAUGAAUUUUUUUAUGUUGUUUCAAAACAUAUUUUUAUGCAAUAUGUGCGGCUGUACAGUGGCUGACAGCGGCUGAACAGCAGACGCGCGGCUGCGGGCCGGUUUUGGACCAUGAAUUUGGACCAUCUAUUCGAGUUGGUCUUUUGGACCAUCUGUUGGAGUUGGCCUUUUUUCGAAGCUCCAAAAUACAUUUUUUGGCGGUCCAAAUUUUAAAUCUUCUGUUUUACACCGCCAAAUUUUGAACCAUCUAUUGGAGAUGCUCUAACAUACACAUAGUUGUAGUUGAUGUGUGUCGUGACAAGAAAUAUCAUCAAUAGCAGUAGAUGAUGAUGAUGAUAUGAAUCUUGCGACAUCGACAAGAAGCAUGGCCGAAGGAAAUAAGAACAUGGGUGAAGGAAAACGUGAAGAGGGGAUAUGAAUUCUUCAAAAGAGGAAGCAUGCGCCUCUAUCGCUGCAUCGAUCAGCUCGGCCUGACCGGUGACCACGGAGCAUCUACCUUUUUCUUUUCUUUUUCUGAACCAGGCAGAGCCCCUUUCCAUUAGGUUCAUAACAGAGAUUACAGCAGUCAAAAACAAUUAUGAGAAGGGAAAGAGGAAGAAGCGAGUUGAAGCACCAUCAGGAAACGUGGUCUUGGUCGUGGUAAUCGGUUCUUCUUUUCCGACGUGUCCGUGGGUGUGCCUUGACUGUUUGUUGCUGCGAAGUCGAAGCCAUGGUGGAAGGCCGGUGGUAUGCGAUGACGCCACCAUCCAAGUCGGAGCUGCGAUGUCUAGUUAGGUUUGUAUGGAGUGUAGUGAUGCAGCUUUUAGGGCUGUUGUUUUUCUUUUUCUUUGAUCUUCGAGUCAUCCAAUCUUAGGACCUUCACCACCUUGUUGUUUAUCAAAAAUGUCUUUCGUCCUGCUUUAUAAAUAAAGCAAACCGUCAGACCACAACAUUCGACAUAGGUUCCACACACACAUAAAGAAGUAGCACAAAACAACAUCAAAGAGUUUCGCCGAGGGCACAACUCAACAAGCCCUAAGAAACACACACCCACACCCAAACCCAAGGACGGCUGGAAAAGCCACCUUGUUGUUUUCCGUUGCUUCCUGCUAUUAUCAAUAAAUGCUAGCGACGUUGGAUCUUCUAAUUUUUUUUAGAAAAAUCUAAACUGCACAGUUGAUUUUCCAUGCGGGGGCUGAUGCGCGUAAGUUGGGAGAGCUUGCUUAGCAAUGUUGCAUUUUAGAAAAGAUUUAUCUUUCAAACCGUUAUCUCAAUCAAUGAUCUGUUUUCAUCACUGAUUUUAUCACGACGAGAUCUUUAAAACUAGAUUCCAUGUCGACAUGUUUCGACAAUUUUUCUUUACUCGUACUUACCAUAUUUGAUGCACUUACUUUCAUAUUAGUAAGUACUUACUUGUGUGAUAAAAAAUAACUUAAUCGCCAUAUUUUUGGAAAAUUCGUAUAAAUAUGACAUCUCGACAUAAUCAAACUGACAAGCACAAACAACUUUUUUUAGACGACCACGCGCAAACAUAUGACAACUCAACAUAUUUAAAACCGGUGACCACAAGAAAUCUUUUUUGGUUAUCGUUUGUAAAUAUGACAACUUGACACAGUUAAACUAACAAGCUGACAAAGUUGUAUGUAAACAUGACAAGUUGACAUAUUUUAAUUUGACAAACACAACCUACGGCAUGUUUUUAUGUCAUGUAUGAUGAAAACUGCUACAAGGCUUUGUACGAAAUAAUAUUAAAAAAUGCCAAUCAAGUUAUUUUUUUUAGACAAUUAAGUGGUUAAUAGUAUGACAAGUGGGUCAAAAAAUGUGGUAAAUAUGAACGAAAAAAAUAGUUGAUGGAACAUGUCGACAUGGGAUCUAGUUUCGAAGAACUCGUCGUGAGAAAGUCAACGGUGAAAACGGAUCAUCGAUUGAAUUAACGGUUUUGUAGAUAAAACUUUUUGAAUUUCAAACAUCAAAGGGGAUCUUGCAUGUGGUGUUGUAUGCCUUUUUUUUUUUGCUUUUUUGCAUGAGUUUUUCAGUCUUAGUCCGUAGGAGCCAUACGGCAAGACCUUCGUGCGGCGCCGCUGCCUAGUCCAGCCAAAAAAAUUAGGGUCCUUCAUAUAUAAUUAGUAUAUUUUUUUAGAAAAGGAGGAUUACCUCCGGCCUUUCAAAUAUACUCCCUCCGUUCCUAAAUAUAAGGUGUAUUAUUUUUUCAAAAAGUAAAACUUGUCUAACUUUAACCGAGUUUGUAGACCAAUAUAUCAAGGUCUAGAAUACCAACUCAUUAUCACUAGAUUCAUCAUGAAAUAUAUUUUUGUAUUAUAUAAUUUGGUAUUGUAAAUCAUUAUAUAUUUUACUAUAAAGUUGGUCAAACAUAGACAAGGUUUGACUUAAAAAAAACUAAUACACCUUAUAUUUAGAAACGGAGUGAGUAUAUGAUAGAUAGAUUACUGAUUGCCGCAUUAAAAAGCUUAACACCGACGGCCGUAAGGAAACAAUAUUCACUGGUAAAGUUACUGAAGACAGCGGGCGGAAGAAGCCCAUCUUUUCGCCAAAAGAUAGAAAGAACUGUCAAUGGGAAAGCUAAUCAGGCAUGUGGUGCUCGUCCCUGUUACCUAUUCUGCACUAAUGGCUGGGGCGACCACCAGCAGCGAUAGACAUCAAACCUGUAAGUGGAGAUGUUUAAGAGAUAUUUCGUUCGUCAAACUGAUGAUCUAAGAUAUGUGCAUAUAGCUAUAAUAAAAGAAAGAGAGAGCAUGUCACAACACCAUCUUUUUCAUUUGACUCGAAGGCUUAAAUUAUUUGCAUUGAAGUGUACUUAUGCAAGGAAAUAAUACAACUCCAGUGAAAAUAACCAAUCUGAUGUAACAGCCCAAUUAGAUCCGGAUUAUGUACUUGUUGUAUUACACGGUGCGAGCAUUCAGUCGGUCAUAUGCUUCGUACACUUGCAUCCAUAUGCAUAUGUGCGAGAUGGCGAAAAACGUCUUAGCCAUCUUGGUCGAUGCGUUGCAUGUUAUAUAAAGGGAUUGCGAGCCCAAACACAUGUACAAGUUUGUUGAAGAGAUAUUUUAGAGAUAUACCUUGAAGGAAAAGGAAACAAGAGAUUACAUGAGUAUCUAUCUUGUCUAACUACUCCUUAUUGCGGUUGAGAAUACCCCCUAACGUGCUGGCUCAAUAUCACGUUUAACACCCUUCCUUAAUCACAACUUCAUCAAGUUGAGAUUAUGCUUAAAGUCUUCAAAACUUCUUGUAGGCAGGGCCUUGGUAAACCCAUCUGCUACCUGGUCCUUAGAGUGAAUGAACCGAAUGUUUAAGAGUUUAUUUGCAACUCUUUCUCGAACAAAAUGGAAAUCUAUCUCAAUGUGCUUUGUUCUAGCAUGAAAGAUUGGAUUUGCUGAUAAAUAGGUAGCACCAAGGUUAUCACACAAUAAGCAUGGAGCUUUAGUGUUUUCAUACCUAGUUCCUUCAAAAUAGACUGUACCCAUAUAAUCUCUGCUGUUGCGUUGGCAAGUGUCUUGUAUUCUGUUUCUGUGCUGGAUCUAGAAACAGUGGCUUGCUUUCUUGCACACCAAGAUAUUAAAUUAGGUCCAACAUCCUGCCCAGUCUGAGUCAGAAAAGGCACUAACAAGUGUAGAGGAUGACUUGCUGAAAUUUAGACCAAUGUUGAAAGUAUUUUUCACAUAUCUUACUAUACGUUUUGCAGCAGUGAAAUGAACUGUAGUAGGAGCACGAGGAAAUUGACAGACUUUGUUAACAGCAAAUGAAAUGUCUGGUCUAGUGAGUGUCAGAUACUGAAGUGCACCUACUAAGCAUCUAUAUUUUGUGUUGUCUUCUGAGUUCAGAAGUUCUCCUUCAACAAGGGACAUUUUUUCUGUGCUAGACAAAGGAGUGGGUGCAGGCUUGCAACUUUGUAAACCAGCCUUUUUUACUAGAUCUGUUGCAUACUUAGCUUGGGAGAGAUGAAGGCCAUCUUUGUGCCAUUUGACUUCAAUCCCAAGGAAGUAGUGUAGAUCUCCUAAGUCCUUGAUAACAAAUUAUGUACUCAAGUCCUUUAACAAUCCUGUUAUGGCUUCAUCAGAUGAGCUGGUUACAAUAAUAUCAUUAACAUAUAUGAGAACAAAUAUGGAUGUAUUUGACUUGUUAUAGAUAAAUAACGAAGUGUCUGACUUUGAAGGGACAAAGCCAAGUGCUUGCAUCUUUUUACUGAGACGCGAGUACCAUGCUCUUGGGGCCUGUUUCAGACCAUACAAGGCUUUGUCAAGUUUCCACACAUAAGAUGGUGCACGUGGAUUUUCAAACCCAGAGGUUGCUUCAUGUAAACCUCUUCCUCCAGAACACCAUGUAGAAACACGUUCUGUACAUCUAGCUGUCGUAGGCUCCACCCCCUGGACACAACGAUAGACGAAACAAGACGGAUGGUGGCAGCUUUAACAACUGGACUAAAUGUGUCCUCAUAGUCAAUACCAUACCAUUGUUGAAAACCUUUUGCAACAAGUCUGGCUUUGUAGCGGUGAAUGGUUCCAUCAGCUCUUCUUUUUAUCUUGAAGACCCAUUUACAGUCAAUGAGGUUUUUACCUUGCUGUGGAGGAAAAAGAUGCCAUGUCUUAUUUUUCUUGAGUGCCAUGAGUUCAUCAUGCAUUGCUCUUCGCCAACUUUCCUUGCCAAGAGCUUCUUCAAGAGUGUUGGGUUCUCCUGGUUCACCUGUUGAACACACCAGUCCAUAUUUUGUAAUGUGUUUAUAAUCAACUGGUUUAAUUACCCCUUGUUGUAGCUGUGUAUGACGCUGAGUGGAGGUCGCUGGUAUUCCUAUAGAAAUAGCCGGUGUAGAGGAUCCUGAAUUUGCACCAGGCUGAUCCCCACCUGAUCCCGAGGCGAAACCGCCCUCAGCCGCGUCGCCCUCAGUCGCGUCGGGCGUGUCAGCUGCUGUUGCAGUUGCUGUCGAGGCGCCAGGAUAUUCUGUGGCCACCGGCUGUUGCGCGACGGAGACUUGGACCGCAGAGGAUCCGCGAGGCUGAGCAGCAUCAUUAUGGCCCAAUGAUUGCCUGGGCCCGCCGUUGGUCAGACGAGUUGCGGUGUUGUGACAUCCUCGACUUUUGCUACCGUAAAUAUUGUGAUUAAGCUACAGUGAUCACCCGCAGAUGAUGCCACAUCAUCGAGAAUUACCGUCGAUGACCCGCAUUGAAUUUCUAUUUGGAUUCAAAAAUUGAAAACAAAAGAUAAUUAUAAUUAUAAAUUCCUAUUAACUAUUAAAGAAAGAAAGUAUUAAAAAUAAUAAUGAUAAAAGAAAGAAAAGAAUUUUGAAAGAAAGAAAUAAUAGAAGAGGAAAAGCAAAACAAAACAAAACAACAACAAAAAAAAGAAGAAAAAGAAAAAGGGGAAACCCCCCCCCNNNNNNNNNNNNNNNNNNNNNNNNNNNNNNNNNNNNNNNNNNNNNNNNNNNNNNNNNNNNNNNNNNNNNNNNNNNNNNNNNNNNNNNNNNNNNNNNNNNNNNNNNAGAUCUGGCCGGACCACCUCGCCGGCCUACACCCCCAUCCCGGCGACCACCACCCCUCUCGGCCCCAACCCCGCCCCCGUCGGCCUUCCUCCCGCUCGGUCCAGGAGGGACCGGGCAGGGAAACAUCUUUGCCUCGCCGGAUCCGGCCGGCUCCCCCUCGCCGGCACGACCGACCGUCCUCACCGGCAUCACCACCACCGCGUCAUCACCGCCGUCAACCCCGCCUUUCCCGCGAACUCCGGCUUCACCGGGCCGUCUCAUCAACGCCGGUGAGCCCUUUUACGGGCUCCUCCCACCCUCUCCUUCCGUUUUUCGUCCCGGUUCCGUUCCGGCAAACGGGACCCCGAUCCGUCGACGGUAGUGAUCGGUAGGAGGGAUUGAAGUUUAUGUUCUUCUAUGUUGAAGGAGUUAGCAAAGAGACUCUCUGUUAUAUUUGUUAACACAGAGAGGGAGAUGAGAGUUUUGAUAGAAAGAAAAAGAAAUAUAUGUAUUGCGUAUGUAUGUAUCCGUAUGUAUGUAUGUAUAUAGUAUAAAAAAAAACGUGGUAUACGGUCUCUGUGUGUGCGUUUAGUGAUUGUGAUGCUCACUGUCUCUAUGACAUGCGGGGCCCGCACCCCCCCUUGAAAAUGAAAUUAAAAAUAAUAAUUAAAAAUACUUUUCUUAUAUAUUAAAUAAAUAAAUAAAUAGAUAUAUUAAUUAAUUAAUUAAUUAAGUAAUUCCUUUAAUUAAUGAGUCUGUUAAUUAAGGUAAUUAAAAUAUUCUAAACAGUAUGACAUGUGGGUCCCAUCCCACUAAUUAAUCUUGAUUAAUAGUAAUUUAGUUAAAUAAAAACUUGUGUCUAUGACGUUCGGGACCCGCUGGUCAGUUGACCAGUCAACUGCUGAUGUCAGCAUGACAUCGCGAUGAUGUCAUAAUAGGAUUUUAUUAAAAUAAUUAAAUCCGUUUUUAAUUCCUAAUUAUUGAAUAAAACUUUAAAAAUUAAUAUUAAAUAAUCCGUAAGUCAGAUCAAAAUAUUUUCAACAUGAAAGUUGAUCAGCAAAACGAGACGAACCUGGAUACACGGUCCAUUCGUCUGUCACGCGUCCCUAACAUAGCAAACAUGGAACGUUUCCAUCAUUUCCAGUAUUACCGGUAGUAGCCCGAGACCCGGAAAAUAUCGUCAGAUAUUCUUCCGACCCGUCUAUGACGGAUGUUGCUGCAUUAGCUCAUGUCUAGCAUGCAUCUUGCCAUGUCAUGCUUUGUGUUGCAUCGGUGCUAUUAUUUAUUGUUUCUUCCCCCUCUUCUUACCGGUAGACCCCGAGACUGACGCUGCUGCCGGGUACAUCUACGACCCUGCCGAUCAGUCCUUUGCCGCAGAGCAGCAAGGCAAGCAAACCCCCCCUUGAUCAUUCCUAUAUCGCCUAUGUCUUUCUUCCUACUUCUUGCAUUAGUAUUUUGCUACUGUUGUAGUUAGCUCCUAUAUCUGAUGCAUAGCCUAUUUUUGAUGAACUGCUACUUUCAGUCCUGUAUCUUUAAAAUGCCUAGUAUAGGUGGAGCAGUCAUCCCCUCUGACCCCGUAGUUCAGUUGCCCCGCUUGUUUUCAAAUCUCGAUCCCUGAUCGACGAGCCAGACCCGACACAUCACAUACACCCCCCUUAGUUGUACGACGCUACAGAGAUACUAUCGAGUACCGAGGGUGACACCUCGUUAAGUACUCCUGAUGAUAUCUCCGUAGUAUAGCUAGUCGGUCGUGGUUAUCGAGGGUGAUUCCUCUUUCACCAUUCCCGACGACGCCUCUGUCGUGCAACCCCUCAAGUGUGGGACCCCCGAGGGUGAUUCCUCUAAGCCCACCUUGACGGGUACAUCGUUCGGAAUCGAACAAGGGUGAUACUUCGGAUUCCCCCGAUGUUACAACCACACAGUUACUCGACCAUGUUACUGGGAUCUUUGGUGAUUAGUUGUAAGACGGGUGGAUUCCCGUGAGACUGUGUUGAUGGCCUAUUUAAAAUGCUAAUGGAUUUGGGUAUUUGAUCUGGGUUGGUCGGAGACCUUUUCGCACUAACCGGCUACGCGGGAAGAAUUAUGGGUACUCGGCGUCGCGGUAUCAGCCGAAGCUUUUCAGAUGCCAGCAAUGUAGCGGCGCGCGCCCGAGUGGUCCCGAGAUGCAUCGCGCUUGUGAUUAAGGGAUGCUAGGACUGACGUCGGCCGCCCACGCCACGUGCAGGAGCGUGAAGGGGAACUGGGCCCGCGAAACCUUUGUGCUUAGGAGUUAGACCGGCGGGCUGGCCUCUCUGAUUAGUCUUAGGUGGGGCUGCGACGUGUCGAUAUUCCGAGGCCGGGCAGGACCCAGAAAAGUAUGUCCGGCCAGAGUGUUAUCGAGCGUGACGGGACAUGUGGUGCACCCCUGCAGGGAUGAAAAUUAACUAUUCGGAUAGCCGUGUCCACGGUUACAGGACGACUUGGAGUUGUGCCUCGAUCUUAUACAACUACAAUUGUUACUUAACUGGAUCAUUAGUUUGCCUCGGGAUUGCUUCCUCGCAGGGAGUCGAGGGAGGAUCUUUAGGCGUGACCUCACUUUAAUAUUGCUGCAACAAUAUGACUAUUAAUGUGUUACCCCCUGUUCUACUCUCGUCUAUUGCUGCAAGACCCUGAAGAUGCUAGUCUUCGAUAGGACUAGACCUUCUCUCUCUAUUCUCGCAUUGCUGCAGUCAUUCCACAUAUAACCCCCCCUCUUUGAUACUCAUGCAUAAUUAGAAUAGUUCUGAUGUAAGACUUGCGAGUACUUUGCAUGAGUACUCACCGCUGCUUUGCUCCCCUCUUGUCCUCUUGAUCCGUUUUGCUCUGACCAGAUGAUGGAGCCCAGGAGAUGGAGGUCCCCGCCACCGACGACUGCUACCCCGACGGUGCCUAUUACUACGUGGAGGCCGCUGAUGAUCAGGAGUAGUUAGGAGGUUCCCAGGCAGGAGGCCUCGCCUCGUUCGUGUUGGGGAACGUCGCAUGGGAAACAAAAAAUUUCCUACGCGCACGAAGACCUAUCAUGGUGAUGUCCAUCUACGAGAGGGGAUGAGUGAUCUACGUACCCUUGUAGACCGUACAUCAGAAGCGUUAGUGAACGCGGUUGAUGUAGUGGAACGUCCUCACGUCCCUCGAUCCGCCCCGCGAACAAUCCCGCGAUCAGUCCCACGAUCUAGUACCGAACGGACGGCACCUCCGCGUUCAGCACACGUACAGCUCGACGAUGAUUUCGGCCUUCUUGAUCCAGCAAGAGAGACGGAGAGGUAGAAGAGUUCUCCGGCAGCGUGACGGCGCUCCGGAGGUUGGUGAUGAUCUUGUCUCAGCAGGGCUCCGCCCGAGCUCCGCAGAAACGCGAUCUAGAGGAAAAACCGUGGAGGUAUGUGGUCGGGAUGCCGUGGAAAAGUCGUCUCAAAUCAGCCCUAAAACCUCCGUAUAUAUAGGUGGGAGGGAGGGGACCUUGCCUUGGGGCUCAAGGAGCCCCAAGGGGGUCGGCCGAGCCAAGGGGGGAAGGCUCCCCCCCAAACCGAGUUGGACUUGGUUUGGUGGGUGGGAGUCCUUCCUUCCCUUCCCACCUCCUUUUUUUUCUUUCUCUUUGAUUUUUCUUUCUUAGGCGCAUAGGGCCCCUUUGGGCUGUCCCACCAGCCCACUAAGGGCUGGUGUGCCACCCUCAUGGCCUAUGGGCUUAUCCGGGGUGGGUUGCCCCCCCGGUGAACUCCCGGAACCCAUUCGUCAUUCUCGGUACAUUCCCGGUAACUCCGAAAACCUUCCGGUAAUCCAAUGAGGUCAUCCUAUAUAUCAAUCUUCGUUUCCGGACCAUUCCGGAAACCCUCGUGACGUCCGUGAUCUCAUCCGGGACUCCGAACAACAUUCGGUAACCAACCAUACAACUCAAAUACGCAUAAAACAACGCCGAACCUUAAGUGUGCAGACCCUGCGGGUUCGAGAACUAUGUAGACAUGACCCGAGAGACUCCUCGGUCAAUAUCCAAUAGCGGGACUUGGAUGCCCAUAUUGGAUCCUACAUAUUCUACGAAGAUCUUAUCGUUUGAACCUCAGUGCCAAGGAUUCAUAUAAUCCCGUAUGUCAUUCCCUUUGUCCUUCGGUAUGUUACUUGCCCGAGAUUCGAUCGUCAGUAUCCGCAUACCUAUUUCAAUCUCGUUUACCGGCAAGUCUCUUUACUUGUUCCGUAAUACAAGAUCCCGCAACUUACACUAAGUUACAUUGCUUGCAAGGCUUGUGUGUGAUGUUGUAUUACCGAGUGGGCCCCGAGAUACCUCUCCGUCACACGGAGUGACAAAUCCCAGUCUUGAUCCAUACUAACUCAACUAACACCUUCGGAGAUACCUGUAGAGGAUCUUUAUAGUCACCCAGUUACGUUGCGACGUUUGAUACACACAAAGUAUUCCUCCGGUGUCAGUGAGUUAUAUGAUAUCAUGGUCAUAGGAACAAAUACUUGACAUGCAGAAAACAGUAGCAAUAAAAUGACACGAUCAACAUGCUACGUCUAUUAGUUUGGGUCUAGUCCAUCACGUGAUUCUCCUAAUGACGUGAUCCAGUCAUCAAGCAACAACACCUUGUUUAUAAUCAGAAGACACUGACUAUCUUUGAUCAACUGGCUAGCCAACUAGAGGCCUGCUAGGGACAGUGUUUUGUCUAUGUAUCCACACAUGUAAAUGAGUCUUCAUUCAAUACAAUUAUAGCAUGGAUAAUAAACGAUUAUCUUGAUACAGGAAUUAUAAUAAUAACUAUAUUUAUUAUUGCCUCUAGGGCAUAAUUCCAACAGUCUCCCACUUGCACUAGAGUCAAUAAUCUAGCCCUCACAUCAUCAUGCGAAUUACAUUGUAAUAAAUCUAACACCCAUACAGUUCUGGUGUUGAUCAUGCUUUGGCCGUGGAAGAGGUUUAGUCAGCGGGUCUGCUACAUUCAGAUCCGUGUGCACCUUGCAUAUAUUUACGUCCUCCCCUUCGACGUAGUCGCGGAUGAGGUUGAAGCGUCGUUUGAUGUGUCUGGACUUCUUGUGAAACCGUGGUUCCUUUGCUAAGGCAAUGGCACCCGUGUUGUCACAGAACAAGGUUAUUGGAUUCAGUGCGCUUGGCACCACUCCAAGAUCCGUCAUGAACUGCUUCAUCCAGACACCCUCCUUAGCCGCCUCUGAGGAAGCCAUGUACUCCGCUUCACAUGUAGAAUCUGCUACGACGCUUUGCUUGGAACUGCACCAGCUUACCGCACCCCCAUUAAGAAUAAAUACGUAUCCGGUUUGUGAUUUAGAGUCAUCCGGAUCUGUGUCAAAGCUUGCAUCGACGUAACCUUUUACGGCGAGCUCUUCAUCACCUCCAUACACGAGAAACAUCUCCUUAGUCCUUUUCAGGUACUUCAGGAUAUUCUUGACCGCUGUCCAGUGAUCCACUCCUGGAUUACUCUGGAACCUACCUGCCAUACUUAUGGCCAGGCUAACAUCCGGUCUAGUGCACAUCAUUGCAUACAUGAUAGAACCUAUGGCUGAAGCAUAGGGGACGGAGCGCAUAUGCUCUCUAUCUUCAUCAGUUGCUGGGCACUGAGUCUUACUCAAUCUCGUACCUUGUAAAACUGGCAAGAACCCUUUCUUGGACUGUUCCAUUUGAACCUCUUCAAAACUUUAUCAAGGUAUGUGCUUUGUGAAAGUCCUAUCAGGCGUUUUGAUCUAUCCCUGUAGAUCUUAAUGCCUAGAAUGUAAGCAGCUUCUCCUAGGUCCUUCAUAGGGAAACUUUUAUUCAAGUAAUCCUUUAUGCUCUCCAAAAACUCUACGUUGUUUCCAAUCAGCAAUAUGUCAUCCACAUAUAAUAUUAGAAACGCCACAGAGCUCCCACUCACUUUCUUGUAAAUACAAGAUUCUCCAACCACUUGUAUAAACCCAAAUGCUUUGAUCACCUCAUCAAAGCGUUGGUCCAACUCCGAGAUGCUUGCACCAGUCCAUAAAUGGAUCGCUGGAGCUUGCACACCUUGUUAGCAUUCUUAGGAUCGACAAAACCUUCGGGUUGUAUCAUAUACAAUUCUUCCUUAAGGAAACCGUUAAGGAACGCCGUUUUGACAUCCAUCUGCCAGAUUUCAUAAUCGAAAAAUGCAGCUAUUGCUAACAUGAUUCUGACGGACUUAAGCAUCGCUACGGUUGAGAAUGUCUCAUCGUAGUCAACUCCUUGAACUUGUGAAAAACCCUUUGCCACAAGUCGAGCUUUAUAAACGGUUACAUUUCUGUCAGCGUCCGUCUUCCUCUUAAAGAUCCAUUUGUUCUGAAUAGCCUUGCGGCCCUCAGGUAGUACUUCCAAAGUCCACACUUUGUUCUCAUACAUGGAUCCUAUCUCGGACUUCAUGGCUUCUAGCCAUUUGUUGGAAUCUGAGCCCACCAUUGCUUCCUCAUAAUUUGCAGGUUCAUUGUUGUCCAGCAACAUGAUUGAUAAGACGGGAUUGCCGUACCACUCUGGAGCAGCACGUGGUCUCGUCGACCUGCGUGAUUCGACAGAAACUUGAACCGGAGUUUCAUGAUCAUCAUCAUUAACUUCCUCCUCAACUUGCGUCGCAACGACAGAGGUUUCCCCUUGUCCUGCGCCACCAUCCAGAGGGAUGAGAGGUUCGACAACCUCGUCAAGUUCUAUCUUCCUCCCACUCAAUUCUCUCUCGAUAAACUCCUUCUCGAGAAAAGCUCCGUUUUUAGCAACAAACACUUUGCCCUCGGAUUUGAGAUAGAAGGUGUACCCAACUGUCUCUUUUGGGUAACCUAUGAAGACACACUUUUUCGCUUUUGGUUCCAGCUUUUCAGGCUGAAGCUUUUUGACAUAAGCAUCACAUCCCCAAACUUUAAGAAACGACAACUUUGGCCUUUUGCCAUACCACAGUUCGUAUGGUGUCGUCUCAACGGAUUUUGAUGGUGCCCUAUUUAAAGUGAAUGCAGCUGUUUCUAAUGCAUAACCCCAAAAUGAUAACGACAAAUCGGUAAGAGACAUCAUAGAUCGCACCAUCUCUAAUAAAGUACGAUUACGACGUUCGGACACACCAUUACGCUGUGGUGUUCCAGGCGGUGUCAACUGUGAAAUAAUUCCACAUUGUCUUAAGUGAGCACCAAACUCGAAACUCAAAUAUUCACCCCCACGAUCAGACCGUAGGAACUUGAUCUUCUUGUUACGAUGAUUUUCCACUUCACUGUGAAAUUGCUUGAACUUUUCAAAUGUUUCAGACUUGUGCUUCAUCAAGUAGACAUAACCAUAUCUACUCAAAUCGUCAGUGAAGGUGAGAAAAUAACGAUAUCCGCCGCGUGCCUCUACGCUCAUCGGACCACACACAUCGGUGUGUAUGAUUUCCAACAAGUCACUUGCACGUUCCAUUGUUCCGGAGAACGGAGUCUUAGUCAUCUUGCCCAUGAGGCAUGGUUCGCACGUGUCAAGUGAAUCAAAGUAGAGUGAAUCCAAAAGUCCAUCAGCAUGGAGUUUCUUCAUGCGCUUUACACCAAUAUGACCUAAGCGGCAGUGCCACAAAAAUAUGGCGCUAUCAUUGUUAACUCUAACCCUUUUGGUCUCAGUGUUAUGUAUGUGUGUAUCGCUAUCAAGAUUCAAUAUGAACAAUCCUCUCACAUUGGGUGCAUGACCAUAAAAGAUGUUACUCAUAGAAAUAGAACAACCAUUAUUCUCUGACUUAAAAGAGUAACCGUCUCGCAAUAAACAAGAUCCAGAUAUAAUGUUCAUGCUCAACGCAGGCACUAAAUAACAAUGUUUUAAGUUCAUCACUAAUCCUGAUGGUAACUGAAGUGACACUGUGCCGACGGCGAUUGCAUCAACCUUGGAACCAUUUCCUACGCGCAUCGUCACUUCAUCUUUCGCCAGCCUUCGUCUAUUCCGUGGUUCCUGUUUCGAGUUGCAAAUAUGAGAAACAGAACCGGUAUCGAAUACCCAGGCACUACUACGAGAGCCGGUUAAGUACACAUCAAUAACAUGUAUAUCAAAUAUACCUGAUUUUUCUUUGGCCGCCUUCUUAUCUGCCAGAUAUUUGGGGCAAUUGCGCUUCCAGUGACCCAUACCCUUGCAAUAGUAACACUCCGUUUCAGGCUUAGGUCCAGCUUUGGGCUUCUUCGUCGGAUUGGCAACAGGCUUGCCGCUCUUCUUUGAAUUAACCUUCUUGCCUUUGCCGUUUCUCUUGAAACUAGUGGUCUUAUUCACCAUCAACACUUGAUGCUCUUUACGGAGUUCUGACUCUGCGACUUUCAGCAUCGCAAACAACUCACCGGGUGACUUGUUCAUCCCUUGCAUGUUGUAGUUCAACACAAAGCCUUUAUAGCUUGGCGACAGUGAUUGAAGGAUUCUGUCAGUGAUAGCUUCUUGCGGGAGUUCAAUCCCCAGCUCAGCUAGACGGUUUGAGUACCCAGACAUUUUGAGCACAUGUUCACUGACAGACGAGUUCUCCUCCAUCUUGCAAGCAUAGAAUUAUCGGAGGUCUCAUACCUCUCGAUCCGGGCGUUCUUCUGAAAGAUAAACUUCAACUCCUGGAACAUCUCAAAUGCUCCAUGACGCUCAAAGCGACGUUGAAGUCCCGGUUCUAAGCCAUACAAGACUGCACAUUGAACUACUGAGUAGUCCUCCUUACGUGCUAACCAAGUGUUCUUAACAUCCUGAUCAGCCGUAGCGGGUGGUUGAUCUCCUAGCGCAGCAUUAAGGACAUAAUCCUUCUUCCCAGCUUGUAAGAUUAGCUUAAGAUUACGAGCCCAGUCUACAAAGUUGCUUCCAUCAUCUUUCAACUUAGCUUUCUCUAGGAACGUAUUAAAAUUCAGGGUGACUGUCGCGUGAGCCAUGAUCUACAACACAAAUAUAUUCAAAGUGGACUUAGACUAUGUUCAAGAUAAUUAGAGUUUAACUUAAUCAAAUUAUUUGCUAAACUCCCACUCAAAAAGUACAUCUCUCUUAGUCAUUUGAGUGGUUCAUGAUCCACUUACACUAGCUCAAGUCCGAUCAUCACGUGAGUUGAGUAUAGUUUCAGUGGUAAGCAUCCCUAUGCUAAUCAUAUCAUCUAUAUGAUUCAUGAUCGACCUUUCGGUCUCAUGUGUUCCGAGGCCAUGUCUGCACAUGCUAGGCUCGUCAAGCUUAACCCGAGUGUUCCGCGUGCACAACUGUUUUGCACCCGUUGUAUGUGAACGUUGAGUCUAUCACACCCGAUCAUCACGUGGUGUCUGGAAACGACGAACUGUCGCAACGGUGCACAGUCGGGGAGAACACAAUUUCGUCUUGAAAUUUUAGUGAGAGAUCACCUCAUAAUGCUACCGUCGUUCUAAGCAAAAUAAGGUGCAUAAAAGGAUUAACAUCACAUGCAAUUCAUAAGUGACAUGAUAUGGCCAUCAUCACGUGCUUCUUGAUCUCCAUCACCAAAGCACCGGCACGAUCUUCUUGUCACCGGCGCCACACCAUGAUCUCCAUCAACGUGUUGCCAUCGGGGUUGUCGUGCUACUCAUGCUAUUACUACUAAAGCUACAUCCUAGCAAAAUAGUAAACGCAUCUGCAAGCACAAACGUUAGUAUAAAGACAACCCUAUGGCUCCUGCCGGUUGCCGUACCAUCGACGUGCAAGUCGAUAUUAUCUGUUACAACAUGAUCAUCUCAUACAUCCAAUAUAUCACAUCACAUCGUUGGCCAUAUCACAUCACAAGCAUACCCUGCAAAAACAAGUUAGACGUCCUCUAAUUUUGUUGUUGCAUGUUUUACGUGGUGACCAUGGGUAUCUAGUAGGAUCGCAUCUUACUUACGCAAACACCACAACGGAGAUAUAUGAGUUGCUAUUUAACCUCAUCCAAGGACCUCCUCGGUCAAAUCCGAUUCAACUAAAGUUGGAGAAACCGACACUUGCCAGUCAUCUUUGAGCAACGGGGUUACUCGUAGCGAUGAAACCAGUCUCUCGUAAGCGUACGAGUAAUGUCGGUCCAAGCCGCUUCAAUCCAACAAUACCACGGAAUCAAGAAAAGACUAAGGAGGGCAGCAAAACGCACAUCACCGCCCACAAAAACUUUUGUGUUCUACUCGAGAAGACAUCUACGCAUGAACCUAGCUCAUGAUGCCACUGUUGGGGAACGUCGCAUGGGAAACAAAAUUUUUCCUACGCGCACGAAGACCUAUCAUGGUGAUGUCCAUCUACGAGAGGGGAUGAGUGAUCUACGUACCCUUGUAGACCGUACAGCAGAAGCGUUAGUGAACGCGGUUGAUGUAGUGGAACAUCCUCACGUACCUCGAUCCGCCCCGCGAACAAUCCCACGAUCUAGUACCAAACGGACGGCACCUCCGCGUUCAGCACACGUACAGCUCGACGAUGAUCUCGGCCUUCUUGAUCCAGCAAGAGAGACGGAGAGGUAGAAGAGUUCUCCGGCAGCGUGACGGCGCUCCGGAGGUUGGUGAUGAUCUUGUCUCAGCAGGGCUCCGCCCAAGCUCCGCACAAACGCGAUCUAGAGGAAAAACCGUGGAGGUAUGUGGUCGGGCUGCCGUGGAAAAGUCGUCUCAAAUCAGCCCAAAAACCUCCGUAUAUAUAGGUGGGAGGGAGGGGACCUUGCCUUGGGGAUCAAGGAGCCCCAAGGGGGUCGGCCGAGCCAAGGGGGGAAGGCUCCCCCCCCCAAACCGAGUUGGACUUGGUUUGGUGGGUGGGAGUCCUUCCUUCCCUUCCCACCUCCUUUUUUUUUCUUUCUCUUUGAUUUUUCUUUCUUAGGCGCAUAGGGCCCCUUUGGGCUGUCCCACCAGCCCACUAAGGGCUGGUGUGCCACCCUCAUGGCCUAUGGGCUUCUCCGGGGUGGGUUGCUCCCCCGGUGAACUCCCGGAACCCAUUCGUCAUUCCCGGUACAUUCCCGGUAACUCCGAAAACCUUCCGGUAAUCAAAUGAGGUCAUCCUAUAUAUCAAUCUUCGUUUCCGGACCAUUCCGGAAAACCUCGUGACGUCCGUGAUCUCAUCGGGGACUCCGAACAACAUUAUGUAACCAACCAUACAACUCAAAUACACAUAAAACAACGCCGAACCUUAAGUGUGCAGACCCUGCGGGUUCGAGAACUAUGUAGACAUGACCCGAGAGACUUCUCGGUCAAUAUCCAAUAGCGGGACCUGGAUGCCCAUAUUGGAUCCUACAUAUUCUACGAAGAUCUUAUCGUUUGAACCUCAGUGCCAAGGAUUCAUAUAAUCCCGUAUGUCAUUCCCUUUGUCCUUCAGUAUGUUACUUGCCCGAGAUUCGAUCGUCAGUAUCCGCAUACCUAUUUCAAUCUCGUUUACCGGCAAGUCUCUUUACUCAUUCCGUAAUACAAGAUCCCGCAACUUACACUAAGUUACAUUGCUUUCAAGGCUUGUGUGUGAUGUUGUAUUACCGAGUGGGCCCCGAGAUACCUCUCCGUCACACGGAGUGACAAAUCCCAGUCUUGAUCCAUACUAACUCAACUAACACCUUCGGAGAUACCUGUAGAGCAUCUUUAUAGUCACCCAGUUACGUUGCGACGUUUGAUACACACAAAGUAUUCCUCCGGUGUCAGUGAGUUAUAUGAUCUCAUGGUCAUAGGAACAAAUACUUGACACGCAGAAAACAGUAGCAACAAAAUGACACGAUCAACAUGCUACGUCUAUUAGUUUGGGUCUAGUCCAUCACGUGAUUCUCCUAAUGACGUGAUCCAGUUAUCAAGCAACAACACCUUGUUCAUAAUCAGAAGACACUGACUAUCUUUGAUCAACUGGCUAGCCAACUAGAGGCUUGCUAGGGACAGUGUUUUGUCUAUGUAUCCACACAUGUAAAUGAGUCUUCAUUCAAUACAAUUAUAGCAUGGAUAAUAAACGAUUAUCUUGAUACAGGAAUUAUAAUAAUAACUAUAUUUAUUAUUGCCUCUAGGGCAUAAUUCCAACAGUUCGAUCGUUGUAUCUUUUGUGCUAGCCUUCUCUAAGGCACCGCAUGUUUUAUGUCUGUACUCAGAUAUUUGUCGCUUCCGCUGACUCGUGUGUUUAUCGAGCUUUCGUAUUCUAGAUCUCGAGGCCCCUGGCUUGUAAUAUAAAGCUGAUGUUAUUUUUAUUUGUGUCUUGAGUUGUGUUGUGAUAUCUUCCCGUGAGUCCUUGGGUUUGACCGUACGCAUUUGCGUGUUUAGUUAGCGUACGAUUAAAUCGAGGGCGUCACAGGUGUGCCGCUUGUAUACUUACGGUUGGGCCGCAAGUCUCGAACGACUCGGGCCAGUACCAGCCCGCCGCUUGGAGAGGGACAGAUCCGGCGCACGCGCGCCGCUGCAGCUUGCCGGGCCCACCGUGUGGCAGGCGCAGAAUCCCGCAACUGCCCGUCCGUCCGGACCUGACGCAGCAGGUGUGCUGUGGGCGCGGGUGCCAAGGCUGAUUCGAUGCACGGCGGCGGAUCCGAGGAGGAUUUUCCCCCAGGCUGCGACACAUGAAAUAACGACCUAGUGCACCGUUUUGUUCUCCGUUUGCUUUGCUGUUUUCUUCAUUGUUUCGCCUGUUGUGUUCUGCAUCAUCACAAGGCUCAGGAAGGCUGUCAGGGUUAGUCAACAUAUGAUCAUCAUAAUUAUUAAUGCCCCUUUGAUCAUAGCCUGAUAGAUAGGGUGGUAGGAGUAAAAUUUCUUUGCCUAGGAGAGCACCGACAUUAGGAUGGAGAUCUGCAAAGGGGAAUUUUGCCUCAUAAAAAACAACAUCUCGAGAGAUGUACACAUGACCAGUGGAGAUGUCAAGACACUUGACGCCUUUGUGUUGAGCACUAUACCCAAGAAAAGCACAUUGCUUGGAGCGAAACAUAAGCUUGCAAUUGUUAUAAUGACGGAGAUUUGGCCAACAAGCACAACUAAACACACGGAGAGAUGUGUAAUCAGGUUUGACAUGGAGGAGACGUUCCAUGGGUGUUUCAUUGUGGAUGGCACGGCUAGGUAGCACGUUGAUGAUGUGAACGGCUGUGAUGAAUGCCUCAUCCCAAAAUUUGAGGGGCAUAGAGGCACCUGCUAAGAGAGCCAUACCAACUUCAACUAUAUGCCUAUGCUUACGUUUGGCUGACCCGUUUUGUUGGUGAGCAUGUGGACAUGACACAUGGUGGGAUAUGUCGAGACUUUGGAAGAAAGAAUUGAGUUUCUCAUAUUCCCCUCCCCAAUCGGAUUGGACAACAAUUAUUUUACUGUCAAACUUCCGUUCAACAAGUGCUUGAAAGUUUUGGAAAACUUAAAACACAUCAGAUCUUUUCUUAAGGAGAUAGAUCCAUGAGAAUUUGGUGUAGUCAUCGAUAAAGCUCACAUAAUACGUGUGUCUACCAACAGAGGAGGGAGCAGGACCCCACACAUCGGAAAAAAUUAAUUGCAAAGGCUUGGUGGAGACACUAGUAGAUAUGGGAUAUGGUAAUUGAUGACUCUUAGCACACUGACAUGAAUCACAAAUAGUUUCAACAUUGCGCUCACCAACAAACAUGAGCUUAUUUUUCCUAAGUAAUUUUUCAACUAAAGAGAAAGAGGCAUGCCCUAAACGAUCGUGCCAUCGGGUGGACGGAAGCUUGAUAGCGCCACAAACUUGUUUAUUGUAUCUUCUAAACUCCAGAAUCAAUGGGUAGAGCCCUCGAACGCAUCUACCUCAACAGAGAUUUUCUUCGUUGCCUGAUCCUUGAUAAAAAAGAAAUAAGGAUGAAAUUCAAGAAACACGAUGGCAAUUCUAUGAACAGAAAGAAGAUUUUUGUGAGCACGAGGAACACGCAAGAUUCUUUUAAGAUGAAUUUUUCGACUAGGGGUAUUGAAAAUUGAAUGACCAAUGUGACGUAUGCCCAUACCUUCUCCACUUGCAGUGUGGAUUUCGCCUUUUCCACGGUAUUUCUCCUUCAUGGUGACUUUCUCAAGCUCGUUGGUGAUGUGGUUGGUGGCUCCGCUGUCAACGUACCAAUUUGUAUCGACGCCAUAGGACCCAUCUGCUGCCGCGGCCACCCUUUCUUCAUCUUGUGAGGAGUUUUCGUCCUCGACAUAGCUGUACCAACAGUCCUUUGCCAUAUGACCAAGCUUACCAUAGAUUUGGCAGCGAGGCAUGUCCGGUCUGGAUCUGUUGGAGCCACCGCCACGACGUCCUUUGGAGUUGCCGCGAGGGGAGCCACCACCGUGACGUCCCCUGCCAUGGGAGGAGCCACGAGAGCCACCGCCACGACCCUUGGAAGCUGAGUUGGCUGACGACUUGAAGCCGCCGCUGGAGCCUUGGUAUUGUGCCAUGUGCUGGUCAAAGUUACUAACCAUGGAAAAGAGUUCGUCAAGGGUUACCAGAGUGACGCGAGCGUCCAAGGCGGAGACCAGGGCCUGAUAAUCUUGAUCAAGCCCGUGGAUGAUGUAGGACAUGAGCUCGUCAUCCUGGAUGGCUUUGCCGGCUGCUGCGAGUUCAUCAGCAAAACCACGCAUGGCGGCGAAGUAGGAGGCCACCAGUUGGUUUCCCUUCUGCGCGUUGAUCAGCGCAGUUCGGAUGUUGUUGACGUGGCUGAGUGACUGGGACGAGUACAUGCUCGCCAGUGCCACCCAGAGAUCUCGCGCCGUGGUGAUUGUGGUCACCAUGACGAGCACCUCCUUGGAGAGGUUUUGGAGCAGGUAGCCAAGAACUUGCUGGUCCUCCCUCAUCCAGAUUGGAUGUAGGGGAUUCGACUCAGAGGACUCCUUCCCGGCGGUGUCCUUGGUGCUUAGGACUUUUGCCGGUUCGGGUGUUGUGCCGUUGACGUAGUGGUAGACGCCGGCGCCCCGCAGCUGUGGUGUGAUCUAAGUUCGUCACAGUGCGGGAGAGUUUCUCCGGGACCCCGCCGCUGAGCAACAACUGAUGGGAGGUGAAGGAAGACAUGACGGCUGCGCACUUUGGUGGAGGUGGGCUAGCUAGGUUUAAUGGAGGAAGAUUGCUCUGAUACCAUGUGCGAGAUGGCGGAAAACGUCUUAGCCAUCUUGGCCGACGCGUUGCAUGUUAUAUAGAGGGUUGCGAGCCCAAACACGCGUACAAGUUUAUUGAAGAGAUAUUCUAGAGAUAUAACUUGAAGGAGAAUGAAACAAGAGAUAUUAGAAGAUAAAGAUUACAUGAUUAUCUAUCUUGUCUAACUACUCCUUAUUACGGUUGAGAAUAUCCCCUAACGUGUUGGCUCAAUAUCACGUUUAACAGCAUCAAUUACACAACCAUUCUGAAUGCUAUUGUACCAAAAUAUGGUAAAUAUUGUUUAUUCUUGUAAGCCCAAGUACCCUGAAGACAGCACGUUACAAGCUUAAAAACAACACACCCCAAAACGUCCACAUAAUACAUAUUAUUCCAGGCUCAUAUGCUUACAAACUUUUUGUUACAAGCUUAGCUAACCCGAUUAUUUAGCUUCAACUGCUAAUCACGUACUUGAUGUUUCUUGGUAUUACUGGUCCCGGAGCUUCCGUGCAAUUGCGGCCAAACCAAAGAUAAGUAUAAAGGGCCAGAGUGCACGUUGCAUUUGGCUGAAGAUCAUGCCUACUAACUCUGUUAAUGCUGUAAUUGGUUUCAACCUGAUGCACAACGGCCGUGCAAGAAUAGCCCAUUUUACUAAGUAUUCACAAUGUCUACACAACACCACAAGAGGACUAAACACACAUAUUGCAAUGGCAGUAGCGUGAGAAACCGGAGCUAGCAUUAUAUACACACCCAAUGCAAAAGCAGUAGAUAAGCAUGUGAGUGAACCUCCCAUAAAGAACUCAGAUGUGGCCAAGUUAAUUUGGCGGCUCCUCAAGUUGACCAUGGAAAUUCCAGAGAACAUGAGACCAGUGGUAGCUAUUGAGGAACAAAUGAAAGCUAGUGCGGUAGCUAUCAUGAAUGCGUCAAAGGUAUACCUCCCAGAAAGUGUUGGUGUCCCUCCAUUUGCAUGAUCAUCAGCUUUGUAUCCUCCAGGAACAGCAAACGUCGCUCCAAACGCCACAGUUGCUAUUAGAACCGAGCCAAUGCCUAGCAAUUGGCUUGCAUCUUUCACCCUCUCUGCUUCUUUGAUAUUGUCCUCUGGUUUCAUUGGUUGAGAAUACUUUUCAUAAAUCUGAUCCCAGCGGAGACCGCUGUGUUUGGCAUCAACCCAUAUGAGUGCCACAUAUAUCUUUUUCUCACUGUUCUGAAAAACGAAAGGAAAAAUGAGCACCAUAUGGAGAUACGAGCCAGGAAUUAUUUUGUUUCUAUUGAAGGAGUCGAGGCUUGAAAAGAAAUAAGAUGGUGCUAUAUUACCUGGGAAUAAUGCAUCCCGCGAGGAAUCAAGCUUCUGGAUAGAUCGAGGGGAGUUUGUCCAUUGUUAUUUAUUAAACUCAAAUGAACCUCCUUAUUCCCAUAUAAAGAAGCAAAAAUUCGUAGCCAACCAACCUUGACAGCUAAAUGCAUUGCGGUGUUCCCAUCGUUGUCUUUCAUAUUCAAUAUCCAAGCUAAAGAUGGAGUUCUGCAAGCGAAGGAGACUAUUUGCAAUCUCUUAUACUGAACGGCAAUGUGAAGGAAUGUCCUUCCUUGAGCAUCACGCAAUCCAGCACUGCUAGGACAUUUCUCAAGAAUAAUGCCUAUGGCACUUUUGGCACCUAGAGAGGCAGCUAUAUGUAUGGGAAACGAUCCUUUGUUGUCUGCCUGAUACACCGGUGCCGGGUUAGCAUUGAAUACUUGCAUGAAUAUAUCUGAAUGCCAUAAGCCAGGAAUAAUAUAAUCGUCGUCUUCCAGUGGACGAUAUAACCGACGAUGUAGUGAUGAAGCGAAGUGAAGAGGUGUGCUACCAUCUUUGUCCACUUGUGUGGUAAGACUGUUAUUCCAUUUCAGCACAUCCUUGGUCAUCUCUGAAAAUGUAUUUUUUUUGUUAGUCUAAGAUAAGUGAAACAUAAACUUUUCAAUUUCUCGAUUGACCGUCUUCUCAAAUUCGAACAAGCAUUCCAUAGUGUUGGAUUCUUACAAAAAGUACACAACAUCAAGACUGGCCGGGGAUUAUGGAUGAGAGUACAAACAUUUACUUAUUGAUAUUAAUUAACGAACCAAACAUAGGUAUAAAUAACUGUGGAAAAGUAGGGGCAUAUGAACAUUUUUCAUAGCGGGACGUAUUAACGAGGAUGCCUAACAAUUUAUCUGCAAAGAACGGAAACUCUUGAAUCAUGAAUCAUGUUGUAUGCUUAUUCAUAUGGAUAGUUCAAAUGCCAGUUAAGUUUCCAAGCCAAGCCUGUAACACCGUGCUAAAUGCUUAGAUAAAGGGUAUGCUAGAUCUCAAUUGAUUGAUUUUGCAAAAAAAGAUCUCAAUUGAUUGAGAAAUAUAUUUUUUUGCGAGAAAACUUCCGAUAUAUUCAUCUAUGAUCAUAGCAGUAACAUUAAAAAUAAUAAAAAUUACAUUCAGAUCCAUAGACCACCUAGCGACGACUACAAGCACUAAAGCGAGCCGAAGGCCUCCCGUCGUCAUCGCCCCUCCAUCACCGGAGUCGGGCACAACUUGUUGUAGUAGACAGUCGGGAAGUCGUCAUGCUAAGGGCCUGUAGGACCAGUGCAACGGAACAACAACCAUUGUCGACAAACAGUAACGUAGAUCGAAAGGACCCAAUCCAAGGACACACGAACGCAGAUGAACAACGAUGAGAUUCGAACAAAUCCAUCAAAGAUAGAUCCGCCGGAAACACAUCUCCACACGCACACCAACGAUGCUAGACACAUUGCUGGAACGGGGCUAGACGGAAAACCUCUAUUCCAUCUUUAGGAAGCCGUCGUCGUCUUGUCUUCCUGAGUAGGACAUAAACCGUAACAAAACAGAAAGAACCGACUAAAAAUGGAGGCCUCCCGCCGUCCCUUGCCAAGAUCCACCGCGCCCCCAUGGCCAUAAGACCACCGGAGAUGAGGUGGACCCGCGGUGGCGUCAGCGAGAGGCAGGAACCCCAGGUUUUUUGGAGGAGAGACGGCUGGUACGAGUCUAUCUCGUAGUUUUUUGGAAUAAUAUAUUUCUUAUCUCUCUCGUUCUCAAUUGAGAAAUAAUUAGCUGGCAUUACCAUAUGAAAAAUGUCUUUCCUUUUCCUUUAUUGAAAUCUCGAAAACGAAAAAUCUUCAGGAAUCACCGUGUCUAGUUUAGAAGUUGAUUGAGAAAUAGGUAUUUCUCUAUGACUGAGAAAUGGCACAAGCAUGCACGAGAACUCUUCUAAGAUGAACAGACCAAGUGUAUGCCGUUCAUCGUUGCAUCGAGGUAACGACAAUGGACUCCCUCGAUGAACUACCAGUCCAUCCCUCUAGCCAUGCCCCACCCCGGACAUCUUUUCGGGUACGCCAUGAAUUUUUAUCUGUCACUCCCACCGUCAUCGCCAUGUUGCUUCCAUCAAACUGCAUGGUCUAUAAAUCGACUGAAUGACAGCCCCACACGUUUAAAUAAAAGAGUGGGAUGUGUCAUUGGUCGAUAAAUCAAAUUGGCUACACACUUUAGAGCAUCUCCAACAGCCACGCUAUACUAGCGCCGCGCGGCAAAAAAAACUAAUAUAGCGCGCGCAACGCAGCGGACAGCUCCAGCGGGCGCGCUAAAACGAUUUGGGCGCGCUGGUCCUAGCCCCAUCCCGCGCUUCGUAUUUCGGGCGCUCACUUCGGCGCGCGGCAGACUCGAGCGCGCGCGCGAACUCUCCCUUUCUUCCUCCUUUCUCCCCCGCGCGCCUGCGCCAGCGCCCCGGCCACNGCGCAGCCUCUUCUUGCCGCCGCGGACGACCACGCCGGCGGGUAGCGUCGCGCCGGCGCCGUCCCGUGCCGCCGCCGCACCGUUGGAGCGGAAGAAAGGUAAAACAUCCGCGAAGAAGAAGACGACGGACGGCCGUUGAAAAUGCCGUUGAAGAUCUUGCCAAGACCGUCGGAGCUACACGUGAUGCGGUGCGUGAUGAGGUUAGGGAGGAAGAUUCAUCUUCGAAGGCGGAAGAAUCGUCUUCGGAAGAAGAGGAAGACGACGAGGAAGAUGAUUGAUGUGUUCAACUUUGUUGGAUGAACUUGUAUUUUGAACUUGGUUGGAUGAACUUGUGGGGAUGACCAUCUACUUGUUUGUGUUAAAUUUCGCAUGUUAUUGCAUUUUGAUAAAUGUUUCACAUUGCAUUUUGGGCGCUGCUGCAGCGGCGCGCGCUGCAUUUUUGCGCGUUGCUGGAGUGGAGCGCGCGCGCUGCAAACCAGCGCUACUGCUGGAGCCAGCGCUGCGCGACGCGCAAAACCAGUCGCCCAACGCGCUGCAAACUUGUUUUUUAGGCGCGGCGCGAAGCGCGUCUGUUGGAGAUGCUCUUAGGCCAAGUACUCGGGAAAUGGUCAAUUUAGGCUCUAAACCCGCUUAUUCCAUCAAAUAAGUCCAAAGAGGAUUUGGGAGAGAGAAAACGGCCACAUGGUUGCCAUAUAGGUGGACAUGUUGGACCGCUCGUCAUAAAGGAAAAAAAAGCACGCUAUAUAAAAUAACGUGGCACCUGAAAAUAUGCUAUUAGCAUGCUAUAACAUGUUAUUAGCGAGACAUUAUACACUAAUCAACAUAGCGAGAAUUCUAGCGCGGUAUUUUUUUCAAUGCCAUAAUAGGGUAAAUAUAUACAGGGUGUUUUUGCAAAUUGACCGUUAUCUAAUCAAAUGUAUUCUCAGAAAUAAAUCAGAUGUUCAGAUCGGGAGGUUAUCUAAAAAUACCUCAUAAGUCCGGUGCAAACAAAUGCAAGCCCACAGCAAAGCACAAAACGUACAAAAACAGUAUAGAUUGCAAAGGAAAUGGAAAGUGUAAACUUGAAAGACAUGAUGAUACAUCUGAUUAGUACCUGCGCCUCGAAGAAUCGCAGCAUGUAGUGCAUUUUGCCGGCCGGGUCCAUGAUACGAGAGAUUCCCCUUGGUUAUAUCAUGCAAUGCCCGUGCAAUGGAGUCCCUUUCCAGUAAAAUUGCUAGGUACAACGGUGAUGCGUCUUCUGCAGGAUAAUGAGCCAACUCAGGAUCAGCCUCCAGUAGAAGCUCCACGAUAUAUUCAUUUCCAGUGCGGACAGCAUCGUGCAGCGCCGUCUCCUUACGACCGUUGUUCUCCUUUCUCAAGAGUUUGCGCACACCGUUGCGACUUGCAGCUGCAGCUAGUUUGAUGAGGUAGGAGACCAUUUUGUGGUUGCCAGCUCUGGCAGCACAAUGCAAGGGAGUGUCACCCUUGGCAUUAACUGCAAAGAGGAGGUGUUGGUCCCUCUCGUUAAUGAUGCUAGCACACUUGAGGAAUUCCGGGCUGUCCCCAUGGCCGGCAACUGCAUGCAGCGCGGUGUCCCCCUGAGCGGUGACACCCUUGAGAAGCAGGGCUGCUGCAGGCAAGCAAUUAGGCUGAGUUACGCCAUCUUCUACAUCGCCGGAAGCUUGUGGCACCGUCAGUCUUGUUCUGGUGCUGCUGGCAGGGGUUAGCAAGUCAAGAAAUUCUGGAGCAGGCAUUAUCAUUAGUGGCUUUUGUGCGUCUUCCCUGCUGAAAAGAUAAGACAGUGCACCCGAGGAGCCGAAGCACACCGACGCCAACAGCAGCGGAUUCAUGGGAUAGUCGCCGUUGCUGCCGGGGGAGGACGACAUGAGCUCCAACUGCUGGCCAUCCCAAAGGCCUACCGCCAGAGCAUUUGGCGAGCAGUUAGCUACAACGUCGGUGCUCGCCGACAUCGCCAGCAUCGGGUCAGCCUUCUCCAUCGCACUCUCUGCUUACAAAUUAACUGGCUAGGUGCUAAGGUGUGGGUGGAGCUAGUUCCUAGUUGUGCGCUCAACUCCUGCCCAGGGUACACCACCUUAAGUAUACAACGGAAGCCAAAAAGCAUAUGAACGUUGAGUGCAACUGUUGAAAGAGUUGCAUGGAAUAUUUACAACCGGUUUGGAUGGCGAUUCAAUAAUAUACUAGAUGUUUAUUCAUCUUCUUUUGUUUUCGUCGGUUGUGAUAAAUUUAUUUAUUUUUACCUUAUUUUGCCUGUUUUUAAGAACGACAUUUGUAUCACAGAUCUUUUAUGCGACAUUUUUCCUUAAUAGUAUGAUUGCAUGUAUCAUUCAGAUGCAGAUGCCAAGGAUAAUCCCCUUUUCAAAUUACUCCAUCCGUAAACUAACAUAAAAAUAUUUAAAAUACUACUUUAGUAAUCUAAACACUCGUUUACAGAGGGAGUAGAACAGAAAGAAAUGCAGCAAUCCAACUCCCUUGUAGUUGAAGACGUAUGUAGUAGCUAAUGGUAUGCUGAAGACCAAGUCUACUUCUUAACAAUUGUUACUACCACAAGUCUCCGCCUCUGUACGUACGUCUUAAAUCGGAGCACAUGGCUUGCCUACUGGGAAUGCUGGCUCUCGUGUUUUUGUACGCGGCGAUCGAUGAAGUAGACAUAAAUCUACCUUCCCAGUGACAUGGAAACGUGGAAGAGCACGUGAGUGAUGCUACCCUCCAAAUUGUCAACGAUCUGGCCAGUGCGCUUUCCGUUUUACGUUGGAGACUGGAAUGAGAUCAAGGAUUCAAGUGCGAUCGUGGGAUCCAGAAAUUUGAGCCAUGAGAUGGUAAUCGUAUGGUCCGGAUGUGUAGAGCGGGUUUGGAUGUCAUACUAUUUUUAGAAUAAACUAGCAAAAAAACCGUGUCGACACUGGCCUCAGAGCAUGGUUAAUAGUACAACCAACUGUUGGCUAUAGGAUGUUGACACGUUAUCUAUAGCCAAUCUUAUAGCCCGCAAGUACAAUACGUAGAUGUAAAUGAGUACUACUUUAUUGAUACAAGACCCAUCAUCCUCUCUCACAAAGUGUCUAGGAGCACGUGUUACAGCCGGAUGUUAGUUUGUAGCCCGCUUUCCUUCUCUCUCUUCCAACUCAUUACAAAUAUACUAUUUUAAGUCUUACAGCCCGCCUACGUCAUCCUAUUGUACUUGCUCUCAGUACUCACACAAUGAUAAUGUGUUUAAAUGUGUUCAGUCCUAAUGUCUCUCUUUCUCUCUUUGAGCAAAACAUUCAAUAUGUUCUGUAUGCUUAGUUACAAAGGGAGUAUACACUAACUCGAUGUAUAUUUCAUGAACAAAUCAAGAAAUAAAAGCAUGAAAGAAUAUCGAGUACAUGUAUUCCAAAUCUUGUGAACUUAUAUUAUUAAUGAACUGAGAAUCACAAAUGAAUGCAAACACACUUAAAUAGCCAAAGAUGUUUAUUUAGGCUACACAUCCAGAUGCACACUAUCAUACGUGAGUGGAAGAAAUCAAGAUGAACUAAUCUAGAGACCAUCGGAGCAAUCUUUUUUGUUCGCAGUCUAGUUUACUGGUAUACGAUGCAUCCUAUCAUAGAUAAUUGGCCUCUUCCACAAAUAGUCAAUUUCACCUUCUGCCGAUUCCUAUCUUUAUCUCUUGAUUUGAAUCAGUAUAGAAGAGAAAAGGUAAACAAAAUAAUAAUAAUAAAAAAAAUCCCGUCUCUUGAUGUGAACCAGCCUAAUAUAUAGAAGAGAAAAGGUAAACAAAACAAUAAAAAAAUUAACAAAAAUUGUUGAAGAGAGGAUUCAAACCCUUGUGUCCUACGUAAGAGGGGCACACUCUAGCCAACAGGCUAUCACAACGUAUUUGUUCUUUCCCAGUUCACCCAUUUAUAAACCAGAAUCUUACAGAGCGACUUGUGAUGAAAAAACGAUUCGUUGUGACUAAAGUCUGGACUGCAGGUUAUUUUGCGUAAAAUGUCGGGGGGUUUGCGUAAAAUGCAAAAAACGGUUCAGAGUCACUUAAAGGCGGACUAUGGGUUGAUUUUAGGAAACUACAUGAUGUUUUUUUUGCAAAAUGACCACGACGGAUGACAGAAGCAAUCGAUGCUUUAUUAUUAGGGAGAGAAAGGGGUUCCCCCCACUCCAUUUCAUUGAUAAAAACGGAGCAAAGAGCUGUCCAAAGUAUCAGCCUACAACAUCCAAAACUCCAUGCCAGGAAAGGUGAAAGUACUUGAAUACUAUUACAGUUCAAAACAUGCCAACACCCUGGCAAAACAUGAAAGGAAACGAAGAAGAAUAUCCUCUAGAACACAUCGAAGGUCAUCGACCAGAAUGCGUCCUAAGGAACAACCUCCCCGUUCCAGCAACAUCUUUGCUUUGUCUUUCAUAUCCAUGCAAUCUGCAGUAGUUCUCCUCUUCGAUGGUCCAGGAGCCGGAGACAACGACGUAACAAAACAGAUUGAUCUCCUUUGCACAUAAUCUUCCAUUGGUGAAUAUAAGAGUUGAUCAUUUCCAGGAUAGCCCGAGUACUUGUCCACAUCACGCCCUGAAAACACAUAUUGUUACGCAUAGUCGAGAUGCUACAUAUUGUAGCGACACAAGCAAUAUUUUCCACAGAUUUCUUAUUUUAUUACUCCAAAGAGCAGUACAUUCAUUCAUAUUGGUUGGUUGGGUAAAGCUAAAUUUUCAGCAAUAUCAUGCCAUAUGUUUUUAUCAACAGUGCAUUCAAAAAGAAGAUGGUUGACAGUUUCUUUCUCAUUGAAAAAUAAACAAGUUUCAUCAUCCAAAUGUUGUCUCUUAACUAAGCUGUUUCUAGUAAGAAUUUUAUUAUGAUAAGCCAGGCAAAUAAAACCUAAAUAUCUACUGGGAACAUUAAUUUUCCAAAAUUUCUUCCAAACAGGGGUAGAAACCCCUCCCCAGUUAAUGAUAUUAUAGAAGGAUUUAACAGAGUAAACACCAUUAUGUUCCAUCAUUCAUAUAUGUUUAUCAUUCUCCUUAUUAGGAGCAAAUUUAGAGAUUACCAACAAAAGUUUACGCCAAGUUCCCAUAAAUCUUUCAUCCACACAUGUAUCAAAAGUCAAUCACAGUACCUCACCAUCCCACACGUGGGCAACUGUACUAUUCUCUUGUUGGCAAAUCUUAAAUAUUUCCCAAAACUGGGUUUUUAGAGUAGCCUCUCCUGCCCAUAUAUCAUUCCAAAAACUGAUGGUAGUCCCAUUGUCUAAGACCUAUCUAUCAAAAGGUGACCCCUUUCCAAAAAGGAGAACAUAAUCCUUCCCUAGACCAAAGGACAUUAGGCCCUAUGGUAUUGUAUUUUUAGUUAAUCAAAGUUAUCCAAGGCUUCUCUGGUCCCUGUAGAUAUCUCUUGGACCAGGAAGCAAGCAAGGCCAUGUUAAAUUUCCUCAAGUUUAUGACCCCCCCCCCCAAAGGCCUUUUUUUGGGAAACUAAUCCCCAAUUAGCAAGGUGAUACUUGUGUAGCUCCCCCAUAUUACCCUAAAAGAAGUGAGACAUCUGAGAUGUAAUGGGCUUACACUAGUAGGAAAAACCUUAUAGGUAGGAGUCUAGUAGUAGCGCUGGAAAAUAGCACGCGCUGCUGCUACUUAGCAGUAGCGCUGGCUCUGCCAAACGCUACUGAUAAUGACCUUAGCAGCAGCGCUUGAUAUGCAAAAAGCGCUACUGCUAAACGUGGCCAAACGAGGCCACUGAUGGUAGCAGUAGUAGCAGCGCGUGCAUGUAAAAAGCGCUACUGCUAAGUUUAGUAGCAGUAGCGCUCGUAUGGAAACGACGGUUGUGCUAAACGUGGCCCAACAAGGCCAUCGACGGUAGCAGUAUGAGCAACGUGUGCAUGUAAAAAGCGCUACUACUAAGUUUAAUAGUAGUAGCACUGCUUUACAAAAAGCGCUACUGCUACGUGUGUCCAUGGGCAGCUUUCACCCCCCCACACACACCCUAUCCCCCUUCCUCCCCCCUUUGCCUCUCCCCUCUUUUCUCCUCUCCUCUAUCUAUGUUGUUUCUCCACCAUUGAUGUCCGUCUUCUCUCUUCUUUCUACCUCUCUUCUCUCCCCAUUAAGCCCCCCUUCACCCUAAUUAUCCUCCAUAAAUGGCCUCUUCUAACUCUACCUUUCACAUUUAUUUGUCUCUCCCGCCUUCCAUACAUAUAGAUCUAGAUAGCUAGGUCAUCUCCCUCCCUCUCCACUAGUUAGCUAGAGUCAUCUCUCCUCACAAUAACUAGAUCUAGCUAUUCAUUUAGAUGUGCACAAUCUCUCUCGGGAUAUAUGUUAGUAGAAAGUUGUGCAUUUCAAUAAUGGGAAUAUGUCUGUUUGCGAUAUGAAGGGAUUUGUGUCAGUGACAUGCCCCGUGAGUUGCUUAUGUUUUGCCGAAAUGUCGAUUUAUUUCCGUUUCGACGAAUUUCGAGCAAACUCGAUAUGACCUAUUUUUAGGCUAGGUCAUGCCAAAUUUUUAUAUGACUUUGAUGCAUGCAUGCAUUUUGUUUAUAACCCUUUUGCUUGUUAUACCGUGCAGUCAUGAAGGUGAGUGGAAGGAAGGUGGAGCGAUACUUGCAAUCCGUGGUGAUGGACAUGGAUGCAAAUAAACGGACUAGGAUUAGAUGUCCAUGUAUAAAAUGCAAAUAAGGACUAAUUUUGGACCCUUUUGAUGGUGGCAGUUUGAAGGCCCACUUGCUAAUCAAUGGUUUCAUCGAUGGCUAUACUCGAUGGAUAAGUGAAGAUGAUGAUGAGGACGUCCACAUGGCAGUGAAUAACGACAUGCGACUAAACAAAGAGAUGAUCGGUCGAUACGAAGACGAUGACGCCGGACACGACGGCGGUGAAGAGUCCGAACAUGGCGGCGGGGAAGAGUACGAACACAGCGGGGAAGAGUCCGAACAUGGCAGCGGAGAAGAUUCUGGACACGGCGAAGAAGUAGAGUCCGGACAUGGCGGAGAAGAGGUGACAGACACGCCGCAGACUUCAACGCUAGUAAGUUCAGUCGUGCAGGACCCUCAUGCUCAAGACCUCCUUCGCAAGAGUGCGACUAGCGACAGAGUUGCUUCUAGAGAGGAGGCCAAGCUGGCGCAACUUGAAGUAGACUCGAAGACUCCAUUAUAUGACGGUUGUGAUCCCGAGGUUACCCACUUGAGUUUCACGCUCGAACUUCUAAAGACGAAGGCCAAAAACAAAAGGACAAACAAAAGCCUCGAUGAGCAUUUGAAGUAUCUACAUAAUAAUGUUCUUCCCGCGGGGAACUGGUGUCCUUCUAGUGUCGAUGAGUCCAAGAAAAUCGUUUUCCCUCUUGAUCUGCCGCAUAGUAGAUACCAUGCAUGCAUCAACGAUUGCAUCAUUUAUCGGGGGGAGCACGCGGAAAAAACCAGGUGUCUAGUGUGCAAUACUUCUCAAUACAAGAAGGCAGGAAAGAAAACUCCUCGGAAAGUUGUAUGGUACUUUCCGGUCACUCCCCGUCUGCAGCGGUAUUUCGUAGAUCCUAAGGAAGCAAAACUCAUUCGCUGGCAUGCGAAGAGGAAGAAGAUCGAUGAUGGAGAUGAUCCGGAGCUGAGGAACCUCGCAGAUGCUAGCCAGUGGAGAUAAUUCAACGCCGAAUAUCGAUUUUCGAAGAAGAUGGAAAGAACAUUGUGCUUGAUGUGUUUACCGAUGGCAUGGAUCCGUUUGGAAACCAGAGCACCAACCACAACACAUGGCCCGUCUUUGUAUGGAUGUACAACCUCGCCCCAUGGAAGUGCAUGAAGACAAAGUACAUACACAUGAGCCUGCUCAUUCAAGGUCCGAAACAAUCGUGAAAUAAUAUUAACCUGUAUAUGGGGCUUCUGAAAGAGGAGCUAGACACGUUAUGGAAAUCGCCGGUCAAGACAUGGGACGCUAGCACAAGAGAAUAUUUCUAUAUGAGAGUUGCGCUGAUGACGACGGUGCACGACUAUCUCGGUUACGGGUACACCUCACGCCAGGUGUGCCACGGAUACUGCAGAUGCAUGAGGUGCAUGGAUGAUACAAUGUCUCAGCAGCUUACGUCAACGAAAGAUGGCGGGUCUGGGAAAAUCGUGUACAUGGGGCAUCUUAGAUGGCUCGAAAAGGAUAACCCGUGGAGAAAACGUGGAGAUCUAUUCAAUGGUUUGGCUGAGCAUUGUGGACCUCCAUGUAACAGGAGCGUUCCCGAAAUCAACGAGCUAUUGAAUAACUGGCGAUAGUGCCUCGUGUCGGGAAAGAUUGAAAUGGAGCCAGAGCCGCUACUGAAGGUAUGGAAAACGAGGUCUGUUUUCUGGGACUUGGAGUACUGGCCCAAUCACGGCACGCUUCAUUGCCUUGAUCAAAUGCAUAUCACGAAGAAUGUCCUCGAGAGUUUGCUUGGCACAUUGAUGAACAUGCCGGUGAAGACCAGGGAUGGGCCUAAGGCAAGGAAAGACUUGGAGGAUUUGGAGAUCAGGGGGGAUCUCCACAUGCCCCGUAAAAGUCAAUGGGGGGAGACGGAAACGGAGACGACGACGGGGCCAAGGGGAAGAAAAGUCAACAAGAAGGAGAAGAAUUGUUACCCCCUUAUUGCUUCACCUUAAGUGCGAAGGAGAUCGAUCAAUUCAUCAAGUGCCUUACGGGAAUCAAAGUCAGUUCUUGUUAUUGUGGGAAGAUAAGCAGAUUUCUAGACACCAAGAAGAAAAGGUUCAGCGGGAUGAAGUCUCAUGACUGUCACGUGAUAAUGAGGCGAGUACUCCCGAUUUCCAUUAGAGGGAUAAUGGACAAGCAUGUUCGUGAGACGUUUACUGGUCUCUGCAACCUCUUCGACGUUAUCUCUCGCAAGUCCAUCAGUGUGAAGCAGCUCCGAAGGCUACAUGAAGAGAUCUUUGUCAUACUAUGUGAGAUUGAGAUGUACUUCCCGUCCGCGUUAUUUGACGUCAUGGUGCAUAUGUGUGUCCACAUCGUGGACGGCAUCAUCGACCCCGGGCCGACAUUUCUUCACAACAUAAUGCCGUUCGAGAGGAUGAAUGGGGUCAUCAAAGGAUUCAUUUGUAACAUGUCCCGUUCCGAGGGGAGCAUCGUCCAGGGGUAUCUGACCCAAGAGUGCAUCUCCUUUUGCGAGAGUUAUAUAGGCAAAGAAGACCCUGUUGUUGGUUUGCCCGUCAACAAGCACCAUGGGUGGCUCGGAGGAGAAGGUCACAACAACGACGGGAGGGAAUUGUACGUGGACUACUCGGAUCGACGAGACGACGUUGAUUGGGCUAACUUAGUAGUGCUACAACACCUAGAUGUGGUAGAUGAUUAUGUGACACUGCACAAAGAAAUCAUCGCAAAGAAGUAUCGUGAUCAGGGGAUGCACAAGACGGAUGACGAAGUUACUGUAGAGCACAACGCCACAUUCUUGCAUUGGUUCAAAGAGUAGGUUCGUGCUAAUCCCCCGGAAGAGGGCAGUGCAGACGGGUUUCUCAUACACGUCUUAGCACAUGGCCCCGCGCCCAAACUCGUGUCCUAUGAGGCAUACAUAUCAAUGGGUACAUGUUCUACAUGGAGGCCAAAGACAUGGACAAUGAUUAUCAGAACUCGGGGGUGACGAUUGAAUGCGUGACCGACUCCAACGGCACAACUGAAAGAUUGUAUGGAAGGGUCGAAGAGAUCUGGGAGCCUAACUAUGCUGGAAGGUAUGAUCCAACGAUGUUCCAUGUCAGGUGGGCUAAGGCCGUCGUAAGAGAAAACAAGUAUUUCACUACCAUGUCUAUACCCGACGAAAAGAGCGCUACCUUCAACGUUAACGUCAUCGCCAAAACUGAGCCAUGGAUAGACGCUAAGUACAUGACAUAAUGCUUCUUCAUAAUCGAUCCGACCAAUCCCAACUGUGUUGUCGUGAGGAGAGGCAAAAGGAACAUCGUCGGAAUGGAUGGAGUCGCCAGCGAGAAAGAUUACGACCGAUAUGGCAACCUGAUGAGGGCAGGUGACGAUGACGAAGAAGCAUACGUGAAAAAAAAAUCAAGACUAUUACCUAACAAAGAUCGUACUCCAUGGUGCCAGAAAAGAAGAAUCGACACAACAAACAAGAAAGGAAAGAAGCUCAAUGUGAAACAUCUUCAACGCAGUUGAGAAACAAUCAUUUAUAUAUAUAUAUGUAUUUUGUGUACGAAACAACACAUGGUUCCGGUUAUAUUCGCACAGUGUGGGAGGGAGACCUACGUUCUCGUCGUCAACUCUGUGCGAGAGGCCAUCGGGAUAAAAACUAAAAACAAAAAACAGAAACAAAAGGGAGAAAGCAAUACAAAAAAAGUAAACAUAAAAGGAAAGGAAAAUAAUAAAAAGAAAAGAAAAAUAAUAAAAGGAAAAAUAAUAAAGAAAAUAAUGUUAGCAGUAGCGCUGGAUUGGUAAAAGGGCUACUCCUAACUUAGUAGUAGUGCUGGUACCAAAUCAGCACUACCGCUAUUUGUCCUAGGCAUUUAGUAGUAGCGCUGGAUUAGAACCAGCGCUACUGCUAACCUAGUGGUAGCGCUGGAACCAAUCUAGCGCUACUGUUACUUUUACUUAACUGGCUCUCCGCCCCCUCUCCCUCCACUCCUGCCUCUCUGUCUCUCCCGCGCGCGCUGUGUUGCUGCCUCCUCCUCCUGUGUCGCUGCCGCCCGCCGGAGCCCUCCAGCACGUCCCUACGCACGCCCUCGACCUCUGUCUGCGCAGCCAGUCAACCCCCCUCCCCUCCUGCUCCGGUAAGCCCCCCGCCCCUCCUCCCCAUGACUCUGUCCCUCGGGUCAGACGCCCCUGCCCUUCCUCGCCUUGUUGCGCCUCUAUGGUGUUCCGCUGCACCUUGCCUCAUGGUGCUCCGCCUUCAUCCCCCUCUCCCUCGUGUGUAGUUACUCGGCAAUGGGCGGGCCAGGGCGGAGAGAUGCAUAGGAGCCCUAGGUACAGGCGAUGGGUGGCGGGUCGACCCACGAUGUUGGGACGACUAUGUGAAGAAGAGAGAGGUUGGGAAAGGAAGUGCUGGACUAGCUGAUGGACUAGCUGAUGCUAUCGAAUGAAUUAGAGAGAUUAGAGUAGAGAAUAUGAGAGAGAUUUAGGAGAUAUAUUAGGCUAGGUGAGCCCAAGAUGUAUGAUUUUCAUACAAAGAAAGAGGUGUGUUGUUGCUAUUUUGAUCCAUGUGCUGUUCGUGCCAAUAUUUUUGCUAGAUAUGUGAGCCCAAGACGUGUGUUGUUGCUGCAACUAUUUUUAGUUGCUCUUCUAUUGCUCCUCAUAUAUACCUAGUGAAAGUAUAUGAAAGCUUAUCACUUCACAAGUUCUCGCCUUUAAGAAAUGCAUCAAUGAAUCAUCCCCCAUAUUUAACUACCAUUGCAUGCAUGCAUAUUCACAAUACAUGUAGUUGUUUGCGUGUUCAUGUAGUUGAUCACAAUACAUGUACAUCUUCAUUCUGCAACAUUUUCAAAUUAACUAUACUCGUAGAGUGCACAUUCCUCAAGCCCGAUAUCUGUGCUAGAGAUCACCAUAACCGCUACCAUGCCGAAUGUUUUAUGCUCACAAAGGAAUGGUUGUGGGCUAUCAUCUUAAACCUUGUGGCCUGCUAUGUUGUGCUUAUCUUAUCUCUUCUUGGCAUGCUUGUGGUGAUGAGAGUUGGGCACUAAUGUAUUUUUUUAUUAUUGGUACACGAAAAAAUGCUUCUGAUUGGUCAACAUUAUAUUAAGUUUUGCUGAAAUGUCCGAGUGGCCUAUGUUUUGCCGGAAUGUUGAUUCAUUUCCGUUCCAACAAAUUUCAGGCGCUCCAUAUGUCCACUUCUUAGCAAAGGUCAUGCCGAAAAUUUCCGUAAAUUUCGGCAUGACUUGUGCUAGAAACUAGGACAUAUCAAGUGCCCGGGAAUUCCCGAAAAGGGGAAUGAAUCAACAUUCCGACCAAAUAUAGUCCCCCUUUUAUUAUUGAUGUUAUUCGGCCUAGAAUUAAACUAUUAUACUUAAAUACUCGUAGGAAAUUAAUAUGUCUAGCCACGACGAAGCCGGGGGUUCUGGUUGCCACGAAGAAGACCAUUUUGAGGAAGCAAAUCAUUUUUUGGAUUACCUGGACCAACAGGAGAUACGGAUGGAGGGUGGCAAUGAGACCAACCCCGACACUGACACUGCAACCGGUAGCGAUAGUGGCACUGAUGCGUCUCCAACGUAUCUAUAAUUUAUGAAGUAUUCAUGUCAUGUUUACAAUAAUUUUACAUGAUUUUGGUAUGAAUUUAUUAGAACUAACCCGGACUGACUCUGUUUUCAGCAGAACUACCGUGGUGUUGUUUUUGUGGAGAAAUAAAAGUUCUGGAAUGGGCAGAAAACUUAGGGAGAAUAUUUUUUGAAAAUAUAAAAAAUACUGGAGCAAAAAGAUACCGGAGAGGAGUCCCGAGACAGUCACAAGCCUAGGGCGCGCCCCCCUAGGGCUUGUGAGUCCCUCGGGAGUCCCCUUGACGUGAGACCGACGACAAAAAUUCCUAUAAAUCCCAAAACACCCAGAAAGAAAUCUAGAUCGGGAUUUCGCAGCCGCAAGCUUCAAGAGCCAUGACAAACCAAUCGGAAGCCUGUUCCGGCACCCUGCUGAAUGGGGAAACCAUCACCGGAGGCCAUGUUCAUCAUCCCGGCAGUCUCCAUGAUGAGGAGGGACUAGUUCACCCUCGGGGUUGAGGGUAUGUACCAAUAGCUAUGUGUUUGAUCUCUCUCUCUCUCUCUCUCUCUCGUGUUCUUGAGAUGGCACGAUCUUGAUGUAUCGCGAGCUUUAUUAAUAUAGAUGAAUCAUAUGGAGUUUUACCCUCUCUAUCUUCUUGUGAUGAAUUGAGUUUUUCCAUUGAAUUUUUCUUAUAGGAUUGAGUCUUUAAGGAUUUGAGAACGCUUGAUGUAUGUCUUGCGAUGGGAUAUCUGUGGUGACAAUGGGGUGUUCUAUUGAUCCACUUGAUGUAUGUUUUGGUGGUCAACUUGCGGAUUUCAUGACCUUGAGAAUCUAUGCAUAGGGGUUGGCACAUGUUGUCGUCUUGACUCUCCGGUAAAAACUUUGGGGCACUUUUUGAAGUUCUUUGUGUUGGAUUGAACAUUUUGAAUCAGAAAUUGUGCGAUGCAUAUCGUAUAAUCAAGCCCAUGGGUACUUGUGGUGAUAUUGGAGUAUCUAGGUGCCGUUAGGGCUUUGGUUGAUGUGUAUCUUAAGGUGUUAUUUUAGUACAAACUCUAUGACUGUUCGUGACACUUAUAGAGAUAGCUCAUAAGAUUGAUCGAAAAAGAUAACUUUAAGGUGGUUUUGACCCUAUAAUAAUUUCUUCGUCUGUUUUCCGCUAUUUUUGACUUUGGAGUGAACUCUUUGUCGCACGUGAGGGAUUUAUAUAUGAUUUUGCUGGAAUUUUGUCUACUUAUGGACCAGCCCAAUAUAUAAUUUCAGAAAAUUCUUAAUAAAUCCUAGAGUCCCACGCAGCCCAUUUGUGCAAGGCAAGAGGUGGAAAUGUUUAGUCCCACAUUGCCAGUUUAGUGGAAGUUGGACCUCCUUAUAAGAGAGGAUGUUUCCACACAUGUACGAGCUUGAGAACAAAAGAGACAUACACGCGCGCUCCUCCUUCUCCGCCACCCGCCUCGCCAUGUUUUUUUUUUUGCAUAUAUAUGGGUUGUCGAGUGUCAACAUGUUGUUGAUCUGGACACAGUGCAAAUGCAUAUGACGCUUUUUUUUUCUAAUUCAGGCAAUGAACAGAAAAAGUUUUGUACUGGUGGUCUUAAAAUUAAUUUUACUGGUCAUUUUCCUCGAUAAUUGAACUGCAAAAACGUCUUAUAUUAAAGUACAAAAGGGGUAUUAGACUUUUAUCCAUUUUAAAUACUACAGUAGUGCAGUUUUCCACGAAAGAAGGGUAUUAUCCCCCGGCCUUUAGCAAUGAUUGGUACACGGCACAUUAUAUCACUAGGCCGUCGUUCAUGUUGCUUGAACGAAGCCUAUGUUACCAAUCUCCAAGCGGCUGAACCUAGAUGCCAUUUAGUACUACAAAACUGGUAGACAUGCAUUUGUGUCUUCUUGCCAACACGCCAUCUUAAAAUUGAUGAAGUUGUUACAUAUGUCUUCAGACUCUGACGAAAAUGCCUCACAUUGUUUGAAGGACACAAAUAAAUCAUGAAAAAUGGGCCACCAAUGCCAAGUCUUGGACAACCGAAAGAAAACCUAACCAUCCGAAUCGUGCUUGUUUCGUAAUUAUUGAUAAUUUUAUGUAAUUCUCAUUAAUGAUAAUGGCAAACUCAACUGAUAAGUGGUCGUUCCAAAAUAGCGCUAGACCACCACUUUGACCAUUACAAUCAGCUCCUUGAGCGCGUGUAAUUUACACUUCAUCCGUUGAAAAAUACUCGUCUAAUUACACUUCACCCGUUGAAAAAUACUUAUCAAAGAGAUGAAUGUAUCCACAAGUAUUUUUGGCCGAAUAUAAUACUAUGAAAAGAAAGAAAGAUAUGCAAGACGCCUUGACUAGAUCGGUUGCCGACCCAAUUGCACCGCCCUUUGAUAUAUUCCAUGCUCAACCCGCGCAAUCGGGCAUUUAUAUAUAUAUACUCUCUUCGUUUCUAAAUAUAUAUUUUUUAAAUAAUUUAUUAAGGGACUACGUACGGAUGUACAGUCUUUUAGUGAAAUCUUUAAAAAAAAUAUACUUCCUCCGUCACGGUUUAGAAGGCGUGCAUGAAAAUUCUGUAGAACCUACGUGGUUAUUGAUUAGCUGUGAAAUAAGUUAAAAAAAUAGUGUUCACAGUACACAUGCAUAUAAAAAUAAUACAACAGAGUACUAAUUAGAAGCUAGGAGUAAAUACAAUGCGCCUUAAACCUUGUCUAUCGUGGAAAUGCACGUAAAUUUAACUGUGCCUUCUAAACCGUGACGAAUGUAGUAUUUAAAAACGAAGGAAGUAUUCAUAAAGAGCCAUGCCGGCGGUGGCCCCUCCCCGAUGACUAGUGCGCAACCUCUUAGGCCCAUGUGGCCCCUCCAGUGGGUGGACCUCUCCCGAUGGACCCCCGGAACCCGUUCGUCAUUCCCGGUACACUAUCGGAAAUGCCCGAAACCAUUCCGGAGCUCAAAUACCCUCUUCCUAUAUAUCAAUCUUCGUCUCCGGACCAUUUCGGAACUCCUCGUGACGUCGGGGAUCUCAUCCGGGCCUCCGAACAACCUUCGGUCACCAACAUACGUAACUCAACUAUACCAAAACGUCAUCGAACCUUAAGUGUGCAGACCCUGCGGGUUCGAGAAUUAUGCAGACAUGACCGAGACACUCUCCGGUCAAUAACCAAUAACGGGACCUUGAUGCCCAUAUUGGCUCCUACAUAUUCUACGAAAAUAUUUAUCAGUCGAACCUCUAUGUCAAGGAUUUAGUUAAUCUCAUAUACUAUUCCCUUUGUCCAUCGGUAUGUUAUUUGCGUGAGAUUCGAUCGUCGGUAUCACUAUACCUAGUUCAAUCUCGUUACCGACAAGUCUCUUUACUCGUUUCGUAAUACAAGAUCACAUGACUAACUCCGUAGUUACAUUGCUUGCAAGCUUCUUGUGAUGUUGUAUUACCGAGUGGUCCGAGAGAUACCACUUCGUCAUACGGAGUGACAAAUCCUAAUCUCGAUUCACGCCAACCCAACAGACACCCUUAGAGAUACCUGUAGAGCACCUUUAUAGUCACCCAGUUAUGUUGUGAUAUUUGAUACACACAAGGCACUCCUACGGUGCCCAUGAGUUGCAUGAUCCCAUGGUCAUAGAAACAAAUACUUGACAUACAGAAAACAGUAGCAAUAAACUGACAUGAUCAUAUGCUACUUGCAUAGUUUGGGUCUUGUCCAUCACAUCAUUCUCCUAAUGAUGUGAUCCCGUUAUCAAACGACAUCUCAUGUCUAUGGUCAAGAAACCUUGACCAUCUUUGAUCAACGAGUUGGUCCUUUGAGGCUCACUAGGGUGUAAUGCCCAAAUGGGACUCUAUCCUUAAUUUGGCACGAGGGCCUCGUUAGGGAUAGAAACGCAUCUCGUCGUUUCGCAAUAAUGGAUAUCGUUACAAGUACAUGUACGAAAAGAUGAGAUAUAUGGAAUUGGCUUACACUCGCCACAAGCUACAUCAGAGUCACAUCAGUACAAUUCAUAAAUAUCAUGAAGAAGAGCAGGGUCCGACCACGGACGAGAACAAACGAGAAAAGAAAACAACGUCCAUCUUUGCUAUCCCAAGCUGCCGGCCUAGAACCCAUCCUAGAUAGAUGAUGAAGAAGAAGAAGCAACUCUAAAUGAACAAUCAACGCGCUCGCGUCAAGUAACCUUCACCUGUACCUGCAAAUGGUGUUGUGGUAAUCUAUGAGCCACAUGGGACUCAGCAAUCUCAUUUCCAAAGGUAUCAAGACUAGCAAAGCUUAAUAGGUGAGGUAUGCUUAAGUGGUGAGGUUGCAACAGUGACUAAGCAAUAUAUUUGGUGGCUAACUUACGAGUACAAGAACAAAGAGGGGAAGAUCUACACAUAACGGACGUGAACUACCGAUGAUCAAAUGAAUGAUCCUGAACACCUACCUACGUCAAACAUAACCCCACCGUGUCCUCGAUUGGAAAAGGAACUCAUGAAAGAGACAAUCACGGUUACGCACUCAGUUGGCAUAUUUUUAAUUAAGUUAACUUCAAGUUGUCUAGAACCAGUGUUAAACAAAGUUUCCACGUUGCCACAUAACCGCGGGCACAACUUUCCGAAAGAUUUAACCCUGCACGGGUGCUCCAACUAGUCCAUCACAAAUUACCACACGCCGCAUAGAAAUCCUCGAUCACGAAGCUCGCGAUCUCGUCGGACUCCUUAGUGGAAAACCUCAACUCUGAUAUUACCCAAAGCAUCGCCGGAAUCCCGAUGCACAAGAUAUUUCGUCAAAGGUAAAACUAAUCCAGCAAGGCCGCCCGACGUGUCGACGAACCCGAUAGGAGCCGCGUAUCUCGUUCUCAGGACACGACGGAUGGGUCACACUAGGAGAAACCAAACCUAGGGUUGCCCCGCGGUGGCUCCGUAGUGUGCCAGUUUGGACCAACACUCAUGCGGAGCAAUGGCCCCGGGGGUUGAUUAAUUAUCCGCGGGUGCCCGCGGGUCCCUAUGCAUUAAUUAGUUAUUAGGCAAAUGUAGUACCAAAGUUGGGCCUUGCCACACCAGUCUUAAUCUAAAACGAAUUAUCAAGGGGGUCCCCAUAACAACCCCGAUCAUGUUAGGAGCGCUCAAUUAUGGAACAUAACACCGGUAGCCGAAACUAAGGGGGCAAAGGUGGAACAAAAUACCAGGCUAGAAAGGCCAAGCCUUCCACCUUUUACCAAGUAUAUAGGUCCAUUAAAUUAAAUAGCAUUUAAUAGGGUGAUAUAACAAGGAACCCAUGUUGUCACAUGGAAGCAACUGCACCAGCAACUAGCAACGCUAACACAUGGUUAAGCAAGCGGUAACAUAGCCAAGCAGUGGCUUGCUAGGUUGUGAACAUGUUGAAGGUUUUUAUGGCAUUGUUGAGAGGCUGAUAUUUACCAUGUGGUAGGCAACGAGACAUAACGACAUAAACGAUAAUACUACCAUGGCAAUGAUAGUAAUGGUAUCUGGGGAAAUGGUAUCUUGCCUCAGAUCUCGCUUGGAAGAAGAACGACUCCGUGAAGCAGACGAACCGAUGUAGUCGAACGGGUCCUCACUUUCCGACAUGCUUGGGGAACUCUAGCGAGACGAGGAAAUCGGAAACAAGCAUCAACACACGAUAUUCACCACACGAAGCUCAACACAUAUACAUGAACGGCUGAAAAAUAUGCAAGACAUAGCAUGUCAAUUCACAACACUCAAACACUACACAUUAAGUGAAGUUCAAUAUGCAACGAGUUGCAUAUUGACGAAACUCCACAUACGAAUUAUUUAUUUCUAUCCUGAUUAGAUACACAACAAUAUUAAAUGUGGUUAAACAUGGCAAGAGGUGAAGCGUAAUUAAACUACCUAUCUAGACAUUUUAAAUGAGGUCGGAAAUGACAUAUAGCACCUCCGAAACGACCUCACAUGUUAAUUAACAAUUCUGUCCAGAUCUGAACUAACAUGUUUUAAUAGUUGUUAAACAGCAAAAUAAAUAGGUUCACGUGAUUCUAUGCAUCGAUACAAGCAAUUUACACAUAGAGAACAUCUCCAACGGAGCUACGGUUCAAAAGGUACAAGCAUCGCAAGAUAUGAUGACAUGAAUGCAAAAUGUGUGCAACAACAGUCAUAAGCAUUCCAAAACAUACAACCAGCAAGAUAAUAUGAAACUACAUGAGAUUCUAAGCAAGUUUCAUAUAAGACACGAUCAAAACGGAGCAAUGGUUCAACAACUACGAGCUAAACAAGAACUCACUACAAACUGCCAAAAACAAGCACAUAGCAUUUUCUACGCCACACAACUACGAGCUACACAACACCAAUAUACUCAACCAAGGCAUGAGACGAUAGAGGGAAAGAAGCACUACCACAUACAUCUAAUAACAUCUAGCAUGGAAGCAUGGAUCACUAGAAAAAGAAGUCACAAAAUGGCUUCUCACACACAGUUUCAGACUUAGUGGAAAUAAUAGUUUAUGAAACUGCAGUUUUUGAUCUGAAGGCAUAUUGACAGCAACAAAACCAUAAGCUACAGGACUCCAAAUGGCAUGAAAGUUGACAACACGCUAGAGAAUCCUAAAGUCUACAACUAACUCCAUUGCACCAACCUGAAAAGAGCUAUAGAUCACCAGAUAAACUCAUGCAAAGACAACAACAAAAUAUAACAGAUUUCAGACUUAGAAAUAUUUCAGCAUCUCCAAACAAACACUAUUUCCUAGCAAGUUGAGAAUAAACAAACCACACCUAAACAUGGCUUUCUAUUGCAACCAAAAUUACCAGGGGCUAGACUAAACAUCCAAGAGCAACUCUCUAGUUGACAACUCCUUCAUAUCACGCACGGAUUAAAACACACGAAAUAAACAAAAGGGCAACAUGGCAAAAUAUCACGCGCACUAACUUGCUCAAAAGCUAAAACUAAAUGCACCGUUAAAUUAUAUAGAUUUUUCUACCCCGAAAACAUAUAUAACAUGCGGGGUUGCAAAAUAAAAACAACGCCACACGUAUAUGCGGGAAUAUGUCCUAAACACGGAAUAAUAACGAGCUACGGAAUCCUACAUGCAAAAAUACCAACAACUAAUCCAAAAUACAUGGCAAAGGGGUUCCUAAAACAUGAGCAUUUUAUCUACGGAGUUCGAGCAAUCCGGACACGCGUGGAAAUAAAUACGGAUCAACUCCCUAUUGGGACAACACACAAAACUAGGCAUUCAGCGGGUCAAACUAUUUCAAACAUGCAUGCAAGUUGCAAAUUCGUAAUCUACGCGAAAAACUACACAAGUUCCAUAUAUAGAUCAUCUCGAUCCAACGCUCGGUUAAUAAACUACGGGAGUUUUAAAUGUCUAAUAAUUUCCUGGAAUUAAAUUAAUUCCGAAAAUCCUAAAUAAACUAACAGGGCCAAAUUGGUGGGCGCACUAUAACUAAGAUGCGCCUAGGCGUAGUUUAGAGGGGCUGGGGGGAUCCUCACCUUGCGGGACAAGGCCCAGGAGCGGAGGCGACCAAAGCACAGGUUGGUGGCCCACGGGGAAGAGGAGGAGCUGGGGCCGGUGGUUGGUGGAGCUGGGCCUGGGCGUGAGGCGUGGCCUGGGCCUGGGCCGGCUCGGGGCCCAGGCGUUGGCGAUGCCAGUCAACGGCGAGCGAGCGGGGCUCUGGCCUCGACCUCCUGUCGGCGACCAUGGCGGCGCGGCACUGCGGCAGGACCCCGGCGAGGUCGGCGGGACGCAGAGGGGCCGGAUCCAGUGAGAUCCGGACGCGGAACGACCACGGGGACUCAUUCCCGGCGGCGGAAGGAGCGGGACGCAUGGAUCGGCCGGAUUUGGGGCGGCGGCGCGUCACGUUCUCCGACGAGGGCGAGCUGCCGGCCGGCGAGGCGGGUUCGGGCUCGGGCGAGGAAACCCGGGGGAGCUCCGGUGAGCUGUAGGGGUGGCGCGGGGUUGCCGGUUCCGACAGCUGGUGGCGCAAGGCGGCGGCGCACGGGAGGAGGCACGGGAUGUCGGGCGCGGCGGCGGCCUCGGGCAAGGGGCAGGCGACGCGAUGGGCUCGGCGGGCCNGGAGGAGAGAGAGGUGGGAGGCUGCGCUAGGGUUAGGUGAGGGCACGGUUUUCGAGGCACAGGGGGUUGGCUGCCCAAAAUUAGGAGGAGGGUCUAUUUAUAACAAAAGAGGGGGCUAGGUUUAGCAGUUUUUUUCCCGGUUUCAACCGCGCGGUCGGAAUCGAAAAAUUCCGAACGCGGGACGGGCUAAGUGGCCAUGUAGAGUAGGAUAGCCGGGGAAGAGAGGGAGAACGGGCACCCGACAACAUAUUUUAAAACACCGAUAAAACGACCGACGAUAGUCCGAUUACGGUGCCGCUACGGUCGACCGUUCGGGUAUGAGACGGACUCCGAUUGCGACGAAAUCUGACAUGCGGCCUACCUAUAUUAUAUUAAGACCGCACGCCAAGUUUCAACUCAAUCAGAGAAGUUUUAUACACACUUUUAAAAACAGGUUUUGAUGAUGCCGCGGGCGUGUGCGUGUGUGGUUGAGCUCAGAACGGACAACGACGAGAACCGACAACUAACAAUGGAUGCAAGUUUUGAAAACUGGCGGCAACGGGAUGCCGAUGCAAUGCAGAUGAUGCGCAUGAUGCGAUGAUGAUGCGACAAAUAAAAUAAACACACGAUGAAAAUGGAAUAAAGGGGGAAUCUUGUGGAACGUCGGCAUCGGGUUGUCACAACUCUCCUACACUACAAGAGGAUCUCGACCCGAGAUCCAUGAAUGAAACGGGAAGAGGACGAGGAAGCAAGAGGUAAAACUUAGUGGCUUCUCUGGCAAAAGAGUGAACCAACGAUCCUUGAAGGUUGCGACGAGAUGAAGAAUGAUAUGAGAAACAAGCAAGAAUUCACGGAAAAUUUCGGCAGCACUUUGGUAGGAAAAAGGGGACAAUUUUUUUUCCGAUAAGAUGGGAGGAUUAGACAAGAUUCAUAACUAACCACUAAAUAGAACAAGGGAAUACCAUGAUCUUGAUAGAACAACAUGAUUGAUCCAAAAGAGCAACAUCACAAUGCCUGCGGAACAAGGGAGUAAAACUAGAUCAUUGGGAUCAAAGAAUGAAUAAGAGAAUUACAACUACUAUCACCAUAGAAUUGAAGAGCCUCCGGACAAGAAGAAUUGACGUAGUUGUUGGAAAAACAACAACGAAAAGAACAAGCUUGUAGUGGACUUGUGAAAAUCAUCUCAACAUUUAUGAGGUGACAACCAACCACUAAAAGAAACUAGGAUAGUUGAAAGCAAAGAUAUAAAAACUUCUUACACCAAGAGGGUGCAUCGAGAACUUGGAUUAACGACAAGCACCAUAAUUGGGACAAUCCUUAGGAAAGGCUUUAGGUGAAAACUAAACCAAGAUACUCAGCCGAGAAAUCAUGAGUUGAAAAAUAUCUCAUGAUCAUAGAAUUGGUGGAUUUAGUUAUCUCAUUCUUGAAAGGAAAACUCUUCGAGGCUCCUACACUAACAAGAAUGCUAUAAUACUACCUCAAAGGAUAAAGGAAGAACAAAUGCACUGGAAAUGCAAGAGAAAGAAUACUUGAGGUACUCCAACAGGAAUCUUGAAGAACACUUUGAGAAAAAUCACAUCCUAGAAAAACCACCAAUGACGAGCCUCCAAGGAUGAUGCAAGAUAUGAAGGAUGAAAGAAUAAGAUUGAAGCCUUGCAAAGACUUCAAUGAAGCUUCACGAAGAGAUACUUGAGAAAACUUGGAACUCCGGAAAAGAAAAGAUAAGAACACUUGAGAAAAAGGAAUUGAUAUCGUGAGCCACUCCGGAAGAAGAAUUGAAAUCAUUUGAUGAAACAAGAAUAAGAAUUUUGUUAUGCUUAUCCUUCAUCAUAUUAAAUUGACGACAAUCAACGGAUUUAACAUAACACUUAUUCUUCUGAAAUGAUUGAGGAGAGAUAUGAGCAGAACUUGAACAAGUCUUGAAGGAGAUAGCGGUAAGAAUUGGAUUGAAUGGGGAUAUAACAAGAAUGAAUGGAGAUGCAUGAGAAUGAAUAACUCAUGAACCAUCUGAGAGAAAAACUUGAACAAGGCACCGGAAUAACCGAGAGACGAACGAAGAGACAACAAUUGAGAAGAAUGUGAGAACGAAAGCUGGAAGCUGAGAACGAAGAAGUCUUCUGAAAUAAUGGCCUUCGGAGGAUCAAUGAUGAAAAGAACUCAGAAAAGCACCGGAUAGCAAAAAAUGGAUUACUCAUGAUUAGUAACAACUCUGAAGAUAACACGAAGCUAGAAGACAAUCUUCACAAGAAUGGACAAGAAUUCAGAUAUUCACUCCUUCGGUCUUCCAAGGUGAAAAUGAUGAGGAGAACACCACCAAGAAUAACUGAAACACUCCGGAAUAACGAAGAAUGAAAGGUUGAGCCAAAUAUGAGAACUGAUUCGAAUGGAUCUUGGAGAAUGAAAGGUUGAGCCAAAUUCAUACUUACGUCAUAGUUGAAAAGAAUAAGAUAACUCCGGAAGAACUACAUGAGUCACAUAAGAUCCUGGGAAAGAACCUUUGGGUUAUGGGCCCACUCAAAGAAACCACCGUUGAAAAGAUUGCUUAGAAAGAGAGAUAUUGCACCGGUAUAAGGAAAACUAGAUGAGGCGAGGCCCUCGAAAUAAUUGAAAGAAUUGAAAACAAGAAACUUCUCAAAUAACUUUAAUGCUUCGGAUAGAAUAGAGACAAAUGAAUAAAAAAAAAUAGGCUGAUAAGAAUUUCCAACACAGGAAAGAAUUUAAAGAAUGAAAAGGAUAUGAUGACACGGAUAACUGAUUGAAUUCACCUGAAAAGACCACAAGAAUGAAUAAAGAUGAACAUGAAGCUCCUGAGAAUCUUCCCAAUGAAUCACCGGAUAUGAGAGAAAAGAAAAGAUAACAGAAGCAACAACGAAAUGAAUGCACCAGGAUGAAAUCCAAUCACUGAAGAAAAAGGGCGGGAGGGCGGGAAAAACAAAGACAACUUGGGACAGAUGAGAGAAACUUCGGAAAGAAAUGAGAGAUUGAUCUUGCAAAUAUUGGAGAAGAUUGAACUCGCUUGAAGGAAGCACACCGGUUGAAAAGAAUUGACAAGAUGACUCCAGUUGAAAAGGAAUUGAUAUGACAAUUGAUUAAGCAAAAGGAUUAGCACUCUCAUAAAAAUAUGAGAACACCUUUUGGAACCGAUAUGAAUUCACCACUUGACAUGGAAGCAACUCGAAUUACCAUACCCCAACAAAACAAAAGGGUGAAGCUUAUGAAACGAGCCAGGACAAAUUCAUGAGAGAGAUUUCGUUCGAUAUUUUCGUGGACAGGAUCGCACGGGAUCGAUCCUUACAGUAGCCAUCCUGUGCAAGGCAGUGGACACGACAUACGAAGCGUCCCCGAGUCGUAGCAAGCUACAAGGACUCUUUAAGACACAAUGAGAACUGCUAUAAGUCGACCGUGAACAAACGAAUCCACUAGAUGUCGAACCCCAACCUAACAUUGUCCUACAAGUAACUACUUGAAUUCCCACCUAAGAACUCCCGAAAUUUCUGGUCAUGCAAUCUGGUCCACGGAUAUAAGGAGUAAUAUAUCACACAACUCCUGUACUAACCCGUCUAGUGUAUCACAUCCGUCAACACAAAACCAGAAUCAUGGAACCUCAUCUAUUUCAGACACUCGUAAUCACAACGAUACAAAGUAUGGCGAUACAUCUGGAACUCUCUGCACCAGUACUGGGGAAGCCGGACUCCUCUCGCCACUACUAGUAUUGAAGCAAUUUCAAACAUCCUUCGUCGUGAGAUACUAAGAAAUCUGAAUGAUAAUGAUGUGCUUAAGAAUCCCCUGGAUCUCAACUCCCCGGAAGAAAUCAAGUCAGACAGGAGGCACCAAGACAAAACUCCGUCAUAUCGGCAUCAUAUAGAUUUCAAAAAUAUCCGCGCGACCCUAAAUUUUUUUUUGAGUGAGAAAAGGAGUAUAAUUAAAAUCUUAUGUCGAGAUUCCUCACCAGAGCAUAGAAGAGGAGAAAAAGAAUCCUACUCUCUUCUAUAACUAAGACUUAAAAUAGUUUUUUCACUAGACUCGACUCGACCAAGUUCGAUCAAUCAAGGGGGCUCCUAGGUCGGUACUGCUCUGAUACCAACUUGUAACACUCAAAUGGGACUCUAUCCUUAAUUUGGCACGAGGGCCUUGUCAGGGAUAGAAGCGCAUCUCGUCGUUUCGCAAGAAUGGAUAUCGUUACAAGUACAUGUACUGAAAAGAUGAGAUAUAUGGAAUUGGCUUACACUCGCCACAAGCUACAUCAGAGUCACAUCAAUACAAUUCAUAAAUAUCAUGAAGAAGAACAAGGUCAGACCACGGACGAAAACAAACGAGAAAAGAAAACGACGUCCAUCCUUGCUAUCCCAGGCUGCCGGCCUGGAACCCAUCCUAGAUCGAAGAAGAAGAAGAAGCAACUCCAAAUGAACAAUCAACACGCUUGCGUCAAGUAACCUUUACCUGUACAGACGAGAGAUAGUAACUCCUCCCAGUCCUCAGCCUCCAUCUUAGCUGGCUUGGCUUCCUGCAACAACGCCUUCAAGCAUCCCUGUUGUGCCAAUAAAUAUUUCAUCCUUGUCUUCCAUAACCCAAAGCUUCCAGUCCCGUCGAACUUCUCCACCUCAAACCUGGUGCCCACUGACGCCAUGGUUCUUUGUACGGCUGACCCGCGGAAAAAUUAACUGAGCUCUCUCACGUGUUGCCCAAGUACACAGGCUUGUACUACUAGGAAACUCCAACCAAACAACUUUCUGGUAUUCACAUGAUGGCAGCCUCCCUUGGCACUAAUUCCAAUGCUAGAUGUUGCUAAUUGCUCAUGGAUGCUUACAAUGAUGGAUUUUCUUCCCUGAUUCGAUCUGCAGUGCUUUGUCUCUCGUCUCCUCGCCCGGCUGCCUUCUCAAGCUUUUAUAGCCUACAGCUACGAGUCCAACCUAGAGACGGAGUCCCGUUUUGUUUCCAAAACAAACCCCAAAGCAAACCUCACUUACACAAUGCCUCAUGCUUUCCGUGUCCGGCUCAGCUACGAGUUCUCUCAGGACUCGGUCCCUUUUUUUCUCCAAACAAAUCUCCUAUAUGCUUUUGCAUAGUGUACGAUUAGCACUCGUUGCAUGCAUACAGCCCUGUCCGCCAGCCGCGCGUGUACUGGAGACCGCGACUCCGUUCCAGCCGCAUCGGCCUCCAUGCCAGCUUGGGCAACCAACGAUAAGGCCGCAGCAGGCCACCUUGCCUUGGAUCACACGCACCAGACCCUCGGGCUGCACGGCCAGUCGAACCGUCGUACGACACAACCACGACAUAGUCCAGCAGGAACACGUCGCGUCCACUUUAGAUCGAUCUGCUGCUCGUACUUCCAUUUACCAGCGUAGAAUUUCCUCAUCAAGCAUCCACCACGAGUGAUCCAUCUUGACGAAUUUUACUCCACCUCUAGAUCAACAACCACGACCUCUUCGAACUUGCUCUGAUACCACUUGUUAGAAUAAAUCCGAGGUACGCGGUCGAUCCAUCGAGGAACAAGCAAUCACAGCACGAUGACGACAUCGAGAUUUGUUAACGAGGUUCGGCGAACUCGCCUACUCCCCGGGGCAAUGACUAGGGGCGCUCCUCCCCGAGUGUGACAGCCCGAUGCCGACGUUCCAGGAGAUUCCCCCCUUUAUUCCGUUUUCGUCGCGUGUCUAUUUUCUUUUGUCGCAUCAUCAUCACAUCAUGCGCAUCAUCUGCAUCGCAUCGGCAUCUUCGUUGCUGCCAGUUUUCAAACUUGCAUCCGUUGUUAGUUGCCAGUUCUCGCCGUUGUCCGUUCUCAGUUCGACCACACUCGCAUGCGACCACGGCAUCGUCAAAUCUCUGAUUUCAAAGUGUGCGUAAAACAUUCUUCGAUGAGGUUGAAAUUUGAUGUGCGGUCUUAUUUUAAUAUAGCUAGGCCGCCUCUCGAAUUUCGUCGCGAUCGGAGACCGUCUCGUACCCGAACGGUCGACCGUAGCGGCAUCGUAUUCGGUCUACCGUCGGACGUUUGUCGGUGUUUUAAAUCGCGUUGCCACGCCGCCCGUUUUCCCUCUCGUCUCCGGUAAACCACCCUACACGGCCACUUACCCGUUCCCGCGUGCGGAAUCGUCCGAAUCCGACNCCCCCGAUCUCCCCGAGCUCGUCUGCUCUGCGUGCCCAUGCCCGCCGGCCACCGUUGCGGAUGCCAGCGCGCCACCCCGUUCCCGUGCUGCUCUGCCCUGGGCCUCGCCGCAGCUUGCAGGAGUAGGCCAGUCCCGUCGCCGCCGCCCUCCCAGGUCGGAGCUCACUCUUCUCCUAUCUUCUUCUUCUAUCUCCCGGCGCUCACUCUCUCCCUCACAGGUCCCGGGCGCCAUGCACGUGCAGCUCGCAGCAUAGGGCCUCGCCCUCGCCGGAAAGGGACGGAUCCAGCGCCGUCGGUCCAGAUCUGUCCGUUUCCCCUCGGGUCCCGUCGAUGGGCUCGCUCGCCGGAGCCCCCAGGAACCGCCGCCGCCGGCCUCCAUGUUCCAGCGAGAACGGAGCCAGCGCUCGCGCUAGCGUGCUGCUCGCGUCGCGUCAGUGGGUCGCGCCACGCUCCUGCGCCGGCCUCGCCCUGCCUCGCCUCUCUUGGGUCGCGACUCCCCAAGGCCCAGCCGAGCGCCUCCACCUCCCUGCAGCCUUCCUCCACGUCUGGGCUGCAACCCACUAGGGUGAGCACCCCUGCCCUGAGCUAUAUGGCGCCUAGGCGCAUUUUAGAUAUCUUGCGCCGCUGUUAGGCCCGUUAGUGUAUUAGGUUAUUUUUGGAUUUUUAUUUAAUCCAGAAAAUAAGUAAAUAUUUAGAUGCCCGUAUCUUUUAUUCCGUGUGUCGGAUAGCGACGUGUAGCAUAUGGUUUUCGGGUAGUUUUGCGUGUAGAAUUCGAUUAUAAAACUUGCAUAUUUGUCGUUUAGCGUGUCGUAUGCCUAGAAACGUGUGCUGUUCCAAUAGGUUUCGUCCCGUUUUAUUUUCUCGUGCGUGUCCGGAUUGCCCGAAUGCCUUAGAUAAAAUAUCCAUGUUUUAGGAACCACUUUUCCAUGUAUUUUAGAGUAGACGUUGGUAUUUUUGCGUGUAGGGAUUGCCGUUAGUUUAUUUUUCCGUGCUUAGGACAUUAUCUCGCAUGUACGUGUGACAUUAUUUUUGUUGUGCAACCCCACAUAUUUUAUAUGUUUUCGGGGUAGAAAUGGAUUUUCCUGUGCAAUUAGUUUUAGCUUUUGUGUAAAUUAGUUCGCGCGAUAUUUUGUCAUGUUGCCCUCUUGUCUUUUUUGUAGGAUUUAUUCUAUGCUUCGUUUGAAGGAGGUGUCAACUAGAGAGUUGAUCUUUGAUGUUUAGUCUAGCCCCUGGUAUUUUUGGUUGCAAUAGAAAUGCAUGUCUAGGUGUGGUUUGCUUGCUCUCAAGUUGCUAGAAAUAGUGCUGAUUUGGAGGUGCUGAAAUAUUUCUAUGUCUGAAAUCUGUUAUAUUUUGUUGUUGUCUUGUCUUGCUUCUAUCUUUUGAACUGUAGCUCUUUUGAGGUUGGUGCAAUGGAGUAAGUUGUAGACAUUGUGAUUCUCUAGCAUGCGAUAUAUUUUCAUGCCAUUGGAGUCCUGUAGCUAUAGGUUUUGGUGUUGUCAAUAUGCCUUCAGAUCGAAAACUGCACUUUCAUGAAGUGUAAUUUUCACCAAGUCUGAAAUAGUGUGUGAGAUGCCAUUUUGUGUCUUCUUUCCCUAGUGAUCCAUGAUGCCAUGCUAGUUGUCUUUAGUUGUUUGUUGUAGUGCUUCUUUCCCUCUUUCGUGUCAUGCCUUGGUUGAUUAUAUUUGAGUUGAGUAGCUCGUAGUUGUGGGGUGUAGAAAAUGCUAUGUGGCUGAUUUUGGCAGAUUGUAGUCAUUUUUUGUUUUGCUCGUAGUUUUUGAACGUAGCUCCAUUUUGAUCGUGUCCUAUAUGAAACUUGCUUAGAAUCUCGUGUAGUUUAAUUUUCUUUUGCUGUUUGUAUGUUUUGAAGUGCUCGUGACCGUCGUUGCACACAUAUUGCAUUCAUGCCAUCAUAUCUUGCGGUGCUUGUAACUUUUGAUCCGUAGCUCCGUUGGAGAUGUUCUCUAUGUGUAAAUUGCUUGUAACGACGCAUAGAAUCACGUGAACCUAUUUGUUUUGGUGUUUAACAACAAAUUAAAUGUGUUAGUUCAGAUCUGGACAGAAUUGUAAAUUAACAUGUGAGGUCAUCUCGGAGGUGUUAUAUGUCAUUUCCGACCUCUUUUAAAAUGCCUAGAUAGGUAGUUUAAUUAUGCUUCACCUCUUGCCAUGUUUAACCACAUUUAAUAUUGCCGUUUAUCUAAUCGGGAUAGAACUAAAUAAAUAAACGUGGAGUUUCGUCAAUGUGCAACUCGUUGCAUAUUGAACUUCACUUAAUGUGUAGUGUUUGAUUGUGUGAAUUGUCAUGCCGUGACUUGCAUGUAUUCAACUGCUCAUGCAUCAUAUGUGUUGUGCAUCGUGUGGUGUAUUCCGUAUGUUGAUUUAUGUUUUCGGUUUGCUUCGUCUCGAUAGAGUCCCGCAGCGUGCCGGAUUGUGAGGACCCGUUCGACUAUGUCAGUUCGUCUGCUUCACGGAGGCAUUCUUCUUCCAAGCGGGAUCUCAGGCAAGAUGACCAUUUCCCCACAUACCAUUACUAUCAUUGCCAUGCUAGUUUUACCGCUUCUAUCGUUAAUGUCUCGUUGCCUACCACAUGUUAAAAAUCAGCCUCUCAACAAUGCCAUGAUAACCUUCAACCUAUUCGACCUAGCAAACCACUGAUUGGCUAUGUUACUGCUUGCUUAACCAUGUUGUUAGCGUUGCUAGUUGCAGGUGUAGUUGCUUCCAUGUGAAAACAUGGGUCCCUUGUAAUAUCACCAUAUUAAUGCUAUUUAAUUUAAUGCACAUAUAUACUUGGUAAAAGGUGGAAGGCUUGGCCUUUCUAGCCUGGUGUUUUAUUCCACCUUGCCCCCUUAGUUUCAGCUACCGGUGUUAUGUUCCAUAUUUGAGCGCUCCUAACACGAUCGGGGUUGUUAUGGGGACCCCCUUGAUAAUUCGUUUUAGAUUAAAGCUGGUCUGGCAAGGACCAACAUUGGUACUACAUUUGCUCAACAUAAUAAUUCUUUUAAAUUGAAAUGCAUAGGGAGUUAGCGCUACCCCAGGAGUAACUCUACAUAAUUCAGGGGGGCCAGUGCUAAUGGUGUUGGUCCCAAAAGGGCAGACUGUGGGGCCACCACGGGGCAACUCGAGGUUUUAUACCUAUAGGCUUUUCCAUCUGUCGUGUCCUGAGAACGAGAUACGCGGCUCCUAUCGGGUUCGUCGACACGUCGGGCGGCCUUGCUGGAUUAGUUUUACCUUUGACGAGAUAUCUUCUGCAUCGGGGUUCCGGUGAUGCUUUGGGUAAUCUCAGAGUGGAGGUUUUCCACUAAGGAAUCCGAAGAGAUCGCGAGUGUCGUGAUCGAGGAUUUCUAUGCGGCUUGUGGUAAUUUGUGAUGGACUAGUUGGAGCACCCCUGCAGGGUUAAAUCUUUCGGAAAGCCGUGCCCGCGGUUAUGUGGCAACGUGGAAACUUUGUUUAACACUGGUUCUAGAUAACUUGAAGUUAACUUAAUUAAAAUAUGCCAACUGUGUGCGUAACCGUGACUGUCUCUUUCGUGAGUUCCUUCUGAAAACGGAUGCGCUAACGCGCAACGGCUUUCGCGCUAGUUGCUCAAAAAAUCGGGCAAAUAGGCUUCCUUUUUUAAGUGAAAUAGCCUUUUCUUUUCUUUCCUUUUCUCGUUUUACUGGGAAGGAUCGAACCAUGGGAACGAAUGAACAGGGCUAUCACCUUCUUUGGCCGGAUCUUCCAAUCUUUUUGAGGACACGGCGGGGUUAUGUUUGACGUAGGUAGGUGUUCAGGAUCAUUCAUUUGAUCAACAGUAAUUCACGUCCGUUAUGCGUAGAUCUUCCCCCUCUUAUUUCUUGUACUCGUAAGUUUAGCCACCAAAUAUAUGCUUAGCCGCUGCUGCAACCUCACCACUUAACCUUACCUCACCCAUUAAGCUUUGCUAGUCUUGAUACCUUUGGAAAUGAGAUUCCUGAGUCCCUUGUGGCUCACAGAUUACUACAACACCAAUUGCAGGUACAGGUAAAGGUUACUCGACGCGAGCGCGUUUAUUGUUCAUUUGGAGUUGCUUCUUCUUCUUCUUCUUCAUCGAUCUAGGAUGGGUUCCAGGCCGGCAGCCUGGGACAGCAAGGAUGGUCGUUGUUCUUCUUUUCUCGUUUGUUUUCGUCCGUAGUCGGACCCUGCUCUUAUUCAUGAUGUUGAUAUAUUGUACUGCUAUGACUCUGAUGUAGCUUGUGGCGAGUGUAAGCCAAUUCUAUUAUAUAUCUCUUCUUUUCAGUACAUGUACUUGUAACGAUAUCCAUUCUUGCGACACCAUGAGAUGUGCUUCUAUCCCUGACGAGGCCCUCGUGCCAAAUUGAGGAUAGGGUCGCAUCUUGGGCGUGACAAGUUGGUAUCAGAGCUGUACCGACCUAGGAGCCCCCUUGAUUGAUCGAACUUGGCCGAGUCGAGUCUAGUGAAAAAAAAUACUUUGAGUCUAGUUAUAUAUCGGAGAGUAGGAUUCUUUUUUCUCCUCUUCUAUGCUCUGCUGAGGAAUCUUGACGUAAUAAUUUAUUCUACUCCUCUUCUCACUCAAAAUUUUUUUAGGAUCACGCGGAUAUUUUUGGAAUCUAUAUGAUGCCGAUGUGACGGAGUUCUGUCUUGGUGCCUCCUGUCUGACUUGAUUUUCUUCCGGGGAGUUGAGCUCGAGAGGAUUCUUGAGCACAUCGUUAUCAUUCAGAUUUCUUAGUGUCUCAGAACGAAGGAUGUUUGUAAUUGCUUCAAUACUAGUAGUGGCGAGAUAACCCUGAUGUCCCCAGUACUGGUGCAGAUUGUUCGGGAGUACUGCCAUACUUUGUAUCAUUGUGAUCACGAGGGUCUGUUGUAGAUGAAGGUCCGAGAUUUUGGUUGUGUAUUGACGGAUGUGAUACAGGUGACGGGUUAGUAUAGGAGUUGUGUGAAUAUUACUCCUUGUAUUCGUGUACCACCUUGCAUGACAAGAUAUUUCGGGAAUUCAUAGGUGGGAGUUCAAGUAGUUGCUUAUAGGACAAUCUUCCAACAAAUGCAUGAUGUUAGGUUGGGGUUCGACAUCUAGUGGAUUCGUUUGUUGACGGUCGACUUACAGCGGUACACGUUGUGUCUUAAAGAGUCCUUGUAGCUUGCUACGACUCGGGGACGCUUCGUAUGUCGGGUGCACUGCCUUGCACUUGAUGGCUACUGUAAGGUUCGAGCCCGUGCGAUCAUGUCCACGAAAAUAUCGGACGAAAUCUUUCUCAUGAGUUUGUUCUGGCUAUUUGUAAGCCGCAUCCUUUGUUUUGUUGAAUAUGGUAAUUCAAGUUGCUUCGAUGUCAAGUGGUGAUUUCAGAUCUUUUCGAAGAGGUGUUCUCAUAUUUUUAUGUGAGAGUGCAAAUUCUUUUGUUCAUUCAAAUUGUCAUAUCAAUUAUUGUCAGCCGGAGUUGUUAUGUUAAUUCUUUUCCAACCGGUGUGUUUCUCUCCAAGUAAAUUCAAUCCUCUCUAAUUUUGCAGGAUCAUUCUCUCAUUUUAUUCCGGAGUUCAUCUCAUCUGUCCCAAGUCGUCUUUGUUUUUUUCCCGCCCUCCCACCCUUUUUCUUCGGUGAUUGGAUUUCAUCCAAGCGCAUUCACUUCAUUGUGCUUGUGCUAUCUCUUCUUCCUUUCGUAUCCGUUUAUUCAUUGUGAAGAUUUUCAGGAGCUUAGUGUUCAUCUUUAUUGAGUCUUGUUAUCUUUUCCGGUGAAUUCAGUUCAAGCUAUCUGUGUUCUUCAUAUCGUUUUCAUCCUUUCAAUUCUUUCCCAUUAUGGAGAUUCUUAUCAACCUAUCUUGUUUAUUCAGUUAUCUCUAUUCUAUCUGGAGCGUUGAAGUUAUCUCAGAAUUCUUGUUCUCAAUUCUUAAUUAUUUCGAGGUUCUCAACCUCAUCUAGUUCUCUUCAUACCGGUGCAAUAUCCCUCUUUCAAGCAAUCUUUUCAACGGUGGUUUCUUCGAGUGGGCCCAUAACCCACAGGUUUUUCCCAGGAUCUUAUAUAGCUCUGUAAUUUUUCCGGAGAUCUCUAUAUUCUUUUCAACUAUGAUGUAAUUAUGAUUUUCAUCAGUCAUAUUCCUUCUUCAAGAUCAAUUUGAAUUAGUUCUCAUAUUUGGAUCAAUCUUGCAUUAUUCUUUAUUCCGGAGUGUCUCAGUUAUUCUUGGUGGUGUUCUCCUCGUCAUUGUCAGCUUCAAGACCGAAGGAGUGUUUUUCUCAAUCUUGGUCCAUUCUCUUCAUGAUUCAUCGUUUCAGCCUUCUGGCAUCGUCUUGAAUUAUUCCCAAUCAUGAGUAAUUCUUUUCUUCCUAUCCGGUGCAUUUUUGAGUUGUUUUCAUUCUCGUUCCUCCGAAGGCCAUCAUUUUAGAAGAUUCUUCAUUCUCAGCUUUCAGCUUUCAUCCUCAAUUCUUCUCCAUUGUUGUCUCUUCGUUCGUCUCUCGUUUAUCCGGUGUCUUGUUUAAGUUUUUCUCUUAGGUGGCUCAUGAUCUCUUCAUUCUCAUGUGUCUCCAUUCAUUCAUGGUGGCCUCAUUAUUUCAAUUCUUACCGGUGCUUCCUGCAAUUUUGCCUCAAGUGGUGCUUAUCUCUCUAUCUCUUCAAGAUUCUUUCAAGAGGAAUAAGUUGUAUGCUAAAUCCGUUGCUUGUCAUCAAUUAAACUUUAUGAAGGAUAAGCAUAACAUAAUUCUUAUUCUUGUUCAUAGUAAUCUGAAUUCUUCUUCCGGAGUGGCUCAUGAUAUCAAUUCUUUUUUCUCAAAGUGUUCUUCAAGAUUCUUGUUGGAGUACCUCAAGUAUUAUUUCUCUUGCAUUUCCAAUGUGUUGUUCUUCCUUUAUCCUUUGAGGUGGUAUUAUAGAUUUCUUGUAGUGUAGGAGCCUCAAAGAGUUUUCCUUUCAAGAAUGAGAUAAUUAAACCCACCAAUUCUAUGUUCAUGGGAUAUUUUUUAACCCAUGAUUUCUUCAUUGAGCUAUUUCGGGUUGGAUUUCACUUAAAGCUUUUCCUAUGGAUUGUGCUAUCAUGGUGCUUGUCACUAAUCCAAGUUCUCAAUGUAUCCUCUUGGUGUAAGAAGUUUCAUAUCUUUGCUUUCAACCUAUCCUUGUUUCUUUUAGUGGUUGGUGUCACCUCAUAUAUGUUGAGAUGAAUUUCAUAAGCCCACUACGAUUUUGUUCUUCGUUGUUGGUUUUCCAACUACUACGUCAAUUCUCUGUCCGGAGACUCUUCAGUUCUAUUGUGAUGGCAGUUGUCAUUCUUUUCUUCAUUCUCUUCUUCCGGUUGAGCUAGUUCAUAUUCUCUUGUUCCGCAGGCAUUAUGAUGUUGCUCUUUGGGUCUAUUAACUUGUUCUAUCAAGAUCUUGGUGUUCCCUUGCUCUAUUUAGUUGUUUGUUAUGUAUAUUGUAUAAUUCUCUCUUCUUAUCGAAUUUUUUGUCCCAUUUUCCUACCGAAGUGCUGCCGAAAUUUUCCGUGAAUUCUUGCUUGUUUCUCGUAUCAUUCCUCAUCUCUUUGCAACCUUCAAAGAUCGUUGGUUUCACUCGUUUGUCAAAGAAGCGACUAAAUAUUUACCUCUUGUUCUUCUCAUCCUCUCCCCCUUUCAUUCUUGGAUCUCGGGGCGAGAUCCUCUUGUAGUGUAGAAGAGUUGUGACAGCCCGAUGCCGACGUUCCAGAAGAUUCCCCCCUUUAUUCCGUUUUCGUCGCGUGUCUAUUUUCUUUUGUCGAAUCAUCAUCGCAUCAUGCGCAUCAUCUGCAUUGCAUCGGCAUCUCCAUUGCCGCCAGUUUUCAAACUUGCAUCCGUUGUUAGUUGCCGGUUCUCGUCGUUGUCCGUUCUGAGUUCGACCACACUCGCACGCGACCGCGGCAUCGUCAAAUCCCUGUUUUCAAAGUGUGCGUAAAACUUUCUUCGAUGAGGUUGAAAUUUGACGUGUGGUCUUAUUUUAAUAUAGCUAGGCCGCCUCUCGAAUUUCGUCGCGAUCGGAGACCGUCUGGCACCCGAACGGUCGACCGUAGCGGCACCGUAUUCGGUCUACCGUGGGACGUUUGUCGGUGUUUUAAAUCGCGUUGUCGCGCCGCCCGUUUUCCCUCUCGUCUCCGGUAAACCACCCUACACGGCCACUUACCCGUUCCCGCGUGUGGAAUCGUCCGAAUCCGACCGCACGGUUGGAUCCGGAACACAAUUCCGGCUAACCUAGCCCCCCUUAUUUGUCUAUAAAUAGACCGUGUGCAUAUAUUUUUUUAGACAACCCCUCCUUCCACCUCGGGAAAUGCGCCCACCUACCCCCUAACCCUAGCCGCACAGCCACUCUCUCCCACCAGCCGCCAGCCACCGUGGGACCGAGCCGCCGCCGCCCGCAUUCUGCCCCCGAUCUCCCUGAGCUCGUCUGCUGUGCGUGCCCAUGCUCGCUGGCCGCCGUUGCGGAUGCCUGCGCGUCGCCCCGUUCCCGUGCCGCUCCGCCCUCGGCCUCGCCGCAGCUCGCCAGANCGAGCGCCUCCACCUCCCUGCAGCCUUCCUCCACGUCUGGGCUGCAGCCCACUAGGGUGAGCACCCCUUGCCCUGACCUAUAUGGCGCCUAGGCGCAUUUUAGAUGUCUUGCGCCACUGUUAGGCCCGUUAGUGUAUUAGGUUAUUUUUGGAUUUUUAUUUAAUCCAGAAAAUAGGUAAAUAUUUAGAUGCCCGUAUCUUUUAUUCCGUGUGUCGGAUCGCUACGUGUAGCAUAUGGUUUUCGGGUAGUUUUGCGUGUAGAAUUCGAUUAUAAAACUUGCAUAUUUGUUUGACGUCGUUUAGUGUGCCGUAUGCCUAGAAACUUGUGCUGUUCCAAUAGGUUUCGUCCCGUUUUAUUUUCUCGUCCGUGUCCGGAUUGCCCGAAUGCCUUAGAUAAAAUGUCCAUGUUUUAGGAACCACUUUUCCAUGUAUUUUAGAGUAGACGUUGGUAUUUUUGCGUGUAGGGAUUGCCGCUAGUUUAUUUUUCCGUGCUUAGGACAUUAUCUCGCAUUUACGUGUGACAUUAUUUUUGUUGUGCAACCCCACAUAUUUUAUAUGUUUUCGGGGUAGUUUUAGCUUUUGAGUAAAUUAGUUCGCGCGAUAUUUUGCCAUGUUGGCCUUUUGUCUUUUUCGUAGGAUUUAUUCUAUGCUUAGUUUGAAGGAGGUGUCAACUAGAGAGUUGAUCUUUGAUGUUUAGUCUAGCCCCUGGUAUUUUUGGUUGCAAUAGAAAUGCAUGUUUAGGUGUGGUUUUCUUGCUCUCAAGUUGCUAGAAAUAGUGCUGAUUUAGAGGUGCUGAAAUAUUUCUAAGUCUGAAAUCUGUUAUAUUUUGUUGUUGUCUUGUCUUGCUUCUAUCUUUUGAACUGUAACUCUUUUGAGGUUGGUGCAAUGGAGUAAGUUGUAGACAUUGUGAUUCUCUAGCACGAUAUGAAUUUUCAUGCCAUUUGGAGUCCUGUAGCUAUAGGUUUUGCUGCUGUCAAUAUUCCUUCAGAUCGAAAACAACACUUUCAUGAAGUGUAAUUUUCACUAAGUCUGAAAUAGUGUGUGAGAUGCCAUUUUGUGUCUUCUUUCCCUAAUGAUCCAUGAUGCCAUGCUAGUUGUUUUUAGUUGUUUGUAGUAGUGCUUCUUGCCCUCUUUCGUAUCAUGCCUUGUUUGAUUAUAUUUGAGUUUAGUAGCUCGUAGUUGUGGGGUGUAGAAAAUAUUAUGUGGCUGAUUUUGGCAGAUUGUAGUCAUUUUUUGUUUUGCUCGUAGUUUUUGAACCGUAGCUCCAUUUUGAUCGUGUCCUAUAUGAAACUUGCUUAGAAUCUCGUGUAGUUUCAUUUUCUUUUGCUGUUUGUAUGUUUUGAAGUGCUCGUGACCGUCGUUGCACACAUAUUGCAUUCAUGCCAUCAUAUCUUGCGGUGCUUGUAACUUUUGAUCCGUAGCUCCGUUGGAGAUGUUCUCUAUGUGUAAAUUGCUUGUAACGACGCGUAGAAUCACGUGAACAUAUUUGUUUUGCUGUUUAACAACCAAUUAAAUGUGUUAGUUCAGAUCUGGACAGAAUUGUAAAUUAACAUGUGAGGUCAUCUCGGAGGUGCUAUAUGUCAUUUCCGACCUCAUUUAAAAUGCCUAGAUAGGUAGUUUAAUUAUGCUUCACCUCUUACCAUGUUUAACCACAUUUAAUAUUGCCGUGUAGCUAAUCAGGAUAGAACUAAAUAAAUAAACGUGGAGUUUCAUCAAUGUGCAACUCGUUGCAUAUUGAACUUCACUUAAUGUGUAGUGUUUGAUUGUGUGAAUUGUCAUGCCGUGACUUGCAUGUAUUCAGAUGCUCAUGCAUCAUAUGUGUUGUGCAUCAUGUGGUGUAUUCCGUGUGUUGAUUUGUGUUUCCGGUUUGCUUCGUCUCGAUAGAAUCCCGCAGCGUGCCGGAUUGUGAGGACCCGUUCGACUACGUCGGUUCGUCUGCUUCACGGAGGCAUUCUUCUUUCAAGCGGGAUCUUAGGCAACAUGACCAUUUCCCCAGAUACCAUUACUAUCAUUGCCACGCUAGUUUUACUGCUUCUAUCGUUAAUGUCUCGUUGCCUACCACAUGUUAAAAAUCAGCCUCUCAACAAUGCCAUGAUAACCUUCAACCUGUUCGACCUAGCAAACCACUGAUUGGCUAUGUUACUGCUUGCUUAACCAUGUUGUUAGUGUUGCUAGUUGCAGGUGUAGUUGCUUCCAUGUGAAAACAUGGGUCCCUUGUAAUAUCACCAUAUUAAUGCUAUUUAAUUUAAUGCACCUAUAUACUUGGUAAAAGGUGGAAGGCUCGGCCUUUCUAGCCUGGUGUUUUGUUCCACCUUGCCCCCUUAGUUUCGGCUAUCGGUGUUAUGUUCCAUAUUUGAGCGCUCCUAACACGAUCGGGGUUGUUAUGGGGACCCCCUUGAUAAUUCGUUUUAGAUUAAAGCUGGUCUGGAAAGGCCCAACAUUGGUACUACAUUUUCCCAACAUAAUAAUUCUGUUAAAUUGAAAUGCAUAGGGAGUUAGCGCUACCUGAGGAGUAAUUCUACAUAAUACAGCGGGGGCCAGUGCUGAUGGUGUUGGUCCCAAAAGGGUAGUCUGCGGGGCCACCAUGGGGCAACUCGAGGUUUGGUACCUGUAGGCUUUUCCAUUCGUCGUGUCCUGAGAACGAAAUACGCGGCUCCUAUCGGGUUCGUCGACACGUCGGGCGGCCUUGCUGGAUUAGUUUUACCUUUGACGAGAUAUCUUGUGCAUCGGGAUUCCAGUGAUGCUUUGGGUAAUCUCAGAGUGGAGGUUUUCCACUAAGGAAUCCGCCGAGAUCGCGCGCGUCGUGAUCGACGAUUUCUAUGCGGCUUGUGGUAAUUUGUGAUGGACUAGUUGGAGCACCCCUGCAGGGUUAAAUCUUUCGGAAAGCCGUGCCCGCGGUUAUGUGGCAACGUGUAAACUUUGUUUAACAGUGGUUCUAGAUAACUUGAAGUUAACUUAAUUAAAAUAUGCCAACUGUGUGCGUAACCGUGACUGUCUCUUUCGUGAGUUCCUUCUCCGAUCAAGGACACGGUGGGGUUAUGUUUGACGUAGGUAGGUGUUCAGGAUCAUUCAUUUGAUCAACAGUAGUUCACGUCCGUUAUGCGUAGAUCUUCCCCCUCUUAUUUCUUGUACUCGUAAGUUUAGCCACCAAAUAUAUGCUUAGCCGCUGCUGCAACCUCACCACUUAACCUUACCUCACCCAUUAAGCUUUGCUAGUCUUGAUACCUUUGGAAAUGAGAUUGCUGAGUCUCCUGUGGCUCACAGAUUACUACAACACCAGUUGCAGGUACAGGUAAAGGUUACUUGACGCGAGCGAGUUUAUUGUUCAUUUGGAGUUGCUUCUUCUUCUUCUUCUUCAUCGAUCUAGGAUGGGUUCCAGGCCGGCAGCCUGGGAUAGCAAGGAUGGUCGUCGUUCUUCUUUUCUCGUUUGUUUUCAUCCGUAGUCGGACCCUGUUCUUAUUCAUGAUGUUGAUAUAUUGUACUGCCGUGACUCUGAUGUAGCUUGUGGCGAGUGUAAGCCAAUUCUAUUAUAUAUCCCUUCUUUUCAGUACAUGUACUUGUAACGAUAUCCAUUCUUGCGACACGACGAGAUGCGCUUCUAUCCCUGACGAGGCCCUCGUGCCAAAUUGAGGAUAGGGUCGCAUCUUGGGUGUGACACUGAGAUACCGCAACACCGGCCACCCGGGUGCCGGCACAAGCCGCCGGCUCCCCCUUGCGAGCCUGUCCCUAUCUAGUCGUCACAGGUUACAACGUGGGGUGCCUCCUCAUAUAUAAGAGGCUAAGGGUACGACGUGUCCGACUACGACACUACAUGUAUCCUACCCACACUACAACACCAAGUCCAUAUGUAACCCAACUCGUACAUCAAUAUUCGACACAACUCUAAGCCUUCGCGGCAACUCCGACGACCUCGCAACACCGGCUCACAGCAUGGCAGAGCCGUCGCAGCAACUUCGACGACCUCGCAGCACCGGCUCGCAACAUGAUGGUGCCAUCAAUGCAACUCCGGUGAUCUCGCAGCACCGGCUCGCAGCACGACGGAGCGGUCGCAACAACUGCGGUGACCUCGCAGCACCGGCUCGUAGCAGGACCGAGCCGUUGGAGCAACUCCAUCGACCUCGUAGCACUUGCUUGCGGCACGACGGAGCCGUCACAGCAACUCUAGUGACCUCGUAGCACCGGCUCGCAGCACGGCGGAGCCGUCGCGGCAACUCCGGCGACCUCGCAGCACCGGCUCGCAGCACGGCAGAGCCGUCGCAACAACUCCGGCGACCUCGCAGCACCGGCUCACAGCACGACAGAGCCGUCACAACAACUUCGACGACCUCGCUGCACCGGCNACUACGAUGACCUCGCAACACCUGCUCGCGGCACGGCGGAGCCGUCGCGGCAACUCCGGUGACCUCGCGGCGCCGGCUCGCGGAACGACGGAGCCGUCGCGGCAACUCCGGCAACCUCGCAGCACUAGCUCAUAGCACGGCAGAGCCGUCGCAGCAACUCCGACGACCUCGCAGCACCGGCUCACAGCGCGGUAGAACCAUCGCAGCUCACGCAACAAGCGCAAUGGUAACCAUCCGUUUCUCGAGUGAGAUGUGAAACGAGAGAGUGGAAGACGAGAGACCGAUUUAGAUUAAAAAAAAUGAGUGGUGGAGGUGCUUCGGGAGGAGAUAAAAAAAGAAAUAAGCGGUUGUAGGCCUCAUUAAACAGGUGUCCCUCGCGCGACGCUGCUACCGGUUAGGCUACGUGCAUCCGAGUGUUUCGAAGUUGUUUCCCGUAUAUAAAGGGAAUUGUUUAUACCCGGCGCGCCGGCCGAGUCUUCCGCCGGUCGCGCGCGGGACAUGAGAUACACUUUUAAUCAAGUGGUCCUCGUUCACCCAUCCAGCCCAUGUGUGGUAGACUCUUUUCUAGCCACAUAUCCAGUGCCUUAUCCAUCCACCAACCGCUCUUCUUCCUCCACCAGUUCUUCUCCUGGCCACUGAAAAAGCUUGGAGAGCAUGGAAUGAAAAGCUUCAAUCCAUGAGACAAAGCUUCAAUCCAUGAGACAAAGCUUCAAUCCAUGAGACAAAGCUUGUUCGGCGGCUCCAGCGAACAAGCCGACGAGCAGCUCCAGCGAGCGGCUCUGACAAGCGCGCCGACGAGCAGCUCCAGAGAGCGGUUCCGACGAGCAUGCUGACUUGCACGCCGACGAGCGGCUCCGACGAGCGUGCUGGUGAGUACGCCGACGAGCAAGCUAGCAGGAGGCGGUGAGAGCGAGGUGAGGAAUUUUUUUUUCUGGAUCGGACGAUUUCAUGUACAUGUAUCUUACGCUGGGGCGUUGACCGGUCGUAACGUCUGCGCCGGCACGCCGACCCAGAGGGUUGCCCAUAUAUAAACCCUCCAUGACGAAGAAAAUUUAUAUAAAGCCGGCAGGCCGGCAUCCUCAACUUCUCUCCUCGGUUCUACCCGAAAGCCGUUACUCCUAAAAACCAAACAGUAGAAUAGAAUACCCCAAGAGAAAAACACAAAGAACUAGAGCUUCUAGUUCGGUCGAGUAUCAGGCUAUCAGCAAUGGUAGACUUGACCAAGAUCGCCAUGGAAAUGGACUGGCUCCAAGAUCCGCUGAGCUGGCUGUUCGUUGCCUCCGUGNNNNNNNNNNNNNNNNNNNNNNNNNNNNNNNNNNNNNNNNNNNNNNNNNNNNNNNNNNNNNNNNNNNNNNNNNNNNNNNNNNNNNNNNNNNNNGGGCAUCAACGUGCGCCUCCGCACCGCGCGCGCCGCGCUCGACCAGUUCAUCGACAAGAUCAUCGACGAGCACAUGAUGAGGGGCAGGAACCCCGACGACGCCGACGCCGACAUGGUGGAUGGCAUGCUUGCUUUCCUCCCUGAGGCGAGGCCCAACAAGACCGCCGGCGACGGCAGGGAAGACCUGCAGAACACGCUCCGCCUCACCCGUGACAACAUCAAGGCCAUGAUCAUGGUUCGUAUAUCGAAACUUCCAUCAAUUAUUUACUGCCAUAUAUACUAUGCGCCAAAAACACAGUAAUUUUCUAAGAAUUACUCCUAGUUUAGUUUUAUUCAACUCUUUAGCUCCCAGAUCUGGACAUCAAGAUCCGUGUAGAAUUUUUGUUUUACAUACAAAACGCUGUUUAUUUGUUGAUGUCAUAAGACCGGACCGAGUGCAUUUAAAACCUCAAAAUUCAAAAGUGCAUGUAUAUAUGGGAAACUAAGAUGAAUUUGUUAGUACUAGUACAGUAUGCUUUUUAAAAUAAAAUGUGCAUGUAUAUGUAUGUAUGUAUGUAUGUACUGCAGGACGUGAUGUUUGGCGGGACGGAGACGGUGGCGUCGGCGAUCGAGUGGGCAAUGGCGGAGAUGAUGCACUACCCCGACGACCUCCGACGUCUGCAACAAGAGCUCGCCGACACGGUGGGUCUCGACCGGAACGUGAACGAGUCGGACCUCGACAAGCUUCCCUUCCUCAAGUGCGUCAUCAAGGAGACGCUUCGAUUGCACCCGCCCAUCCCGAUGCUCAACCACGAGAAUGCCGAGGACUGCGUCGUCGACGGCUACUCCGUGCCCCGGGGCUCCCGUGUCAUUAUCAACGUCUUUGCCAUCGGCCGUGACAUCAACGCGUGGAAGGACCCCGACAUGUUCCGACCUUCACGGUUCAUGGCGGGGGAAGGGGAGGCCGCCGGGGUCGACUUCAAGGGCGGGUGCUUUGAGUUCCUGCCAUUUGGGUCCGGCCGCCGCUCGUGCCCUGGUAUGGCGCUCGGCUUGUACUCGUUGGAGCUCGCCGUCGCGCAGCUCGCCCAUGGGUUCAACUGGGAACUGCCCAACGACAUGAAGCCGUCGGAGCUCGACAUGAGUGAUGUCUUCGGCCUCACCGUUCCUCGCGCCACCAGGCUCUGCGUCGUGCCCACGCCUCGACUUACCUGCUCUUUGGUUGCUGAUGAUGAUGAUGAUGAUGAUGCGCGCCAGGUGUGAUGCCAUACGCGCAUGCAUCUAUUAUUUUUUUUUUUGAAAGAUCCAGCUGCUGGCUGGCAUAUAUUAAGAUAGCAGAAAGCAUGGCGGGAAUAAAAAGGGUGGGGUUGAUCAAAAGAUCAAAAGGACAUAACAGGAAGAAAUCGCGGAAAAAAUGCUGAAAAACAGGAAAAUCUGGCGCAGACUUUGUACUCCUCACGUGAUUUUCCCGAACGGGUGCUCUAGGAAAACUGCUCCAGCUUGCCUCCAAGAUUGGAGAGUUGUGGAGAUGGAGGUGGAUAUGCUCGCGGCUCUUGCUGUUUUGUUUCUGAAAGUGCACUCAUUUCUUUCUUUCCAGAUUUCUGAUAGAACGAGGACGAUCAUUGUCCUAGCUCCUUUUUUGUAUUCUGGUCUUGCCUUGCUUAUCAUGCUCAAGCUAGCACCGAAACAUGGCUCACCGUGGCGGAGCCUGCCUCAUGUCAUCGUCAAAGAGCCUAGGGCGAGGACCUGAGGGGAUCUCCUACUCAUCGCUAGCUAGCGAUUGGGACAACCCACUAUAGAAAUAGAGACAUGUCUCUUGUUUUCCUCUUGAUUUUCGACUUUCUGGCUGGUUUUCUCCCAAGGACAUCGACCACAAUAGAAAGAUAGUAAAAAACGUAGAGUUUAAAGAUGUACUAAAUUUCAAAAAAUGCAAAUGAAACUGAAAAAUGUUCAUGUUUAAAAAAGCAUGAAUUAAAAAUAUCCAAUAAUAGAAAGAAAAAAAGUUCUCUUACACAAAGUAGUUUCGAAUUUUAAGAAAUAUUUUCACUUUUUAAAACAAAAGCAUGAAUUUAAAAAUAAUAAUGUAUACAAUAGAAUUUCUAAAAAUAUACAAAAUUUACUUUUUUUAAUAACGAAAAAUAAAACCAAAAAAAGAACCAGACCAUAGUGGAGAACAAGAGGGAAAAAGGAUAACCUGAAAAACCCAUGAUAGUACGUGCCUAACAGAGAAAAUGGAAAAAUGGGAUGUACUCGCUCCGAACAAUAAAUGGCCUGACCCAUAGCGUUACCCUGGUACGGUUGCUCCAUAGAACGUCACAAAGUGUUGUAUUGUACGGGGGUGUGGCUAUGUCUUGAGAGCAAUUAAGUAAGGAUGUGGCUAGACAGCACAUGAACGCUUGAUGGACUCCUCGAACACACCCACCAUAUUAAAAAAUGGGCAUGGCUAGGGAGCGUCCACGCGCUCGUUCGCUUGAUGGCAAACAUUUCCUUUUACGAAGGAAACCACGUGAUUUUUUUUAUGACUGCGUGAUUCUCUAACAAACAAAGAUCUAAAAAGGAAAUCAAUCAACAUCUAUGUGAUGGGCAUUUAUUUGAGGUUUAUUUUAAAAAAUACUUUUGAUUCGAGUGUCAAAAUUGACAUCCAUUUUCAUUGUUGGAUUUCUCAUGAGGAGUUUUUCAAAACUAGAUAAUACAUUUCGUCGAAUUUUUUUGUGAGCAACUUUAGAUGCAAUGGAGGCAACUUAGUGAUAUAGAGAAGCAACUUCUUCUUUUUUGGCCUAGUAAGACCGCCAAUAAAGUUGGUUUGUGUAAAUGAGAAAAUUCACACAAAACAUGAGGCACCUUUAGUGCUACAUACAAGCAACUUCACUACAUUAUGUGUGCCUUUGGAUUUUUCUAACAUUAUCUCGACUUUCCUAUCAUCGUUGUUCAGUUGCCUAUGGUUGAUGAUUAGUUACCUAUUGAUGAUGAUUAGUUGUCUAUUGUUGAUGCUUCGCUGUCUAUAAAUACCAUGAAAUUGCCUACUAUUGAUGCACAUUUUGCGUGCUAUUGGUAAUUAGCUGCCUCCCAUUACUGCUCUGUUGCCUAACUUUGUAAAAUAGUUGCCUACGGUAUUGUGAAGUUGCUUAUCUUCUCUAAGUUGCCUACAAACACUCUGAAGUUUCCUACCGGUGAUGCCUAGUUGCCUACCAGUGCUAUUUCAGCUGCUUACAAAACAUUGAAAGUUCUCCAUGAGUGUUGCAAAGUUGCCUAUCUAUGAAACAUGGUUGCUUACCAUACCGAAAAGUGUUGUAUGCAACUAAGGAUGAUGUUAAGCUACUCGCUAGUCAUGACAGGCAACUUAGGAUAAUGUUAGCAUGUCUCAAAAACUAAGUUGCUUACAAAACUAUCAACUCGGAGGCGAAACUAGUUAUGGUAGAGUACUUGCUAGCUUUGGUAGGAACUUAGAGGCAAAACUAGUAAACUUGGUAGUCAUGGUAGCCAGGUUUGAAGUUAUUUCUGAUGAUAGGAAUUCAUACUACGCACACUAACAAAAAGUUGCUUUCCUAUAGCACUAAAAUUAUCUCCAUGGCAUCCAAAGUUUCUCUAAAUAAAAUUUCACCGAAAGAUACUCAUAUGGGAUCUAGUUUUGCAGAACACAUCACAAGAAACACAACCGUGAAACUCGAUUUGAAUUCCAAUGUUCAAAUCAACAGUUACAGAUUUUUAAGUUUUUUGUAACCCCGAAUAAAUGCAUUCACGUGGGAUCUUGCUGAAAAUUUGUGGGGCCGGAGGGUGCGGGGGACCAGGUGCUUUUCUUUCACGUUAAUUCAUCUAUGUAAGCCCCACAAUGGGUUUGGUUUUAAUUCAGUCUCCUCGGUCGAAUGGCUAAGAUAGUGUGCGCUCGCAACAAUGGAAAAGUGCAGGUGCACUUUCUAGCAUUUGGGUUAGAAAUUUGAUGUGACAUGUUAUCCUAGCCUAUCAAAAAAGGAAAGUACAUAGUUUUCCAUCCUCACUUUACCUCACCCUAGAGAGACCACUUGCAUUUAUUUGGGGUUUCAAAAAAUUUAAGAAGUCAUAACUUUUGAUCUAAGUGUCAUAAUUUAGAUCCGAUUUUAUUAUUGGGUUUCUUUCGACGAGUUCUUCAAAACUAGAUCUCAUAUGAGUAGGUUUCGACAAACUUUUUUUUGAGCAAAUUUUUAUGCUAUAGAGACAACUUUAGUGCUAUAGGAAAGCAACUCCUUGAUCAAUUGACUAGAUUCACCUCUAGGCCGCCUACCAUAAGGACAACUUCAAUGCAGAUCACCAAAUAACCCCAAAUGUCGGGAUCGACCUCUGUAGACACCUUUAACCAUCCAUUCGAGGUAACUUAAUAUCGGAGGAGGAAACCAUACCUGCCUACCACGAACCUAACACAUCAUCCACCAUCUUCCAGAUGUCGCCGAUGCAGGCCACAUUCUGCAUACCUCCCAAGCUCCGCAUCGGUUUUGGAGCAAAUUAGGUCGCAAUGGCAGAGCCUGAGGACGCAGAUCCACCACGCGGCCACACCAUCCUUAGUUGAAUGGACUGGUUUCCAAAUCCAACCCCAACGGAGAUCGCCUCGUCGGGCAAGGAUCUUAAAACAUUUUAUUCGACAUCGCCAUCAUCACUGUUGAAGCCAAUAUGAUGAACAACCCAAACCCUACAAGCUACUAAUGUCUAAAACGAUCCACACGCGUGGAUCCGACAAUCCCCCUCACCACCGACAAUCGAGGUCAUCGACGCAGGGAAGCCGCCGGAGGACGGCAUCCCUCUUGCGACGGCGGAGGCUAGAUAUCUUUUCUUUAUUACCUUUAAAGAAAGAAGACUUGGCUAUCUAGUGCUCACAAUUUGACAGUAGGACUCAGGAUCGGAUCCCAGUGUGCACUUUAUUAUUUUUCAUCUUCCUAUGUUGACAUGUGGGGUUCCUGCAUCUAUUGUACAUUCACAUAGUGCCAUGUGUAUCACGGGGCAUAGUCAAAACCAUAUGUGUAAUGUAUUCUCAAGUUUCGGGACCGUAUUGUAGCAUUCCGCGAGUUUGAGGAUUGUUUUAUUACGUGCCAAUUAAUAUAAGGACCAUACAUGUAAUGUACUCAGGUUUGGGGAACUGAAAGGUCAUUUUUGGUGGCCUAGGAGUACGCCAAGUAGUCCAUUCAACCGUCGCCACAUGUCGUGAGUUGGGGAAAGUGAAAAGAAUGGGAUUUCAACCCUCUCUACACAAAAUUCUACAUAGGAGUAUCACCUUGACCCGCUCGGUCAGUUCUCGUACAUAACUUAUCAUGGAAGAUAAGCUGAGUGAAUAGCGAGUUUUCUUAUUCCUGUCAUACACAUACGACCACAACCGCUCGGGUGUUCCAUAGUUCCAUGCACCCUCUACAUUUUAUUUGGCUUGUCAACAAAAGGUCAAGCUAUUCAACAAAGUCCAAGAUGGUCAACAAAAGCCAACCAUUUUCAAGGAAAUCAACAUAAGUCCAAGACAAUCAACAAAAGACCAAGCAAUUUUUCAUGUCACAUGUUAAAGAAGAAGACAAAAUAAAAAGAUCAAACUCAACAAUGAAGACAAGAAGAUCAGAAGUCAGAGACUAGAUGACGUGCAACUAGCCAAAAGCCCAUCUAUGUAGUGAUGAAGUGGAGUGUUGCACCAUGGACCAUAGACGAGGACGUCAAGCCUCUCGAAACGCCUAUAUGGACCGACCCACCUAUUUGUUAAUCAGUGUCACUCGCUUGAUGCGAUUAUUAUUAUUAUUUCUCACGUUGAUAUGCUCAGCUCGGCUCAUUAUCGUUCUACUGCUCCGACUAUCAGUUUUUUUGUUUUCAGAAUUUUUGUUAAUUUGUUUUUCAAGAUUUUUAAAAAAUAUCAGGAAUUCAAAAAAAUAUUCAUGAAUUUUUGAAAAUAUAUCAAUAAAAAAAUUCCAAAUUUUUUAGAGCAAACGUGAUUUUUUUACAUGACAAGAAAAGGAAGGGGGGAGUACACCCAGCAGCAAAGCAUGAAAAGAAAAAGGAAAAAUCAAACCAAAAGCAUCACUUUUUAGGGUAACCACAACGGCAGUUCCUAGUUCCUAUUCGGCGCUUAGGUCGGUGUCUAGCGACCUAGCGCAUACCCCUAGUGUGCCUGUCCACAGGAUGGGCCGGCCAAGUCUGUUUUUCUUUACCCGGUUUUGGAAAGGUUCUAGAACAUUCUAUGAACCGUUUUUUCCUUUUUAUUCUUAUGAUUUUUAUUCCAAAUUUCUCCAUUUUUCUAUUUUUCAUUUUCCUUUUAAAUUUUAAAUUUCCCUUCUUCUUUUUCAUGUUUGCAAACAUCCUUUCCAUUAUUUGGAUUAUAUUUUUACAAAAUUGGGUACUUUUUUAGAGAUUGUAAACAUUUUUGAAUUUGUGAAUAAUUUUUAUGACACCGUGAACAAUUGUUAAACUUGUGAAAAUUUUAAAAAUAUCCGAACAUUUUUUUGAAAUUGUGAACGAUUUUUAAAAACUUGUGAACAUUUUUGGAAUCUGUGAACAUUAUUUAAAUGGAUGAUAAUUUUGCUGAAUUGGUAAAGUUUUUUUGAAUUGAUGAUCAUUUUAUUGAAAUGGUGAACCUUUUUUGAAUCAAUGAACUUUUUUGUUUGACAAACACUUUUUUUGAAUCAGUGUUUUUGCCCUUGACCAUGCCCGAAAAGACCAUUGCCGAAGGCAGCGCCAAGGAGAUGUCCGGUGCUCGGGACAUGCGGCCUGGCGAGAAAUUGUUUGACACCCCCACCUUUGACUACUCUUCAUGGACUAAUGGGUCAAGCUUUAUCAUACUACCUCUCCUACAUACCACCAUCAGUGGUACCCUUAGUCAUUUGUCAAGGCGCUCCCCCUUUAUAAGGCCAUCAUGGGCAUGUAAUUCGGUCACUCUCAUCAUGUUAAUAAACUUGAGGGGAGGGCACUAGAGAUUUUAGAGUUUGCUCCCAAGACACUCAAGGAUCGAGUCAUAGAUGUUGCAUCGCGAUUCAGAUCGACAAUAGAGAUCUCGGCCUACUUCCAAAACACUCUAGGGUCAAGACUGUUAUGGCGUAUCGCAACUUCGACCCACCUUGACCGGGAGUUUAGGAGAGUGUUUCAGGGAGUCGUGUCAUGACUCAAAGCGUGUGACGGUCCAUCUUAUUUUUUUAAUACAAUACAAACGUUCAUAUACACGCGCAUACGUUCAUCUUUAUAAACGUACGCACACAUAUCCCUUAUAAGCAUUUUUAAAAGACCGAACCGACAUAUCAUCUUAAGAUUUAUGAACUUACCAUAGACGCCUCGUCGUCGAUAGGAACGUCUCCUACCACUGAGAGCGCAUCGUCAAAAAUCCUGAAAAAAUCCAGAAAUAAUCUAAGCACCAGGAUUUAAACCCUGAUAGGUUGGGAUACCACUGUCCCUCUAAGAGCAUCUCUAAUAGCUGCCCUAUAUAGGGCAGUGUGGCAUAAAAACUGUCAUAUAGGGCAGAAAAGAGGCAAAAACGUGCUCCAACAGUUGCCCUAUCUUCAUCAACUGCCUUAUAUUUUUUACAACACUGCCCUAAAUUUGACCCAACUGUUGCAAAUAUACAACACUUGUGUGGCUGCCCUAUUUACCCAACGACGCGCGCGCGCAGCCCAACUGCCACCCGAAAAUUUCCCAGCCACUCCCGCCCCCGACCCCGCCGGCGCAAAUCCGCCGCCGUCGCCGCAAAUCCGCCGCCGUCGCCGCAAAUCUGCCGCCCGUAGGCCGCGCCCCUGCCCAAAAUCCGCCGCCCGUCCACCGCCGGUCCCUCCCGCACCUCGCCCCCGCCGGAAUACCACUGCCCAUCGCCGGAAUCGUCGAUCUGCCGACGUCGUCGCCGCUGUACGAAUCCGGGGCACCGACGCCGAUUCUGCCGCCGCCACGACCGCGACGACGCUCGUACGCUUCCCCUUGGCCGCCUGCAACACCCAGCGACGGCAGCAGCAGCUAGGAGAGGCUUGCUCCGGCGACGCAGCUGCCACCCACCAGCCCGGCCGCCCGCAAGGUGUUCGAGGUAAUGUGUAUUCAACUUUUUGUUUGAUUUUUGUGAUCGUAGUUUAGGAUUGCACUUUUUAAUAUGGUCUAGUUUGUUUGUAGAUGGUUUUGAUUGAGGAUUCAUCCGAUGAGGAAUACGAUUUGGAGGAUGAAGAAGACAUUGCUUUGAUUUUGCUUUUGCACAAGAGGAAGAAGCCCAAGCACGGAGGUCCGGUCUAUGGCAGUGAGGUGAUUCGGAGGGAACGCAUUGAUGCCGACAACAAGCUCAUGUGCACUUGAUUAUUACUUCUAUGUGAUGAAACUUGCUAUUUGUGUGUUGAUUUGUGAACAACUUUGUGAACCAUUUGAUGAACUAUUGUUGUAAUAAUUAGUACUAUUGAAUUAUUAUUUGUUUGAAUUAUAUUUUAUCUUAUUUAUCAUAUUUUUUUAUGAGAUAUAUGUGCAAAGAUGUAGCAAAAUAGGAGUAAAUUGUUUUGCAGCCGUGCCCGAUAUAGGGCAGCUGCUGGGGCGGGUGCUGCUUUAUCUUGGGCUGCUGGUAAAACGACUGCUGUUUUGCUGUCCUAUAUCUCGAUUUUGCCUGCCCUAUAAUUGAAAAGAGGCUGCCCUAUAUAUGGCAUCUGUUAGAGAUGCUCUAACCAUAUUUGAAAAACAGCAUUGUGUAACACCCUCUCUAGUGUUUUAUGAUCGCCCUAGUAAAGAUAUCCCUAAUUGAAAAUCAGAUACAAUAUGAUUUUAAAAUAGAACAACACUGAAGAUUAAUCGUCUCUUGACAACUCAAAGAUGAGCGUUGAUGGUGUUGCCUCGCCAUCCCUCUCACGCACGCGCAUGCAUCUCCGUUGAACAUUUCUUUUUUCUUGCUAGCUAGCUGAAGUUGUUAUCCAGUUCUUUUCUUCCACGGUGGAGAGAGGUGCUCUGCCUAUUUCCUGAUGCUCAAAAGAUAUACUCCCUUAGUCCCUUCAUUCCUAAAUAUAAAUCUUUUUAAAGAUUCUACUAUGGACUACAUACGGAGCAAAAUGAGUGAAUCUGUACUUUAAAAUAUGUCUAUAUACAUCCAUAUGUAAUUCAUAUUAAAAUCUCUAGAAAGACUUAUAUUUAGAAACAUAGGGAGUAUACUGCAUAGAGAAAGACUCCACAAUCUGAAAAAUCGUGUGCAGAUGAACAAGUCAAACCGUCAAAAACAGUUAAACCAUAUAAAGGAUACUGCAUCUUCACUCCAUCCAUAGCUAAGUCCAGUGACUCAUCAACUACAAUCCACAAGCCACAUCCAGAAGGAUAUCCAUCAGCCAUCACCAACAUGACUCCGCCUAACGGGUGGCAUCCAGAAGUACACUGCAAACAAAAAUAUCAACACCAUCACUCACUCCAGAGUCCACACCACUCCUCUAUCUGAAACCACUGAAAGAAUAUCCACGCGCGUAUGGCUUCCCUUCUUUCUUUCUAAAUACCAACCACUGAGAAAACACAACACAACACAUCAACCGGAGAAAAUUCCACAGGUCAAAUCAUCAGUUCGAAAUACGACUAGCAUUGAUUAUUUUCAUCUCGUUAUAUUUACAUUUCAUCAGGCAAGAUUCAAGGAGGAGCAACAACAUAGGGUUCAACAUGCAGCACGGCACCUACUAGAACUAUGUAUGCUGUGAGCUAUGUAUGGUAGUAUGGUUUAACAUGCAUCAGGCAAAGACUCAAGCAGUAAGCUAGUGCCAUGGCUGUACUCCGGUCCUAGCCAUAUGCUUCUUAAUCAUAGCCUUUCUAACUUUGCUACUCAAAGGUAUAAACAGUUUAGAUGCUACGGACGGCUAGUGUGUAUGGCGUGUCAGAGGAUCAACUGUCACGACUGUUCGGCCCUUCUUCUUCGCAUCUGAGCUCCCCAGGAUAGGUUCUCUUCUGCGUCCUUCACCGUGCUCCGCUUCUUCAGCUCGGAUAUUUGGCCUUCCCAGGACGUCCUCCAUCCAGACUUCUCUUCCUGCUCCUGUGGUAUGGUUCACAAAGGCGGGAAGUUAGUGGCGAGAAAGAGAAAGCUCUACAGCAAGUUGGAACUUGGCAAGGAGCAUGACACAACGAUGGUUGACAAUUGCCACGGACAUUGUUAAUUCAACAUCAUCAACAAUGAUGCGAAAAGAGACAUCACCAAAGAUAGCUCACUCCUGCAAUUCUCAUCCAUACACUUGGGACACCGCUUUCCAAAUUAUUAAUCAUUUUAGAUUUCUUGUCAAAUCUGACAACACCAAAUUAACAAAUCUCACUCAUGCGGUUCUUUCUUUUUCUUCUGCAAAUCAUUAACACGAAAAUGACUUGUCUAAAUCCUCCUGAACAGACACCAACCAUCAUCAUGCCACACACACAUAUCUUUUGCAUCCGCUGAAUUCAUUCAUAUUUGUAUAUAACAUCGUAUACGGGAGGGUUUCUGUAUUUCUUGUUAUGUGUGUUUGUGAUUGAAUGGUUAUACGUCAAGUAUAUGGAGUAGAUAGUGGUCAAGCACCAAAUAUUGGUUCUAAACUAGAAGAUCUCCACUCAAGUCUCGGCUCCUUAGCUGUAGAAUACUCCUUGAUUGACCGGCCAGGCAUCUCAAGCCAGGCUGGAACGCCACAUGCAUGAUAUGCUAAACUAUGAGCUUACAGGCGUCUUAACUGAAUAAUUAGGCCAGCACAGAGUAAUUGGGGUGCUCUGUUGAGGAACCUUUGUUAAAGGUAGCGGUGAAGAUUAGCCUAAAAUAUACUGUAAGUAAUUAGGAGUUAACACAGGCUAAGCCUGGAUACAUGAUUUAGUAACUACUCCAGUAGGAGCAUCAAAAUGUGAAAGCCCCGCUGCAACAAGUUCAUUUGUAGAAUCACCCGAUGUCCAACUAGUUUGCAGAGGGUGCAGUUUGAAGGAUCAAUUAAUAAGAUGACGAGCUGAAUUAAAACCGCAGGUGGAUUCAGUCGCGGUCAGGAAUCUGAGGGGGGCAGAUCACGAUGCGGACAAUUUCCAUCCAUCCAUCCAUUAUCAUCCGCAGACAGAAAAGAAGAAGCGACAGAGAUAUUGGUGACGGGGGAGACAGACAGACAAGGGCGGGUGGGGGGUACCUGGUGGUAGAAGGCGGAUGCGUCGUGGCGUCGCGCGGCGGGGGAGAAGGCGAGGCGGCAGACGCCGCGGGCGAGGGCGCGGUCGUAGGUGGUGCGGCGGCUGGGGUCGGAGAGCGUCUCGUAGGCCUCCUGCACCUGGAUGAAGCGGCGGGUGUGCUCCUUGGCGGCGUCCGGCGGGGACACGUCCGGGUGGUACUUGCGCGCCAUCCGCCGGUACGCCGCCCGCACGUCCUCGAAGGUGCUCCCCUCCGCCGAUAUCCCCAGCAGGUCGUAGAACGUCGGCUGCUUCUGCUGCUGGUCCGCCGUGGCCGUCCGCGCGGCCCCUCCGGCCGUGGCUGACGACGCCCGCGCCCGCGUCGACGCGCGGGGAGGGAGGGGCCGGAACCCCGCGCGGCCGCCGCCGCCGCCGCCGGCGACAGCACCGGCGAAGGCGGCCGCGGGGGACGCUGCGAGGUGGGGCAUGUGUGAUCUGAUCUGCGCCUGAGCUUGGCCGUGCGAGCAGAGAGUGGUGGUAGUGGUGGUGGUCGGAUUUUUAAUCAGGAUUUAGGAGAGAGGGGGGCGUGGAGAAGAUAUACAUAUUAGGGAGAGAGAUCUCCUCCAACGAAAGAAAGAUAUGUGUGGGGUCGCUUUCCGGCCGUUUGUCCAUUCCUUGCCACCACCUUGUUGGUGGUGUGUUGCACCGGAGCCAGCAAAAUCGUCAAGAAUUACUGUUUUGCAUUUGAAACCAAGCAAGCCAAACAGUUAUAUGUGCUGCGGGUUCCGCGUUGGAUGCCGUGCACACAUCCGGGUCCGGCAGUAGCUUCCAGAAGCCAUGCAUCGGUGGCUGUAAAUUUUUCUCCAUUUUUUCCACUUUUAGAAAAAUAGAGGAGAUAGAGGAGAUUAUACGUCGACUCUUGCCACACGUCUGGUCCUUUUUUUGUCCCGCACAAAGAUCGUCCAAUCUGCCCGGUCUUAUCAUCUCUGACCGACUUGGACGGUAUUAUUAUUAUUAUUAUUAUUAGAUCCAUCCAUCUUGCUUCUCUUCCGUCCUCGUCUAGUCAAGCUGCUGCCGAACCACCCCUAGUCAAGCUGCUGCCGAACCACCCCUAACGACGCACCCAACCAUAUGUGGAAACGAACUUGGACAACUUUACGAAUGUUGACUUGGCCUGAUUUGAUCUGAACGGGAAAAAAAAUACAGACCAGCGCCUUAGCUUUAAGCGGUAAGGUUACGUAGGUCUAGAUUUAUUGUAUGAAAACGACACAAAGCCAGGCGUGCAUGCCCCUAGCUAGGCCAUGUCAAACGAACGUUGAUUGCCCACAAGCAACCCAUCAAGGAAUUACCAUUGGUCAGGUGUGCACGCAUCACAUUCGUCCAAGAAAUGUGCUUACACGACGAUAAGACGUCGACGCGUUAAUCAUGAUCCUCGCUCUUGAAAAUGCCUAAACUAUAGACAAUGCGAUUACAUAUAUAAACCACACGUGAAACAAAAGGAUACGCAUACAUACAGGCAUGCAUAUUUAGACCGUGUCAACAAACAUUCUUAACCACAAACGACCUUUGUGCAGGGCAAAAAGAGUUAGUUACAAAGUGCAUAAAUAUAUUUGAAUUUUUUUUUUAAAAAAAGGGAGGGAGAUAAGACGGCGACAUGUUGUCAUACACGGAUAUUAUUCUCGGCGUCCAUCAUCCCAGGUUCCUUUUAAAUGAUUCACAUGCACAUCAACGGGAUCCGAUAUGCCCUCCAUUCGUCCACAUUGUUAUUUCAGGGCUCUCUUAGCCGCCUUCUACACAGUAAACAAAGCAACCCUCAUCGUGUAACUGGAGAGGGAUUAACAACGCGGCUCUCAGCUUGGACACAGGAAAAACAUUUAUGCUCGAUGGAAACGAGGGACGACGCUUUGCCGACCACGACUAGAUUCAAUCAAAUAAUCCCAAAUGCCCUAGUACCCUUUUAACAGCGGAUGGAGGUCAGCAAGUACAUGAGCCAAUGAGCGUUGCUGAUUGCUUGGCUGAUGUCAGUCAAGUAUCUGACACUCGGGCCUAAAUAUCCCUAUUGUUAAUGGUCAGGUAUAUCUAGUAUAACCAACUAUCUCGCAAUAAUUCAUACAUCAAUCCGGAACCCAGCACCAUAUUGCCAGGGAUGAAUCCAAACAACAAGUAACUCGAUGGUAAGAUUUAAUUUGGUAAUCUUGUCAACUGGUAAUAAAAUACAAUCAAAACUACGGUCUAGCAGGACAAACUCGCUAUGUUCAUUUAUCCAUCUUUGUCGGAACAAGGAAAUACAAGCAACAAGGAAAUACAAGCACAUGAAAAGAGAAAAGGAAAACGAUUACCAAGACUUAUUCAGUAGCAUGCCUGUAACUCGUUGAUUUCUGGACCAUCAUAAAGAACACCAAAUUUACCAUCAUAAAGAACCCAGCAUAAUAACACAUUAAAGGCCAGAUUUCUGGACUUGACUAAGUACUGCUGGUGUUAUUGCUACACUACAUCUCAUGAAACAAGUAUUGAGCAUGUAGCACGUACAUGCAUGAUGAUACUUGUCACCUACUUCUCCCUAGACAGUUAGCACUGAUAUAUCUAGAACUAAGCCCUCACAAAUACUCCCUCCGUCCCAAAGUGACUCAAACUUGGUACAACUUUAACACUUAUUUUGGGAUGGAGGGAGUAAUUCAUACAUCAACCCAAUACCAAAUGUCAAGGGAUUCAUUUCAUAGAUCAUAUAUCCAAGCAACCACAUUAUAAGACUCGACGAUACUUUUUAGUUUGCUCAGUCUGUCAUCUGCUAGACACUACUCGAUCAUCCAGUUACAGGGCGACACUAGAAAAACUAUCUAGCAGGUAGUUAAAAAGAUGAGGAUCCCUGGAAUAAACUUGCUAUGUCCAUUGUCCAGUAGUCAACCUAUUCAACAAAAGCAAAUAAAGAAGGCAAAAAAGGCAUCAAGUUUAUAACUACAAAACUGACAUGGUUGCACACUAUUGUAACUUGUUAACAGUGAACAAAAUCCUAUCAAGAAUCUAGUCCAAUGGACAAUGGAAUAGGCUAUAUGGCACAAAAACAUAUCUCGACAUCUAUCAAGACUGGGUUUCUGGACAUGGGUAAGUAUUUCUGGUGUUCACUCUAACCAAGUCCACAGCAUAAAUCCUUACCUCUUCUACACACAAAGGAGCUUUUAAAGUUAGCAUGGCCUGUCCCCUCCCAAACAUGUUCCAAAUUCCAAUGGCAACCACCUUUCAAGAAACCUGCACAUGUUUUUCCAACCACAGGACCAAUCAUAGCAGGUGAGCAGUAACUAGCAAAGUUACUCUUUGCAGAGGAUAGGUGCUUCCGAAACAAACAAACAUAUAUGCAAGUGCGAAAAGAAGACAAGGAAUGAUAAUAUUUGAAGACAUGCUGCUUAUCUCUGGAACUAUCAAGGGAACACCCUGGAGUAAAUGUUCCGACUUUAUCAACAAUUGCCUCACAUCAGUCACAGACAAUGCCUUCUCAAGCGAGCCCCUGUCACUCAGGAAAGGGGGAAAAGGAAAAAGGAAAAGGGAAGGAAAAAAGAAAAAUCAUGAAUGCAAUGGCACAAACUCAAGACAUGUAUUUUAGGCAGACUUGGUGAGAAUUGAGCAGCACACAAAAUAACAAAUAAAUUUUACAGCACAAUUGUCUACAUUCAUCAGGAGUAAACAACCAAUGAACUUAUUUGUAACAAACAGAUCAAUUAAGCUGCUGAACUUCUUGAAGCAUAAGAUCAUUACUGAUAAAAGAUGCACAUGAGGGAAUCAUACGCAAAGACACAGCACAUAAAUGCAAACUCAAUCAGAAUAUGUUCACAGUAUGUAAAUAAACAUCUCUCAAUCAGAAUAUGUUCACAGUAUGUAGAUAAACAUCUCGGACCAUUGCACCAGCCAAAGCAUGCCAACUGAAAUGUAGCAUAGCCUAGAGACAAGUUGUUUAAUCUUUCAUAAUGGACUUUACUUGAGUAUGGAUAAGUGCGCACUCCCUUGAAUCUUCAAUUCACACCGCAGAAUCAGCUCCAACUCUUCACAAGCCUGCAACGACAAAUAUAUAUGGUUGGUUUGACCUCACUGUGCUAAAUCACCUUACAAUCUCCAGUGUUACAUUUAAAAGUUUACUCCAAGGAGCAAAUCUCCAUCAAUUAAGUUAACGAGGAAUACAUUUUUAUAGAUCAGAUGAACACUCUGGUCGACACUGAAGCUCUCCAAAAGAUCUUCAUAUCCUGCAAAUAAAACUCCUAAAUCAGAGAGGAGAUAACAAACACCAGUUCAGCUAUGCAUCCAUUGUAUGAGUACACUCUGCAAUCAGCCAACUGAACGAUGUGGCAGGUACUGGUUAAUAUCACAUGUCAGACUCUUCAGUGCCCCUUAAGCGCCAUCUCCUUCAAGUCCAUGUUGCCCAUUAAUGUCGGACACGGUAGAGCAGAUAUCUUCCUUGCCUUUCUGCUUUGAUGCAGGCAAUAUUGCAUCUGCUGAGGAUUUAUCUGUACCAGUUUCAUCCGCAAAUUUCUGGUCUUCCUGGAUGACCAGAUCUGCUUCUCCUAAUGAAGCAUUCCGCAGCCUAACUUCAGUGUCAUGCUUGAAGCCAUCAGAGUCCAAACCAGUUUCCGACUGAUUAAUAAUCCUAUCAGGAGAGCUCCCCUUAUGAACUUUCUUUUUAUCUGAAGACAGGGGAUCAUCAAGGGAAGAAUUGUCUUUCCUAGCUCUUCUAGCACCCUCUUCUGAUUUCUUUGAUUCAUGCUGGUCAGUACCAUCCCUAUGGUAUUUUUCCCUGGAAUGCCUUGAACUUCUAUGGGACCGUGAAGAUGAAUGACGAGAACUUUUAUCUCUAGAAUGUUUCGAUUCAUCUUCUCUGUGUUUUCUGUCCUUUCGAGAAGAAUCGGCUCUGUCAUACUUCUUGUCAUCUGUCUUCAUCUUAGUAUUCCUACUUGUGUCAUGUUUCUGGAUAUUAUAAUCAUCCUCUCCCAAGCUUCUCUUCUCAUAUUUUGACCUUGGAGAAUCCACAUCCUCAAUACCGUCUUCAUUCUUCCUCUUUUCAUGCUCCACAGCAGCAGCAGCAGCAUCAUGUCUGGAUUUCUUGUGAUUGCCAUUAUCAAUAUCAAGCAAUUCAUCUUCAGAUACAGAUGAACUCCUUUUAUGAGCAACAACAGAAGUGUCUGCAUUCUUAUCUUCCACAGCAUCCUUUACAGACCUUUCAUCUUUGCCACCUCUAUUACUUCUAUCAGAUCUUUUUUUGUCAUCCUGCACCUCGGAAUUUUUUACAUUCUUCUUAUCACUGCUACGAUGAUGCUUUCUCUCCUGAGAUCUGGAUCUUGAAUGCCUGCUACGAUGAGAAGAACGCUGCUCACGUGUUGGUGAUGAUUUGCUUCCUUUAUGAUGCCUUGGUGACCUUGAACCAGCACGAGCUGCCCUUCUUGAUUUCGAUGGGCUUAAACUUUCUUCCCGUUGCCGCUUCGGUGACCGAGAAUCAGCUCUUGAUGGCUUCUUAGACCUUGGGCUUAUACUUCUGCUCCUGUUCCUCCUUGAACUAGAUGAAUAAUGAUCACGAGACUGGUCACUCUCUCUUCUCCCAGACCUGCUAUACUUGUCCCUAUCAUCCCUAUAUGACCGGUCACUGCCAUACUUUGAGUAGUGAGAUCUUGACGGAGAUCGUGAUCGGUGAUCUCGGGGGCGUCUAACUGGCGGAGAGUAAGAGCGGUCCCGCCUACUCCGACGGUACUUGAUAGGUGAUCUUGACCGAGACUUGGAUCUACGAGAAGGGGGUGAUGGAGAUCUGUAAAGCAAAUAACGAACUGGUCAGGAUUACUUCUGCAGUUAAACCCAAAGAAAUGAUGUUGUUGAUAGUCCUAUUCUCAGAUCUCGCAUUCUAUUUCACAUGCUUCACAAAACCAUAGAUGCAUAAACGGACAUGGUGAAAUGCAUGCCAAAUAACAAACCAUGCCAUUUGAAACUGAAGCUAUAUCUUCAAAACAAAGCACGUGUCUCUAUCUUUCCUACUUAUAAAUGUUGGAGUUGGUGGUGAGUUCACAUGUGGGACCAACAAUCUUCAUCAACAAACAAAUGCACCCCUACCCAUAUUGAGAAUAGCAACCUUCCAUGAACAUAAAUAAACAAAUGUAUUUGUGCUCACAUGUGGGACGAAACACAAAUAAACAAUACACUACUAUUCAUGUGAGACUAACACUUGGGACACAAAUAACAAAUGCAGAAAUGCGACUCCAACUCAAUAUAAUGCUCUUGUUUUUCUUUUUCUUUUUUUCCCAGCCAAGUUAUUUCAGUUAUAUAUCACAGAACAAGAGAGUGAACAGAUUGUAAUUAGAAAACGAUGAUAGACCUUAUCCUUCUACCGGAUCCACGACCUUGUGCAGUACCAUUGUCUAUUCUCAUAUGUUUCAACAUUCGAAAUGUUGUGUUUGUAAAGGAUCAUGGUCACUUCAGAUUCUCCAAUGCCCGACGCAUGAUUUUUUGUGGUAUUUUUUAUCUUUCCAAUAGUGAACUGCGAGCAAAUUCCGCAUGGCGCCACCGUAUUUUAACAAUUUUCUAAGUCAGUGACCCAACUCCUCGUACUUUAUAGUUUCGUAGCAACACACGGGCAUUGUGCUAGUCUCUUAAAAAAUAAAGCAUGAAUAGGUCUAAUAAAAACUAGAAGAUCCUUUUCCACACAGACAACAACUAAAAGAACUGUCCAGAUAAAACGUGCUUCUAAUCUCAUCUUGUAAUGUACUCCCUCCGUCCCAAAAUAAGUGGCUUUACUUUGUACUAACUUCAAUACAAAAUUAGUACAAAAUUGAGUCACUUAAUUUGGGACAGAGGGAGUAUAAAGUAGACCAAAAUUAGCAAGAAGAACAAUCUGUUACCAAAAUAAUGAAAAAGAUCAAAACAUUACCUUGACUUCUCUUUGGCAUCCUUUUCUUCCGCGCUUUCCCCACCAAAGCCCUCUGCUUUCAACUUCCUGCUUAUCUCAGCAGCACGUGCAGCUGCUGCAUCAGUGGCAUUUUUCAUGGUGGCUGCACGUACAGCGGCCUGCUGAGCAGCUAUUGACGUCUGCAUCAACAGUGACUGCUGGAAUUGCAUCUGUUGCAUCUGAACAGCUUGCUGCAUCAUCAUAGGUAAAUUGCUAUUUGCAAUACUAGUUUUUUGAGGAAGAGAUUUAGCCAUCUCAACAUUCAAGGGGCGACCACCAACAUCCACGUUACUGAGGGCCAAUGCCGCAGUUGCUUCUUCUGGUUUGGAGUACUCCACAUAAGCAAUAUGCUUCGAUUCUGUGAUAGUACAAUCAACAACUUUGCCACAGUACCCAAAUAGCUGCUUAAUGUUCUCCACUGUAAGAACUGGGCUCAGGUUGCUAAUCUGAACAAUUUUCUUCAGAGCCUCAGCUUUCUCGGCUUCCGUCAUACCUACAAGGACUCAAGAUGCAGGUGAGCAACAUGACUAAAAAAAUAAGUGCAUGAAAUCAUUCAUAAGAGCAUACAGUAUACAAUAAACCUUAAGGCAUAGUCAUGCUAAAUAAUACUUACAAAAUAGCGUCAAGAUUUUUUAACUGAACUUGCUACAUAGGCACGCAGUGUAAUUUAAGAACCUUAGAUUAUACAGAGAGCAUUAGAGGCUUGCGACCUAACAUGUCUUCAUUAUUGAUUCGGCAAUUUUUAACCCUACUAAUUCAACAAUGAAGCGCACAUGUUAUGAGAAUUCCUUAAGAAUUGGCAGGUAUUACCUGAUGAAGCCUGCUCUGCAGCUUUGGAAUCUGCUUGCAUCUUAGCAGCAUGUGCCUGAAGAGCCUGAGCAGCCAUGAUAGCUUGAGCGGCUGCCAUGGCUGCAGCUGAGGGUGCCAUGGGAGCAUGGCUGAGCGCACCCAUGGACGUAGUGGCAGCCAUGACAGACACGAGCAGCUGCUGUGGCGGGUGGCUGAACUUGCAGCCCGUUCCCUUGGUGCACUUCCCAUUGAUGUGCUCCCUGCAUAUCUCCCCCAGCGAGGCACCAACGCCUGGCAGGACGACACCACCAGAAGCGCCAGAGGAGGCACCCGGGAUGAGGCCGAGCAAGCCUGGGAAGGAACCGGGCAUGGAGCCAGCGUAGUUUGGCAUGUUAGGCAUGGUCUGGUUGAGCAUAUUAGGGUAGGCGGAUGAGGAGGAAGGGUACGCGGACGAAGUGGUGGGGAAAGCUGCGGCGGCGGAGGCGGCCGUGGCCACGCUGAAGAAGACGGGGAAGGGGCUCCCCAUGAUGGGCGAGCCGUCGAGCUCGAUGUGGACCAUGUAAUUGCCGCGCUUGGGGACGGCAUAGGUGACGCCGUAAGAUCCGUCGCCGUUGUCCCGGACGCCGCCAUCUAGGUCGUCGCCACCGACGCCAGCCGCGGGGCAGAUGCGGACGCGUACGCGGGCGCCGCCUACGGAGACCCUCCGCCCGUCGCGGUCCUUCCCGACGACGGUGAAGGUGGCGGGCGCGCCCGCGGAGCCACCGGCGAUGCCGGGGCCCGCGGCAGAGGACUUAGAGGGGUCGACGGGGCCGGGAGGCGCGCGGGGGCGGUCGUCGUCGGAGUCGGAGUCGGAUUCGGGGUCGGGGCGGAAGGCGGGCUCGGCGGGCUCGGCGGGGGAGGAGGGCCCGUCGUGGCCCUCCGGGUCGGCGUCCUGGGGGGGACUGGUCGGCGUGGGCGGUCGCGGAGAGGGCCUUGAAGGUGGCGUCGAAGGCGGCCUUGGCGGCGGCGGCGGUGUCGGCCUCGGACUUGAGCUUGGCCUCCUCGGCCUGGCGGACCCAGAUGGGCUUGGGCGCCGCCAUGGGGAGCGAGAUGCGAGAUCUCGGCGACGGCGGAGCUACGGUAGCUUCCUAGGGUUUGGCUCUUGGCUUUGGCUUGGCUUCGCGGAGAGGAGAUGCGGGGAGGAGCAGAUUGGAUGCCGGGAUAGAUUAGGACGAGGGGAAUCAGAGGACGACGGUGAUACUGCCACCGCCUUCUUGGGCCUAUGUGGGCUCUGCCUUGCACCUUCUUGGGCUUACACUGGCCUUCCUUUCCGAUCAGGGGCAACCAAGAUUAGAUAACCAGGACGUGAUCAUGAUUGUCUCAAAAAAAAAAAAAAAKGGACAUGAUCAUGGAAGUGGGGUGAGAAUUCAAAUCCGUUAUUAUCUCAAUCAGUAUAUUUUUUCCUUCUUUCGCCCGGGAAGCACAAGGCCUUGCUUGUGGGUCCAGAUCGAGCAAGACUACGUCCUAUCCAUCUACGCCUCUUAAAACACAAUAUGUGUUGCAAAAGCGCGACUAUAGCCCCUAUAAUCUCCAACUCCUCAUUUUUAUGCAAUUAUGAAAUGACCAAAUUUGAUGGAUUUAUAGCAGCAUUCAAGUAAAUACUAAUUGAGAUCAUAGAAACCAUGACCUUGUGAUAUAACACCUGAUUCCAAAUCAGUUAAUGCUAUAACUAUAAAUAAGGGACCAACCGACCAAGGUCUCCUUUGAAUAGUUCGGAAAUUGCAUAGUCCAAACGAACCUAUUUAAAUAUUUACUAGAUUGUGAUUGGUCAUCAUAUUAGCAAAUAAACAUAUUCCUAAGCUUAAUACACGAAGACAGUAAAAGAUUAGCUCAAGAGUACUAAGAAAGUGCUAACGGUAGUGGGACUCCUGCAUGUAAUAACAAGCUAAAAAUGAAAAUCGUGUCUUUGAAAUCCAACUACCGUAAUCGCUAUAAAAAUGAAAAAUGGAAGAGCCAUAAUGAUAAAGUGACUUGUCAUUGUGAAGCUAAUCAUACCACCAUACUCUGCAGAUUGCGACAUAAUGAAAAAGUAAAAUUGACUGAGAUGUAACGGAAAAGAUUUUGUUUCACAUUUCUAGAAAGACCACAUAUUUAUUUGUAGGUUUAACAUCAAAUCAUAAAUAAGCCUGACCAAGGAUUGUCAUGCAUUUGCCACUGACUUUCCACCUCCCUUUUUCAUAACAGCAAAAUACAAAAGUACGGCCAAACCGAGAGUGAGCAGCAUAGACAAGGAUGGAUUUGUAAAUGAAAAGUAAUGGUUGGCUAUAUUCAAAUCAAUUAUUGGUUUACUCGCAAAUUGGUCGAGCGGGCUCUCCAGAACAUUUUGGACUGGAGCAACCUUAAAGGCCUCAACAACUGACUGGGGGCAACACCCUUAAAUGAAUUUAUGGAUCGCUUAUUUGGCUACCUGACAGUGCGACUUUCCACAUUUCUUCCCAAACAUGAGUCACACCUCUCUCCCAAGUGAGUCCUUGAGCCUUAAAAAAUAAAUAUGCGAAAGUUUCCUGAAGACUCCGGGAAUCAGGGCCUAAAAACUGAUCACAUAAGUCAGAAACAUCACAUCCGGGUGGCAAAACCAUUUAUCACUUCCAUAGGUACAAAUCUAUUAAGUUUUAAAAUUCAGAAAACUAAGGCUCGUUAAUCUCGCAAAUGCCAUACAUUCUGAAAAGUUGGUCAAUCGGGGCGGGCAGCUCCACCCCGUCGUAUAGAUGCCGGAAAACGAAAUUCGGGUUUAACUCAAGAUGGGUAAAACCUCUACUAUAAGAAUGGAUGUGAGGGACUAACUUGUAUCUGCUCGUUUUGUAGGGCAACUCAAUCCUUUUGAAAGGGUUGCUCUAAUGUUUCCUUUUCUUGUAGAUAGUUGUACUAGUGGCAUUCUAUACACCAAAUAUUCUAUACAUUGAAUAUUCUUGAAAAGUUGAAAGUGUGUGUGAGUCUAUCAACUACGUUACAUAAUGAAUUGUAUAAAGGUUACAUAAUGAAUUGAAUAAAGAAAUGAAGGAGAACUAGUAAAGUAAACAUGCACACGCCGUGAAUUCACCUAGGUUGGGGUUGAGAAGCUCGUACAAUUCAUAUAUAUUACCUGGUCGUUGAAUCUAAUAUAAAUUCAGUGGUGGGAGGGGUAUCCCUUUUUUUGAAUACAUAGGAGGGGUAUCCUUAUUAUCUUUAGCAACAUAUUUUAAACAAUAAUAGGGUUAACAUGUUUAUUAACAAUAGUUUCUCUAACAAUUUCAAGUUCACUGACCAGAUCAACAUAUGUGUAAUCACAAUCAAAAAUAGUUCCCAAAGGAAUAUAAUCGCAAUCAUGAAUAGUUCUCUAAAUCAUGUUCCCGUAUAUUAGAUACCGUGUGAAUUUUUUUAUAUAUCGAACACCAUGUGAAAUGAAAAGACUUGUAUCGAAUAAAUAGGCACCCCCCCCCCCGGGUAUGACCUCGCUCAAUGUUCAUUUGGUUCAGCUCACAUGCCACCGUCCAUAGUCUAAAUUGGAUACCGUGUGAAGCGCUACUUUCCACAUUUCUUGACAAACAUGAGUGAGACCUCUCUCCCAAGUGAGGCUUCCUUGAGCCUUAAAAAAUAAUUCUGCGGAAGUUUCCUGAAUAAUAGGGGAAUCAGGGCCUAAAUCUGAUCACAAAAGUCGAAAACAUCAUAUCCACGUGGCAAAACCAUUUAUCACUUCCGUAAGUACAAAUCUAUUACAUUUUAAAUUUCAGAAAACAAAGGCUCUUUAUUCUGACCAUUGCCAUGCAUUCUGAAAAAGGUGGUCAAUCGGGGCGGGCAGCUCCACCCCGUCAUAUAGAUGCCGGGAAACUAAACUCGGAUUUAACUCAAGAUGGGUAAAAUCUCUGUUAUAAGAAUGGACGUGAGGGACUAAUUUGAAUUUGUUCAUUUUGUAGGCUAACUCCAGCCUUUUGAAAGGGUUGCUUUAUCGUUUUCUUUUCUUGUAGAUAGUUGUACUAGUGGCAAUUCUAGACAACAGAUAUUCUAUAAGGACCCGGUUGACUACGUUGGUUCGUCUGCUUCACAGGGUCGUUCUUCUUCCAAGCGGGAUCACAGGCAAGAUGAUCAUUUCCCUAGAUACCAUUACUAUCAUUGCCAUGCUAGUUGUAUCAUUUCUUUCGCUAUGUCUCGUUGCCUACCACCUGUUAAAUAUUAGCCUCUCAACAUUGCCAUGAAACCUUCAACCUUCUACAACCUAGCAAACCACAGAUUGGCUAUGUUACCGCUUGCUUAACCAAUGGAUAGCGUUGCUAGUUGCAUGUGCAGUUGCUGCCAUGUGAUAACAUGGGUUGCUUGUUAUAUCAUCCUAUUAAUUAAUGCUAUUUAAUUUAAUGCACCUAUAUACUUGGUAAAAGGUGGAAGGCUCGGCCUUCUAGACCAGUGUUUUGUUUCACCUUUGUCACCUUAGUUUCGGCUACUGGUGUUAUGUUCCAUAAAUGAGCACUCCUAACAUGCUUGGGGUUGUUAUGGGGACCCCCUAGAUUCUCGUUUUGGGAUAAAGCUCUUCUGGCAAGGCCCAACGUUGGUACUAUAUUUGCCAAACAUAAUAAUUCUGAUAAUACUAAAAACAUAGGGCGUCAUUAACCCGAGGAGUAAUUCAACAUAAUAAAGGGGGCAGUGCUGAUGGUGUUGGUCUCAAACUAGAGCACCGUGCGGGCUACCUGGGGAAACCCGAGAUACCGUACGCUUCGCUUAUCCGUUAUGUCCUAAGAACGAGAUACGCGGCUCCUAUCGGGAUCGUCGACACGCCGGGUGGCCUUGCUGGACUUGUUUUACCUUUCUCGAGCGUCUUGUGCGAGGGAUUCUGAGGAUACUUUGGUCUAUCUCGAGGUUGAGGUUUUUCAAUAGGAAACCUAUGAGAUCACGGGCUAUCCCUGAUCGAGGUCAUUCCGGCGCAGCGUGUGGUAGUUUGUGAUGGACUAGUUGAAGCACCCCUGUAGGGUUAAAUCUUUCGGAAAGCCGUGCCCGCGGUUAUGUGGCAAUGUGGAAACUUUGUUUAUCAUCCGGUUCUAGAUAACUUGAAGUUAGCUUAAUUAAAACUUGCCAACUGAGUGCGUAACCGUGACUGUCUCUUUCGUGAGCUCAUUCUCCGAUCGAGGACACAGUGGGGUUAUGUCUGACGUAAGUAGGUGUUCAAGAUUUUUCAUUUGAUCAUCAGUAGUUCACGUCCAAUUAUGCGUAGAUCUUCCCCUCUUAUUCUUGUACUCGUAAGUUAUGUUGGGAAACAUUGCAUGGGAAACAAAAAAUUUCCUACGCACACGAAGACCUAUCAUGGUGAUGUCCAUCUACGAGAGGAGAUUUGGAACUACGUACCCUUGUAGAUUGCACAACAGGAAGCGUUAAGAAACGCGGUUGAUGUAGUGGAACGUCCUCACGUCCCUCGAUCAGCCCCGCGAACCGUCCCACGAACCGUCCCGCGAUCCAUCCCACGAUCCGCUCCGAUCUAGUGCUGAACGGACGACACCUCCGCGUUCAGCACACGUACAGCUCGACGAUGAUCUCGGCCUUCUUGAUCCAGCAAGCAAGAUAGAGAAAUAGAUGAGUUCUCCGGCAGCGUGAUGGCGCUUCGGUGGUGGUGAAGGAUCUACUCCUGCAGGGCUCCGCCCGAGCUCCGCAGAAAUACGAUCUAGAGGUAAAACUAUGGUGUCUAGAUCUGAGUUGCACGUGGCAAAAGUUGUCUCAAAUCAGCCCUAAAAUCACCAGUAUAUAUAGGAGGUAGGGGGAGGGACUUGCCUUGAGGGUCAAGCCCCCAAGGUGCGCCAGCCAAGAGGAGGAGUAGGACUCCUACUCCAAUCCUACUCAAAAUAGGAUUGGAAAGUGGAGUCCGUCCCUUCCUUCCCACCUUUUUUUUCUUUGGUUUUCUCUCUAUGGCACAUAGGCCUUAUUGGGCUGUCCCACCAGCCCACUAAGGGCUGGUGCGCCACCCAUAAGUCCUUCGGGCUUCCCCCAGGAGGGUUGCCCCCCUCUCGGUGAACUUCCGGAACCCAUUCGUCACUCCCGGUACAUUCCCGGUAAUGCCUGAAAACUUUCCGGUAACCAAAUGAAGUCAUCCUAUAUAUCAAUCUUCGUCUCUGGACCAUUCCGGAAACCCUCGUUACGUCCGUGAUCUCAUCCGAGACUCCGAACAACAUUCGGUAACCAUGCAUAUAACUCAACUAUACUAAAACAUCGUCGAGCCUUAAGUGUGCAGACCCUGCGGGUUCGAGAACUAUGUAGACAUGCCCCGGGGUACUCCUCGGUCAAUAUCCAAUAGCGGGACCUGGAUGCCCAUAUUGGAUCCUACAUAUUCUCCGAAGAUCUUAUCGGUUGAACCUCGGUGUCAAGGAUUCAUAUAAUCCCGUAUGUCAUUCCCUUUGUCCUUCGGUAUGUUACUUGCGUGAGAUUCUAUCGUCGGUAUCCGCAUACCUAUUUCAAUCUCGUUACCGGCAAGUCUCUUUACUCGUUCCGUAGUACAAGAUCUCGUGACUUACACUUAGUCACAUUGCUUGCAAGGCUUGUGUGUGAUGUUGAAUUACCGAGUGGGCCCCGAGAUACCUCUCCGUCACACGGAGUGACAAAUCCCAGUCUUGAUCCAUACUAACUCAGCGAACACCUUCGGAGAUACCUGUAGAGCACCUUUAUAGUCACCCAGUUACGUUGUGACGUUUGAUACACACAAGGCAUUCCUCCGGUGCUAGUGAGUUAUACGAUCUCAUGGUCAUAGGAACAAAUACAUGACACGUAGAAAACUAUAGCAAUAAAACGACACGAUCAAUAUGCUACGUUCAUAGUUUGGGUCUAGUCCAUCACAUGUUUCUCCUAAUGAUGUGAUCCAGUUAUCAAGCAACAACACUUUGCACAUAGUCAGAAAACCUUGACUAUCCUUGAUCAACUGGCUAGCCAACUAGAGGCUUGCUAGGGACAUUGUAAUGUCUAUGUAUCCACACAUGUAUCUAUGUUUUCAUUCAAUACAAUUAUAGCAUGGAUAAUAAACGAUUAUCUUUAAACAGGAAAUAUAAUAAUAACUAUUUAUCAUUGCCUCUAGGGCAUAUUUCCAACAGUCUCCCACUUGCACUAGAGUCAAUAAUGUAGUCCUCACAUCGCCAUGCGACUUACAUUGUAAUAAAUCGAACACCCAUACAGUUCUGGUGUUGAUCCUNNNNNNNNNNNNNNNNNNNNNNNNNNNNNNNNNNNNNNNNNNNNNNNNNNNNNNNNNNNNNNNNNNNNNNNNNNNNNNNNNNNNNNNNNNNNNNNNNNNNCAACCCACGCGUGACCUCUCCUCCUCCGCCGCCGCGGCUGCAAACCCUAGCGCGGUCUUGACCUCCGUCGCCGGCGCCAGCACCGCUAUGGCUCCGAACAACGGCCCCGUGCAUGGGCUCUUCAUGCCGUCCUGGACGAGCGUGCAGGGUGGCGUCGCGCCGCGAGCGAACGCGCCACGGAGCUCCAACUCCAAACGAACAACGACGGCCACCGCGGCCGCGGCCGCGACCCAAAAGAAGAGGAAAGCGGUGAAUAAGAAGGCAUGAGUGAGGCCGGCCGCGUCUCCGCCGCCCGAAGCGCCGGAAAGCUUGCAAUUUGUUGCGCUGACGGCCAAUGCAUACAUAAUACUCCAUGAAAUGCUCACAAGGUAUAAUUUUUGUUUUUGUUUUGUUGUUGUUGACAAAUUCGCACAUAUGUAGUCUCAUUUAGUUUUUCUUUAUCAUAUUACUUUGUAGUUUUAAUGAUGACGCAUAUAUGUCGACUAUGGGUGUUGGCUCUACCAAUUGGUCCGACUUUCCAACGAAGGAGAGUACAAUCAAGAAGAUGAAGAACCGGAAGAAGAAAAGGACAAAUCGAAGGAGGAAAAAGAUAAGGAAUGAUUGUUCAUGUUUAACUCGUUUGUGUGAACUUGUUUGUCAUGAACUUGCUUGUGGUCAUCUUGUUUGUCCCUACCUUGCAUGUUUUGGAUGUUUGAGAUCAUCUUAUAUGUGUUGUUUUUAUGCCGGUUGGGUGCGCGCUCUAUUCGGCACGCUGGCGCGCUAAAAAAUUGCAGCGCCUGGUGAAGCAACUGCCUUCUCAAACGCAAAAAUGACCGUUGCACGUGUUGUAAUUCUUUUUUGUGCGUCGCGCCUGCACGCGUCUGUUGGAGAUGGUCUUACCUACGCUCAUUUUACAGACACGCGGUAACUACCAACCUGUUUCCUCGGUGCAACGGCGCCGAAACAGUUUCAGGGAGAAGAGAAAUGCUAACAAUCUGAACAGGGAUGUAGGUUACAGAAUGUGAAAAACUAUUUUCAGAGGUGCCCGAAUCUUAGCUAGAAGCUAGGAACAAUUUUCUAUCUCAAUCACUCUCAAAAUCAGGCUCAGUUCUCCACUGAAUGUUCUAUGUGUUUCUUUUAUUUAGGACGAGGAACCGCUCACUGUCCCUCAGCUGGGUACUUUGAUGGACGCUCUCCCUCUUGUUCCUUUCCUGCACUGCACCACUCACAUCCUACCGCGACUCCGCACCAAACAAUCCUUCUACCCGACCCAACACUGUGUCUGACAGACACUGUAACUACUACUGCUAACCUGCUUCGUCCUCUCUUGAAGCAGCUUCAGGCACAAGGGAAAUGCAAGCAAUCUGAAUGACAAAAAGUGUCACAGAAACGGAAGAGCUUUAUUUAUCUCGAGGCAAGUGAAUCUAGCUAGGAGCAGAGAACCAGUUCCGUUCCAUCCAUAAAAUCACCACGGCGACACUGCCGAUGGACACGGUGAGCGAGCGAGAGACACUAUUAUGCAUGAACAGACAGGAACAAGGCCCUAAACUUUCAGAGAACCCAACCCGAUGAGCUACAUGUUCAGCUGAUGGGUGCUGAAAACACGGAACACCGGGUUCGGCCUAGGGGCCGAGGUCGAUGUGCACCCCGAUGGCGACGAGGAAGAUGGCGGCGAAGCUGAAGAAGAUGAUGGAGUGGACGAUGAUGGACACGGCGCUGGUGUGGAAGUUGCCGAACUCGAUGAUCCGGCAC
rnacentral:lncRNA from 1 species